AUUCUCAUAAGUAGAGUGCAUCAUUCAAGCCAAGCAAGAACUGGUCAAUACAAAUACACCAUGAAGACUUUUCUCAUCCUUGCCCUCCUUGCUAUUGUGGCGACCACUGCCACAACUGCAGUUAGAGUUCCAGUGCCACAAUUGCAGCCGCAAAAUCCAUCUCAGCAACAACCACAAGAGCAAGUUCCAUUGGUGCAACAACAACAAUUUCCAGGGCAGCAACAACCAUUUCCACCACAACAGCCAUAUCCGCAGCCGCAACCAUUUCCAUCACAACAACCAUAUCCGCAGCCGCAACCAUUUCCGUCACAACUACCAUAUCCGCAGCCGCAACCAUUUCCACCACAACAACCCUAUCCACAACCGCAACCACAAUAUCCGCAACCACAACAACCAAUUUCGCAGCAACAAGCACAACAACAACAACAACAACAACAACAACAAAUCCUUCAACAAAUUUGCAACAACAACUGAUUCCAUGCAGGGAUGUCGUCUUGCAACAACACAACAUAGUGCAUGCAAGCUCACAAGUAUUGCAACAAAGUAGUUACCAACUGUUGCAACAAUUAUGUUGUCAGCAGCUGUGGCAGAUCCCCGAGCAGUCGCGGUGCCAAGCCAUCCACAAUGUCGUUCAUGCUAUUAUUCUGCAUCAACAACAACAACAACAACAACAACAACAACAACAACCAUCGAGCCAGGUUUCCUACCAGCAGCCUCAGCAACAAUAUCUAUCAGGCCAGGGCUCCUUCGAGCCAUCUCAGCAAAACCCACAGGCCCAGGGCUCUGUCCAGCCUCAACAACUGCCCCAGUUCGAGGAAAUAAGGAACCUAGCGCUACAGACGCUACCAGCAACCUGCAAUGUCUACAUCCCUCCAUAUUGCUCGACCACCAUUGCGCCAUUUGGCAUCUUCGGUACUAACUGAGAAGAGAAGAACUCUAGUACUAGAUAUAUCAAACAUCGUGUUCUUAGUCCAUGGUUUGGUCGUUGUACUGGUGAAAAUAUAAAGUGACAUGCACUACCAUGUAAGAACCCGAACUAUACUAGUUCAAACUUGGGAAUAAAAGACAAAGCCAGGUCUUGUCUGCAUAUGAUUAUUUGUUUGAGUUCCAUUCAUGUGCCCGUUCACAAGUUCACCCCUAAUUAUAUAUAUUACGCAUUAAGUAGAUAUCUAUGUUGCAUUAAUUUGAAGAUAACAAAAUGAGUCUAAAACUUGAAUUAAAUUGAAUUGUUUUCUUGGACUUUCAAAUUGUGUAUUAUUAAAGUAGUAACGACUAUCCACAUCCUUGGCUUGCCCUUGAUCAAUUAUUUCCAGAGAAGCAUUCAAUUCAUCAAUCAAUUACAUUGAUUUUUGAGACUGGUACAUCUCCUCAUCAUGAGUAUCAUUGCGGCUACUCCAAAUCGCCCACAUAACCGAAGCAUUAAUAGCGCUCUUCUUGCAUCAGGAAAUAUGGAUUGAAGAUAUCAGGUGACCAUGUUUCCGGGUGCAACCUUGGGAGUUUUAUGUCAAAAUAUUCUCAAGAAGAAUCCAAGAAUAAACUUGCAUGCUCACGUGUGAUAAGGGCAUAUGAAGUAACAUUUCCUCCCCAUGGCCACAUAGGGCACACACAUAACCCCAUCACAUGCAUUUUUAGUUAUGCAUAUGAAAGGUAGGAUGUUUUUAAUUACUCUCCACCAAAAUACUCUUAACUUGGCUUGUACCCUAAGAGUUUGUUGCCUUUUCAUUUCUUCUUCCCCAUUAGACAAACUAGACAGUCCAUCCACCACACCAUUCCUUGUGUCCAUCAUGGCUCUGUACAACAAUUGGACAGAACAAAUGUCAUUUCUUUAUGAUACCCACGACCAAAUGUCCUCUGCUGGAUUGUUUGGUCGUGGCAUAUUAAGGAUGGCCACCUCAUCUGAUGGGAUAAACACCUAAUGAAUGAAAGGAUUGUUCCAGUCGCCCGUGUUUUUCAUCGAUAAGAUCAGCUACAAGUUGGACCGGAGUUUCUCACAUGCAUCGUAGUGGUUUCAUUAGCGGCAUGCCCUGCACCCAUUUAUCAUGCCAUAUCUCUGUAGUAUGUGCAUUCCCAAUUUGUCACAACAUACCCUCCUUCAAACCUUCUUGACCUUUCAGAAUUGCACGCCAAGUUAGCGAUGCACUAUGCAGGAACCCGCAUUUCAAAAAAAAAAGAAUCUCAUUUCAUGGUAUCUUCCAUAAAGGACCCUCAUACAUGAGCUAUCUAGAUAGAAACAGCCAUGUAUGUUUAGCAAACUUUGCAUAAGUGAAUAGAUCAAGGUUGUGGAACCCCAAGCCUCCAAUUACACCCGGCCUCUCUACCAACAAGAUGUCUAAAGACAUGAAGGAUACACACAGCCAAAAAAGAAAAUAAAAAGAACAAAAUAAAAAAUACCCCACCAUGGUGGUCAAUCACAAGCAUCAACAACACUCUAACCACCACCGAAGACAAUGCCCGGAUUACAAAAAGGUUAUUCAAAAGCAACACCCACAAGAAGGAAACAAUGCACAAGCGUUGUCGUUGCCCGAUAGAAGAUCGUGGGUUUUCACCCUGGAAAAAUUUUGAGUUCACCCAAAAACAAUGCCUUCAACAAGGCCAUUGCCAAGUACAGCCAAUAAGGGGUAGACCUUGGGUUUUCAACCUAGGAACUGAGACUCGAUAGUCGACAAGUACCACCGAAAAUGCAGUCCACCGGUGUUGCCGCCCCCGCUUGCCGAGGCCGCUGUUGCAAGUCACCAAACAUACAGUUGUCAUCGCAUCCAAUACAUCCUUCCGCCGAAGCUUCAAGACCUCAAAUGGCAGCCGCCGUGACUUUCUCCACAUCUAUCAAUGCCUUGAGGAUCUUGACUUAGACAUGUCCCGUGACAUAAAUAAGAAACCGAAGCUUCGCACCGCGUCCUCUUGAGGCCGUGUUGGCUGAUAAUAUUAGCGCGUAUGACGGGAGCCUUUCCAACCUAGAUAUCCAGGGGCGACAUACACCAAUCAAUAUAGAUCUCCGCUCGGAAAGACCGGAACUCAUCAACGGCCAGAUCCAAGUGGUCGACAUCCGGCAAAAAGACGACUUGGCGGAAGAAGAGCAUCAGGGCCAAACCACCAUUAUUAGUCCGAAGCUAAUAGCCCCCACGCCGCCCUCCUCUCGAUCCAGACCUGCAGAAAAAGAUCAACGACGCCGCAUCGUGCCACUUGCAUCCGUGGAGGCUUGAACUUGGCAAGAUGCCAACCAUGGCUGGAGACGGGGACCAGCCACUCCUGGCUGGAUCCGGUGACUCCUAGUCCUACCGCUGCCGCUACGGCGGCACCGCGUGUGGCCUACAAGCCCAUCCACGAUGAUGUCUGAUUAGAAGGAUACAUGGAUAUACAGAUGAAAAGGCCCUUGUUAUCCCUCCAACAAUAUAUAUAUAGCUUAUUGGGACGUGAGAAAGCUCGCACAAUUUUAUAGUGGCUAUGGAAAUGUGUUGCCAGACAGAGAUAUAAGAUUUUUGUUUGGCAUCCAGACCGUUUGUGUCAUGCUUAAUCGAUGGUCACUCUAAUUUUUCCGGCGGGCCUUCCCCGUGGUACUGCAGCCUUAUAUGUGUAUGGGUUUCAUACAGCUAUUCUGUCCUGUCUAGAAAAGGAGAAAACCAAAAUUACUUGGAGUUAAUAACUAAUACGUUUCCUUUAACUACCAUGUGCACGGCGAGGAUUUACGUGCAUGAUGUUUUUUCCUCUCCCCACGUCAUAUUGGGCCGGCCCAUUCACGCGCAUAUGGUUAGAAAAAGAGAUGAGGAAAGGGAGAACCAGGAUUGAUUCCUAGUCUCAAGGUGACCGUGGGUGCUGCUACCAGUCCGCCCAAGUCCCGUUCGUGAUAAGUUGUAGGUGCGCGUGGUACUUCAAGCGAUUCAAGCCGGUUUUAUUUGAGUUUUUUUUCUCUUUUUUUUCUUCUUCAUUUUUUUCAUUCUUUUUUACACUCCGUUUCUUCGAUUUGUCAUUCUUUUUUUCUUUUGUUUAUUUCCUUUUUUUCGGUUUUCUUUGUUCUAUUGGUUAUCAUUGUACAUUUUUUGUAUAUGUCAACAACAUUUUUCUCUAAUACACGUCUAACAUUUUUCAAAUACAAACCAACCAUUUUUGUAAUACAUUGUCAACAUUUUUUCUAUACACAUUUUUUAAAUGCUUGAUUAUCAUUUUUCAAAUACAAGAUUAACAUUUUCUCAAUACAUGGUCACCAUUCUUUUUCUAUUUUCACAAAAAACUUAAAUGCUUGAUUAACAUUUUCUUAAUACAUGGUCAACUUUUUCUCUAUACACAUUUAACAUUUUCCAAACGCUUGAUUAACAUUUUCGAACCCUUGUUCAACAUUUCUUUUAAAUGCCUGAUUAACAUUUCUGUAUACAUGAUCAAACAUUUUUAUCAUUUUAAUACAUGGUCAACAUUAUUACCAUACACAUUUAACAAUUUCCAAUUCUUGAUUAAUAAUUUUUAAAUACUUGUUCAACAUUUUUUUCAAAUGCAUAAUGAUGACAUUGUUCAAAAGUGGCAUCACAAGUUUCAGGGAGUAGAAAAUAGAUUAAUCAAUGAAACCGCGCGAACUUUGUGAUGCUAUUGUGUUAUAUCAACUACUUUCUCCGUCUCAUAAUAUAAGAGUGUUUUUCACAUUAGUAUAUAGUGGAAAAACGCUCUUAUAUUAUGGGACGAAGGGAGUAUGUGUUUGUUAUGUCAUACUGAGCACCAAAUUCACUAUAUAUAUAUCUAUACCAAUAUAAAAAGACCUAAAGGGGCAGAUCCAAAUAAUCUUGGCCAUUAAAUCAUGUCAAUCCAAUGACAUAGACUGCUUCACUGUCGAGCACUUAAUACGUUUAGCAUGCAGUUAAUUGCAUGCCAAAUAUAGUGCUAAUCACAUAAUAACAUGCAAAUAAUAUCCUACUUAAUAUCCGAAUGCACUUAAUAUACUUCCAAAUUAACGCGCAUUACACAUACACAUUAACUAAUCACAUAAUCAAAGAAAUUAACACACAAAUAAUAGCAUACCUAAUAUCCACGUGUAAAUAAUAAAACAAUAUAAUGCUUAAAUAUUAACCUGUGUUGCACGUGCACAUUUAGUAGAACAUGGGAAUACAGUAACAGUAAGCUCACUAGACGGAAGCCCGUCACGGCCAUGUGAAUAGGAUCCUCCUCGUACUGCUCCUCUCCUGCCCUGCCCUGAGCAGUAUCAUCCGUCGUCGUCGCCGGGCGGCGCAGCAGCCGGCGGCCGAGGGGAGACCGAGAUUUCCUCUUUGGAGGCGCCGAAUGCGGCUCGUAAGUCCAAAUCCCUCCCAGUCCCGCCUCUCGAAUCCCCACCGGUCUCCUACUUCCAUGCCGCCAAUGCCCGCCUUUUCUUUGGACUCCGAGCGAGGAAUCGGAGGGAAAGCUGUGUGCUUCUUGCAGCUUCAUGCCCCGGCAAUGGCGGCCCUGCUUGCUUUCUGUUGCCGCUGGGUCGCUCUACUCUCUGCGUGCCCGUCCGCAAGGUGUUCGAUGGAUUGUGCGCAGGGUGUCGGCCCGGCUGGUCCCCUGGUCUCGUUCCAGUUCUCCCAGGUUUCAGUCUGCUUACUGUCAGUUGCUGAAAAUGUGCACGAAACGGAUGAAAAUGCUGGGAUAUGCGCUCUUUGUUUACCGUUUACCGUCAUUUGUUUGGUUGCAGGAAGCACCCGGCCUUAAGCAUAGUACUACAUAUAAAGUUGUAUGUUCUGUUCUGUUUGUUUGUUUGCUGUCUGAUGAUUGAGACAAGGGCAUAAUCUAAAGUUUGGCACCUGCACUUGCACCUGCUCCUGCACAUUUAUGUGCUGGAAACUGGAAUCUGUUCAGAGUAGUAUGGCCACGCCACAGGUUUUAGCUUUCACUCAUGGACCACAUUGCUUCUUGACUAUCUUGGAUGCUUGUUGGCCCAUCCUUGUAAUUCUAUAUCUUUCUAGUAGUCUUAUAAAUCAGAAACAUAACAACUUUUUGUGUUGCUUACUAUAUUUUGUGUAUUUACUUAGCGUGUUUAGUCAAAUCAUCUGUCAUUGUUCUCUCAAGUUGUUUUUCCUUGCGAUAUUCAACCCAGCGGUUUAAAAUUCCUGCAAUUGAUUCAUUCAAAGUGAUUUUUCCUUCUUUGUUGUUGUUUUCUUUUAAAUGUUUGGGCUGAGGCUCCAAAUGUUGCUACUCUUUUACAUGGACUAUGUUACUUUGGAGAAUACAAGAAUUAUGCAUUGGUACCACGAUAACAUAUGCCUAAUGGUUUUUCUUACAGGAUGGGGUUUCCAACACAUAAAUAGUUUGCUAGCAUGCAGACAAGUGUCCAGUAGCCUUUGCGCCAUUUGAGGCGUAAUGGAGAUAGUUUUUCUCAUGUUGUUGGUUCUUUCUCUGCUCCUUUUCCCUAAUGGCAUCUGCAAGAGUUUAGCCACAGGGCCUCCUGUUGUGAAUAUUGGGUCUAUUCUUCAAUUUGACUCCACCACCGGAGGUGUUGCGGCAGUUGCCAUCCAUACAGCCUUGGAAGAUAUCAACUCCGAUCCAACAGUUCUAAAUGGAACUACACUAAAGGUUCAAAUGAAGGAUACAAAUUGCUUUGAUGGUUUCCUUGGCAUGGUUCAAGGUAGGCUAGCUUUAAUGUCACUCAUUCAUUUCGCAACCUUCAAAUAAUUUUUUACUUCUGUUGUGGAGUUGUGGCAAUGAUGCCGUGUUCCUUGUAUCAGCUUUGCAGUUCAUGGAGACUGAUGUUAUUGCACUCAUUGGCCCUCAGUGCUCUACUAUUUCUCAUAUGAUUUCAUAUGUAGCAAAUGAGCUUCAAGUCCCUUUAAUGUCCUUUGCUUCUGAUGCAACUCUUUCAUCGAUACAGUUCCCGUUCUUUGUCAGGACGGGUCCCAGUGAUCUCUAUCAAAUGGCGGCUGUGGCAGAAGUUGUUGACUACAACCACUGGAAGAUAGUGACUGCCAUAUACAUUGAUAAUGUUUAUGGUAGAAAUGGCAUUGCUGCUUUGGAUGAUGCACUCACUUUAAAGCGCUGCAAAAUAUCCUACAAGGUUGGGUUUCCUUCCAACGCUAAAAGGAGUGACCUCAUAAAUUUGUUGGUUAGUGUCAGUUAUAUGGAGCCUCGUGUUAUUGUUCUCCAUACUGGAGCUGAACCUGGACUCAAGCUUUUCUCUGUGGCAAACCAACUGAACAUGAUGGGCAACGGCUAUGUGUGGAUUGCAACUGACUGGCUGUCUGCAUAUCUUGAUGCUAAUUCAUCAGUUCCUGCUGAGACUAUAUCUGGCCUGCAAGGUGUUCUUACUUUACGGCCACAUAUUCCCAACUCAAAGAUGAAGAGUAAUUUGGUCUCCAAAUGGGGCACGCAAAGUAAAAAGUACAACUACAGUGAUCUUCGUGUAAAUACGUAUGGUUUUUAUGUUUAUGAUAGUGUCUGGGCAGUAGCUCGGGCUCUGGAUGCCUUCUUUGAUGAUGGUGGUAGGAUUUCCUUUUCAAAUGACUUGCAUGAUGGAAUUGGAGGAACUCUUCACCUUGAAGCAAUGAGCAUUUUUGACAUGGGAAGCAAAUUACUGGAGAAGAUUAGAAAGGUAAACUUCAGUGGGAUAUCUGGGCAAGUGCAAUUCGAUGCUGUAGGCAACCUCAUUCACCCUGCGUAUGACAUCAUAAAUGUCAUCGGAAAUGGCAUGCGGACCAUUGGUUUUUGGUCAAACUAUUCUGGCUUGUUGUCGACUGUCUCUCCAGAGGCUCUAUAUUCAAAGCCUCCUAAUAUUUCUCUCGCCGAUCAGCAUCUCUAUGAUGUUAUUUGGCCUGGGGAAACUGCACAGAGGCCUCGAGGAUGGGUCUUUCCUUCUAAUGCCAAGCAGUUGAAAAUUGGUGUUCCCAACAGAUUUAGCUUCAAAGAGAUCGUCACGGUAGACAAUGCUACUGGGUCAAUGAAGGGUUAUUGCAUCGAUGUCUUUACUCAGGCAUUGGCUUUGCUUCCUUAUCCUGUUAGUUACAAGUUUGUACCUUUUGGGAAUGGUACUGAAAAUCCUAAUUAUGACAAACUCGUACAGAUGAUUGAAUCAAAUGUAAGUAUGGAAUGCCUCUUUUCUUCCUCUAACCAUUUCAUCAUAUACCAUGCUGACCAGGGUCAUCUUAUCCUGCAGGAGUUUGAUGCAGCUAUAGGGGAUAUUGCAAUUACAAUGAGGCGGACAGUAACUUUUGAUUUCACCCAGCCAUUCAUUGAAACAGGCUUGGUUAUCUUGGCUCCGGUUAAAGAGCAUAUAACAUCGUCCUGGGCAUUCUUGCAGCCAUUUAGUUUGGAGAUGUGGUGUGUUACAGGGCUGUUCUUUCUUAUUGUGGGUGUGGUUAUUUGGGUUCUUGAACAUCGGAUCAAUGACGAUUUCCGUGGUUCAGUAUGUCAACAAAUAAUAACUAUUUUCUCGUAAGGAGCUGGCAUUUACCUUUUGUAUCGUCUUCUUGUAUAUCAUUCCUGUUUUCGAAGUGUUGAUGUUUUAACAAGUCUUGUGCAAUAUGUUGCAUACAGCGAGCACCUUAGAGCAUUGGCCAGUUAACAUACCUAAAUGAAGCAUCUAGUGAUUACCAAUGAACUACUCCCUCUGUCCCAUAAUAUAAGAGUGUUUUUGACGGCGGGAGUAUUAUCUUAAUAAUCUUGUGAGACAUAUAUACAUGCACAGUAUAUAUAUUCGCUUAAUGAUAUUUAUGUUCAUUGCUCUAUUUUUUCCUGUUUUCACGUACUUCUCCACAUGUAUUUGCCAAAUGCUCUUAUCAUGACGUGAUUCCUUACUGUGAGUAUAAUUUCAAAUUUUAUUGCCUGCAGGUUCAGCUUUUCAACUUUGUUCUUCGCACACAGUGAGUAAACCAACCUUUUCUCUUAUGUGUUUUUUUGGCUAUAACAUUUUGUUCUGAGGCAUGACUCGUGAUUUCAUCCAUGUCUGCUCGCAGGAGAAAAUACUAUGAGUGCCUUAGGGCGUGGUGUCCUGAUCAUAUGGCUGUUUGUUGUUUUGAUAAUUGUAUCCAGCUAUACCGCGAGUCUUACUUCCAUCCUGACCGUGCAACAACUUGAUACUUCUAUAAAAGGAAUUGAUGACCUGAAAAAUAGCAAUGAUCCUAUUGGUUUCCAAGUUGGUUCUUUUGCACAAGACUAUAUGGUCAAGGAGCUCAACAUCUCACGGUCAAGGCUAAGAGCUCUUGGUUCACCACAAGAAUACGCGGAAGCCCUCAAGAUAGGCCCUAAGGAAGGAGGUGUUAUGGCCAUUGUUGACGAGCGCCCCUAUGUUGAACUGUUUUUGUCAACCUACUGCAAGAUUGCGGUAGCUGGCACAGAUUUCACCAGCAGAGGAUGGGGCUUUGUAAGUACAGUUCAACCAUAUACUUUUAUAUAAACUACUCCCUCCGUUCCUAAAUAUAAGUCUUUGUAGAGAUUCCACUAUGGACCACAUACGGAUGUGCAUAGAUGCAUUUUAGAUUGGAGAUUCACUCAUUUUGCUCCGUAUGUAGUCCAUAGUGGAAUCUUCCCAAAGACUUAUAUUUAGGAACGUAGGGAGUAGAAUAUAAGAACAAAAUAUUAUGCUGUUAAUGUCCUGGAAUAGAGGUUUUAACUUUGAAUAGUUGUGUCUAGUCUCUAGUUUAUUAUGCAACUUUUCUUGCACUUAUCUGCGGCUACUUUGUUUCGCAAAUCGAAAUGUAGCACCUUACAAAUUAAUUCUGCCAGGCAUUUCCAAGGGACUCCCCUUUGCAAGUAGACCUCUCCACCGCAAUCCUGUCUCUGUCAGAGAAUGGGGAGCUGCAGCGGAUCCAUUCCAAAUGGCUCAAUACAGGGGAGUGCACAACUGACAACAGCGAGUUUGUCGACUCGAACCAGCUCCGCCUUGAGAGCUUCCUUGGUCUGUUCCUAAUCUGUGGUGUGGCAUGUGUUCUCGCGCUGCUACUCUACUUUGGUAUCAUGCUAUGCAAAUACCUGAGGCAUGAACCGCGGAAGAGCCUCAGAAGAUUCAUCUCGUUCGUCCAUGGGAAGGAGCCGCCGAAGAACAUGGAGAGGCGAUCCAUGAGCCUGCCUGGAAGCUCGACGCCAACAACGCCGAUGGGCAGCUUUAGUUCCCUUGACAUGGAAAGGCCGGCCAGGCCAGUCAGAAACGGCAGCGUUAUUGAUAUGGAAAGCUAGUUCAUGUGUAGAAAGCUACGCGGUCGACUAACAUAGGUUCUGGUAGUCGGACAGCAGGGGUGUAUAGGGGGAUUCAAAAUACUUCUUAAGUACUCCCUCCGAUCCAAAUUAUUCCAAAGUUUAGGAAAUAAGAGAAGGAAGGAUUAAUAAGAAAUAAAAAUAUUGAAAUGCUCCUCCUGUCCUACAUAUAUUGUUUUUACCUUUUCAUGACUGUAUUUUGGGGGGAGUGUGGAUUUUCUAUCAUGCACGGGACCUCCCGUGCAUGCAUCCAUCACAUUUUUUAUUGCUGUGUGGGGCCCCUAUUUUCUCUCACCUAACAUACAUUCACAUGUUAAUUUGUACUGACUAGGUUUCAUUCACUAGUGCAGAACAGGCCUUUAUCACUGGUUCAUAAGGGCCUUUAGUGCCGGUUCUGUAACCGGCACUAUGGAGUGGAGACUAAAGGCCCCCCUUUAGUACCGGUUCGGCACGAAUCGGCGCUAAAGUGCCACCACGUGGCACGAGCCAGUCCCGGGUGCUGGUAGACCAUUAGUACCGGUUGAUAACACCAACCGGUACUAAAUGUUUGGGGGGGUUUUGGUUUUAAUUUUUAAUUUUUCAUUAACUUUGGGUUUUCCAUUUAAUUCUUUUUUGUUUGCUGGUAUUUUACGAUACUACAUAUUGUACACGUUAUGCAUAUAUAUAUAAAUAGAUUUUCUCGUAGAACUGAUCAUAUAUAUAAUCGAAUGUCUCACAACCACCAUUAAUUAUUCACACAUACACNNNNNNNNNNNNNNNNNNNNNNNNNNNNNNNNNNNNNNNNNNNNNNNNNNNNNNNNNNNNNNNNNNNNNNUUUGCUGGUAUUUUACGAUACUACAUAUUGUACACGUUAUGUAUAUAUAUAUAAAUAGAUUUUCUCGUAGAACCAAUCAUAUAUAUAUAUAAUCGAAUGUCUCACAACCACCAUUAAUUAUUCACACAUACACAUGUAUAUAUAUAUAUAUAUAUAUAUAUAUAUAUAUAUAUAUAUAUAUAUAUAUAAUUUCUCCUCCAUGUUGCCUUGGUGCCUUCGGAGCACGAUGACAAGUGGUUCAUGGAGACGGUAGCGGGUAAUAGUAUUUUCCUUUGGGAUCUAUGACCUGCUCGAGCAAAAAUCUCGUUAUUUCCUCUUGAAGUGCUCGUAUGCGCUCUGUUGGUAGGAGCUGGUCCCGCAUGUCUUUGAACCGUUAAGAAGGAGAUCAAUAUGCAUGUGUAUUAGUUGUGUGACUAGAUAUCGAUAAUCAUGUAAGAUUUGUGAAUAGUGUUCUGGCAAACGUACCCAUUGUUGUCUAUCAUAUCUGCUCCUUUCGGACGCCAUUAUGCGAAUGUUCUUGAAAACGUAGUAUGCACACACUUCAGUCCCCGGCGCCUGCUUCAGGGCCUUUACGAGAAUAGAAUUUAAUCAGAUAAUAAUUAAUCAAGUGUGUUAAUUAAUUAAUGGUAUUGAAACAAGAAUUAAAGAGAUGGUAGCUAGCUAGCUAGUACUACUUAAUUACUUGCCUUGGGUCGAUACCAAAAUAGCUUUUGUCGCCAUUUUCCUGAAGUCACCUUGAUGUACUUUACCCAAGCCCUUCCCGUCGGCAAAGAAAAUUGAUAAAGGGGUUAUUAAAAAUAGUUCAUAUCAGGAAAUGAUAAACUAAAUAGGCCAAGAUAUAGUUAAUAAUGAUUGAAAUUACCUGUUGACUAUCCCUUCAUUAUGCUGUAGUCACUAUCUUUUUUAAGUAGUGAGUCCAGUACUUCAACUUUUCCUUCGUCAACUUUAAUGUCUAACAAGAUCCAGUGGUACCUGCAUACGCAUAAGUUUGCAUGUAUAAAUUAAGCGGGCAUGUGCAUAACACUAAUCAACUAUAACCCUAAACCCUUUACACUUAUUAACAUCUAGCUAGUAAGCAAAAACAGAAUUUGUAGUACAAGACAGUGUGACUCACUCGAAGUUGUAAGGAAGUAGUACAUCUUCAUUGCUAUUGAGGUGCUUCAAGAACUCUAGCAUGUUUUUCUCUACAUCUUGUCUACACCAUUCCAAUUUCCAUGUGUAUUCAUUAACAGUAUUUGGGUCAAUGAACCCAAUGCCAUAGCGUCUAGCUUUUUUCAUUUCAUACAUCUUCAUCCUGCAUAAUACCACAGAAAAGAAUAUAUAGUGAGGAUAUUUAAUUACAGGUAAUUAAUGAUCAAUCAAUGAGCACUAGAGCUAGCUUGAGACUUAAAUUACAGAAAGAAAUCACUUACAGACAAUAGCAACUGACGAUAGAUUUGUCGAGUGCAUCUUGAUUGAAUAACUGAAAUAGUUCUGAAUACUCAACAGUUAGAGCUUUCUUAUUGAAGUAAUGAUCUUCCUUGACUUGCACCAUGAGGGACUCUCAAUUGGAAAUCUUGAUAAUUUUCAUGUACCAAUCAUGCAAUUCAUACAUUCUCGUUGGGAGGUUCUUGACCUCCUCGGGCUCGACCAAAGGUUGGCCCCGGACAUAUUUCCGUUUUAUUUUCUCCUCUCUAAGCAGAGACAUGGGCUCGAUAUCGAGGAGUUGUCCAAUAGUGAUCUUGAGCAUUUCAGCCUGCAUUAUAUGAUCCUCGGUUAUUACCACACCACCCACCUCGGGAACGUAAAUGGUUGCGCCGCCUGUUCUCCCAGCUGGGGAACGGUUUUCCCGUAUUUUUUGACAGCUGCUUGUUGGCUCGAGCUCGAGCUCGCUUCUUUCCGUAGUCGUGCUCGAUGUGCCUUUCUGAUUUGGCGCUCAUAGUCUGAGUCAACAGGCUUGGGAGCUGGUGGCCUAGCCAUACGAAUGAAGUGGUCAAUAUUUUUCCUCAGGCACUUUCUCCCUCGGCGGCGUUGCCGGUUUCGGUCCAAAAUGGGCGUCCACUUGGGCCUUCACUAUGGCUGCAUUUUGCUCCUCGGUCAUGUUGUAAGGCCUCUGAGGAAGAGGAGCGAGGCUGCUUGGACCAUAUUUAUAUCGCUUGUCUCCGCCUGUACUUCCUGUACUACCUUGACUCGUACCACUACGCACCAUAGCUGCGGCGUGUCUCUUCUGCGAUUGCUGAGGCGGCGGAGACGGCUGACGUUGCUGAGUUGGAGCAGGAGGAGUGGCCUGACGCUGUGCCAGACUUGAAGCAGGAGGUGUGGCCACUAGUAGAAAAAGGGUCAAAUGUGAAGCACAUUAGUGCCGGUUUGUGAAAAAACCGGCACUAAUGUGAUCAAUAGUACCGGUUCGUGGCGGCGAUCAAUAGUAUCGGUUCGUGACGAACCUUUAGUACCGGUUCAUGCCACGAACGGUACUAAAGAGGAUGUGGCAGCCUGCAGUCAGGCUAUGGCCCCACCAUCACCAUUUAGUGCCGGUUCGUACCACGAACCAGUACUAAUGAGGUUAUGGCAAGCUGUUUUUAGUCCCACCUCGCUCCCCUAACAAGGCUUUUACCACCUUAAAUAUGUUACUUCUCAAACUAUCACAAGCACUUGGUCUUCAUUGAACUCUAUGUGUAGAAUUUGUGGCUGCAAUAUGAGUCUUCACCGGUUUAUAAAUCGUUGAGGACUCAUAUUGACAAUUCAGAUUGUACACAAAAAGAUCAUUGAUGAUCAAAGUAUUUUUAAUGUAUAAGAUCAUAGUGACAAUUCAGACUGUAAAGAAAUAUAAUAUCAUAAUCUAAAUGCUCUUAUAUUUUUUGCAUUCAGUAUGCACCAUUCAAAGCGACGCCAUCAACUUUCAACCAUUUAUGCCUUCAUUUGCUAUUUUUCAUGCAUUUAAUGAUUUGUUUUGAGAACUAAAUAACCUGGAAAUUGAAAAGCACUACAAAUGAACUCUGAAAAAGUUGAAACUUGGCAUGGUAUCAUCAUUUCACCCACAUAGCAUGUCCAAAAAAGUAGAGAGGGUUAUGGCAAAAACUGGAUGCACUUCGUUUACAAACUGGACAAUCUCUUUCGAAGUAUUUGGGUUUUGACGAAAUUAAACUCAUCUGUUACAAAGGCAUUUCAUUUUUUAAACUUAUUACAACCCCAGACUUUUUGUUCAUUAGUAUGCACUAUUCAACUACUAGGCGGGAGGAGCUCUUUAGUACCGGUUCCAACUGCUAAGCGGGAGGAGCUCUUUAGUACCGGUUCGUGGCGAACCUUUAGCACCGGUUCGUGCCACGAACUGGUACUAAUAAGGUUGUGUUAGGUAAGGCUGGGGCCCCACGAGCACCUUUAUUACGGGUUCAUGGCAUGAACCAGUACUACAGUUUCUUAGAAAGCUGUUUUUUAGUCCCACCUCGCGAAGAGAGAGGGACUAGGAGCGGUUUAUAAGCCCUGAGUGCAGAGACGAUGAAGAAGAGGCUCAAUGCUCACGUUGCUUAGCUUCAAGCCUUGAGGAAUAUGGUAGACUGCAUGGAGCUAUGUGCAAUGCAGUUUACACUAUUCCGAAAGGCUUGAAACUAAUUAACGAGCAUUGCAUCUCUUUUUUAUUUUUAAUAACUUAUUACAACUCCGGACUUCUUCUGUUAUGGCAAAAACUAGAUGCACUUCGUGUACAAACUGGACAAUCUCUUUUAAAGUAUCAGGGCCGGUUUCAGACGAAAACUCUGGUUAUAACUCCAGACUUUGACCAUCAAGUUUUAACCAUCAACUUGGCAUGGUAUAUGAAAAUAAAUGAAUAGAAGAAAAUAAAUAAAGCAGAAAAGAAAAAAACUAUAGCAGAAAAUAAAAAACUAUAUAAAAAACUACUCAGAAAUAAAUAGAAGAAAAUAAAUAUAGCAGAAAAGAAAAAAACUAUUCAGAAAUAAAUAGAAGAAAAAAUAAAGCAGAAAAGAAAAAAAACUAUAUUUGCUAUUUUUCAUUCGUUUACUGAUUUUUUUAGAGAGCCAAAUGACCGUGAAAUUAAAAAUCACUACAAAAUAAACUCUGAAAAUGUUGAAUUUUGGCAAACUAGAUAAAAAACUACUCACAAAUAAAUAGAAGAAAAUAAAUAUAACAGAAAAGAAAAAACUAUACAAAAAACUACGCAGAAAUAAAUAGAAGAAAAUAAAGCAGAAAAUAAAAAAACUAUACAAAAAAAUUGGGGCGCUGCCCAAUGGGCCUGCUAGGCCACGGGCGUGCAAUUACAGGCCCUAACGGCCCAACAGGCUCACAGGGCAGCGCACAGAAGUUAGGCCCAGAAGCCUGCUAUAUAUAGGAGUUCAAAGAGGCAGCCGCGGCUGGGUUUAUAAACCAGUGAGGCUGCCCUUCGCACGGGGAGAUGGGACUAAACGUCGUGCACCGCGGGUGGCAGCGCAAGGCCUUUAGUAUCGGUUGGUGGCUCCAACCGGUACUAAAGCUCGUGCCUUUAGUACCGGUUGGAGUCACCAACCGAUACUAAAGGCCAUCGGUUCCCGUCGUUUGGCCUGGCGAAAAUAGGCCUUUAGUACCAGUUGGAGGCACCAACCGGUACUAAAGGCCCAUCCUAUAUAUAUAGCACUUACGAAAUUUUCAGUUUCAUCCCCCACUUCGUCUCUCGAACCGCGUGCGCCGCUCGAUCCCCGUCGUGUCGCCGCACGUCGCCCGUCGUCCGUCGUCGUCGUCGCUGUCCCCCGCCGCCGCCCGUCGUCGUCGUCGUCUCACGCCGCUGCCCUGAACGCCGCCGCUGUCUGUCGUCGUCGCCGCGGCGCCGCCCGAUACGUCUCUCCCCGCCCCGUACGCCGACGCCCCUGCCCCCGCCCCGUACGCCGCCGCCCCCGCCCCCGCCCCGUACGCCGGCGCCCCCGCGGCGUACUGCACAUACACACACACGUAUACAUAUACACGCAGUACACACAUAUACACACACAUACACAUACACAUUUUUUUACUAGUUGAAUAAUUUAUAUAAUUAAUAUAACUAGUUUAUUUUAGUAAGAAAAUAAUCGAACUAGUUUAUUUAGGUAUAUGAGAUUUGAACUAGUUGAAUAAUUAAUAUAACUAGUUUAUUUUUAGUAAGAAAAUAGUCGAACUAGUUUAUUUAGGUAUAUGAGAUUUGAACUAGUUGAAUAAUUAAUAUAAAGAAAAUUUAGGUAUCUGAGAUUUGAUGAUCUAAUUAAAAUAUUAUUUGUUAAUGAGUUUUUCUGUUUAUUUAAUUUUUUUUAUAUAUUUUUAGUUUAUAUAAAUGUUAGAUUAAUGUCGAAUGUUAAAUGAAUUAGAUAGAAAAGUUAAAUAUAUAGUAAUGUCAAUUGUUAGAGAUGAAUAUAGUUAGAUAUAUUAAUGUCAAAUGUUAGAUGAAUAUAUAUAUUUGAAUUAGCUAGAUAUUAAUUAAUGUUAGAUAGUAAUAAGUGUUUAAUGUUUCACUUAUAUGAACAUAGGAAAUGUCAUCUGACAACGAAGAAGAUUUCAUUAUGUGCGAACACUNNNNNNNNNNUCUCCUACAUGUUGCCUUGGUGCCUUCGGAGCACGAUGACAAGUGGUUCAUGGGGGCGGUAGCGGGUGAUAGUAUUCUCCUUUGGGAUCUAUAACCUGGUCGAGCAAAAAUCCCGCUAUUUCCUCUUGAAGUGCUCGUAUGCGCUCCUCUGAUAGGAGCUUGUCCCGCACCUAUUUGAACUGUUAAGAAGGAGAUCAAUAUGCAUGUGUAUUAGUUGUGUGACUAGAUAUCGACAAUCAUGUAAGAUUUGUGAAUAUUGUUCUGGCAAACGUACCCAGUCCUGUCUAUCAGAUCUGCUCCUUUCGGACGCCAUCAUGCGAAUGUUCUCGCAAACGUAGUAUGCACACACUUCAGUCUCCGGCGCCUGCUUCAGGGCCUUUACGACAAUAGAAUUUAAUCAGAUAAUAAUUAAUCAAGUAUGUUAAUUAAUUAAUUGUAUUGAAACAAGAAUUAAAGAGAUGGUAGUUAGCUAGCUAGUACUACUUAAUUACUUACCUUGGGUCGAUAUCAACAUAGCUUUUGUCGCCAUUUUCCUGGAGUCACCUUGAUGUACUUUGCCCAAGCCCUGCCCGCCGGCAAAGAAAAUUAAUAAAGGGGUUAUUAAAAAUAGUUCAUAUCAGGAAAUGACGAACUAAAUAGGCUGAGAUAUAGUUAAUAAUGAUUGAAAUAACCUGUCGACUAUCCCCUUCACGAUGCUGUAGUCACUAUUUUUUUAAGUAGUGAGUCCAGUACUUCAACUUUUCCUUCGUCAACUUUAAUGUCUAAUAAGAUCCAGUGGAAGCUGCAUGCGCAUACGUUUGCAUGUAUAAAUUAAACGGGCAUGUGCAUAACACUAAUCAACUAUAACCCUAAACCCUAUACACUUAUUAACAUCUAGCUAGUAAGCAAAAACAGAAUUUGUAGUACAAGACAGUGUGACUCACUCGAAGUUGUAAGGAAGUAGUAUAUCUUCAUUGCUAUUGAGGCGCUUCAAGAACUCUAGCAUGCAUUUCUCUACAUCUUGUCUACACCUUUCCAAUUUUCAUGUGUAUUCAUUAACGGUAUUUGGGUCAAUGAACCCAAUGCCAUAGCGUCCAGCUUUUUUCAUUUCAUACAUCUUCAUCCUGCAUAAUACCACAGAAAAGAAUAUAUAGUGAGGAUAUAUAAUUACAGGUAAUUAAUGAUCAAUCAAUGAGCACUAGAGCUAGCUUGAGACUUAAAUUACAGAAAGAAAUCACUUACAGACAAUAGCAACUGACGAUAGAUUUGUCGAGUGCAUCUUGAUUGAAUAACUGAAAUAGUUUUGAAUACUCAAUGGCCAGAACUUUCUUAUGGAAGUAAUGAUCUUCCUCGACUUGCACCAUGAGGGACUCUCGAUUGGAAAUCUUGGUAAUUUUCAUGUACCAAUCAUGCAAUUCAUACAUUCUCGUUGGGAGGUUCUUGACCUCCUCGGGCUCGACCAAAGGUUGGCCCCGGACAUAUUUCCGUUUUAUUUCCUCCUCUCUAAGCGGAGGCAUGGGCUCGAUCUCGAGGAGUUGUCCAACAGUGAUCUUGAGCAUUUCAGCCUGCAUUAUAUGCUCCUCGGUUAUUACCACAUCGCCCAGCUCGGGAACGUAAACGGUUUGCCCACAAUAAUAUUGGGCGCGCGUACUCUCAUGUGUUGUUGGCACAACAAGCGAGGGGGGGGGGGUGGUCGAUUGCGCCGCCUGUUCUCCCAGCUGGGGAACGGUUUUCCCGCAUUUUUUGACAGCUGCUUGUUGGCUCGAGCUCGAGCUUGCUUCUUUCUGUAGUCGUGCUCGAUGUGCCUUCUUGAUUUGGCGCUCAUAGUCUGAGUCAACAGGCUUGGGAGCUGGUGGUCUAGCCAUACGAAUGAAGUGGUCAAUCUUUUCCUCAGGCACUUUCUCCCUCGGCGGCGUUGCCGGUUUCGGUCGAAAAUGAGCGUCCACUUGGGCCCACACUAUUGCAUCGUUUUGCUCCUCGGUCAUGUCGUAAGGCCUCUGAGGAAGAGGAGCGAGGCUGCUUGGACCAUAUUUAUAUCGCUUGUCUCCGCCUGUACUUUCUGUACUACCUCGACUCGUACCGCUACGCACCAUAGCUGCGGCGUGUCUCUUCUGCGAUUGCUUAGGCGGCGGAGACGGCUGACGUGGCUUAGUUGGAGCAGGAGGAGUGGCCCGACGCUGUGCCGGACUUGAAGCAGGAGGUGUGGCCUGACACGGUGUCGGACUUGAAGCAGGAGGUGUGGCCUGACGCCGUGCCGGACUUGAAGCAGGAGGUGUGGCCUGACACGGUGGCGGACUUGGAGGAGCGGGAGUCUGCUGACACGGUGGCGGACUUCGAGGAGGAGUCGGCAGACGCGGUGUCGGUGGACUUCGAAAGAUGAUGCAAUCCUUUUUCCAUAGGAUGAAACGAUGUAUGGCCUCUCCCAGUGUUUGCUCGUCGUCACCUCCAGGAAUGUCAAGCUCUAGCCCCGAAUAUGGGCCCACCACCUCAUCAACCAAGACACGAGCAUAGCCCUCUGGAAUCGGGGCACAAUGGAAGGUUGCUCCGGGGGUAAUUGUAAAAGCAACGGCGUUCGCCACCUUCAUGGAUAUGUUCUUCAUUUUGUAGUGUAGCUCACAGUUAGUGUUCUCUAUGAUGUCAUCCACAGGGUAUGUAUCCAGCAGUGCGUCGCCCGGGGCGGAACCAACGCUGCUUCUCGGCAUGGAUGGGACGGCGCUAUCCAAUGCUGGAUGAUCAUCCGCUUGCUGCUGCCGCUGCUGAGACCCCCUUUCCUGGCUAAGUGAGUCGAUCUGCUGCUGUUGCUGCUGCUGGAAUUUGAGUGCCAAGUCCGCGUGCCUUGCUUCUAGGCCUUGAAGGCGUUCCGCGUCCUGCUUCCUCUGCUCCUCCUCCAGCUUCCUCUUCUUCUCCUCCUCCAUCUUCUUUCUUGCACGGGUCCUGUAGUCGUCGUUCCAUUCCGAAAAGCCCUCAUACCAGGGAAUAACGCCCUUGCCUCGCGUUCUUCCCGGGUGUUCAGGAUUUCCCAGGGCACGCGUAAGCUCGUCGUUCUCUCUGUUGGGCGUGAACACCCCCUUUCGAGCAUCUUCUAUUGCGUCAAGUAACUUUUCUUCUGCUCCGUUUAGACUUGCCUUCUUCGAAACCAGGCCUGUCUUCGGGUCCAACGCCCCCCCAUGCGCAUAGAACCAAGUUCUGCACCUGGGGGGCCAGCUCCUAGUAACCGGAGUGACCCCUGCAUCCUCCAUCUCUUGCUCAGACUUAUCCCACUUAGGCAUUGCCACCGCGUAGCCACCUGGACCCAGCCUAUGGAACUGCGUCUUUUUUGCGGCAUUGGCCUUGUUUUUUCUCGACGUUCCUUAGAUAAUUCUGAUUCCUUGAAUUUCACGAAAGCGGGCCAGUGUUCUCUUUGCUUCUCCAGUGUUCCCUUGAAUUCUGGAGUCUUCCUUUCUGCAGUGAGGUAGUUGGCCCAUACAGUUUUCUUGUGGGUGUUGAAUGCAAUUGCCAUCUUCUUAAGAGCAGCGUCCUUGACUUUCUGCACAUCUGCAUCAGUGAAAUAAUCUGAUAGGGUGAAAUGUUCCAUCAGAGAUUUCCAAAGCUUUUGUUUUGCUCUGUCGUCGACCCAAGUAAUAUCUGGGCGUUUAGUUUUUGGCUCUUUCCAUUCUUGAAUGGAGAUCGGGAUUUGGUCCUUCACAAGAACUCCGCACUGACGAACGAACUUGCUCGCAAUGUUCUUAGGCGUGAGGGGUUCGCCACUAGCUUUGAUGGAAUCGAUGUUGUACUUUACACCCUCCUUCAACUUUUUGCUCGGGCCGCGCUUUGUCCUGCUGUCUGUAGAAGCAGAUUUGCUCGAUCCGGAGGGCUGAAAGAAGAAAGAUCGAUUCGUUAAUAUAUCUUCAAAUAAAAAAACAUGUGAUGAUCACUAGAUGACUGCUUAUAUAAAUAUACCUCGCCGGUAGUCUUUGUUAUUUCAAGAUCAACAUUGUAUUCGUCAUCAUAAUCAUUGUCUGCGUCAUCAUAAUCAUAAUCAUAGUUCAUGACUUCAUCAGCUCGGUCGUCGAGAUUGAAUAUCUUAUCAUCACCCUCCCCGGUAUUGUUCAGAUAUUGGGAGCCGUCAUUUGCUUCAUUUAGAUCAUCUGGCCUGCUAGGGCUGCGUAUGAUCUCGAACAGGGCCUCUUCUCCCUCUCUGCCGGUAUUGUCCGCCAUAGCUUUUAUUUAACUAAUACAAAAGAAAUAUAAAACAAUUAAGUAUUCAAAUUACAAUGCAUGGAUGCAAUCAAUAAGGAAAAACUGAAUCAUAUAGUACAUAAUAUGCAUCGUCUCGAAUAAUAUAUAAUCUCGAAUACAUCGUCUCGAAUAAUAUAUAAUCUCAAAUACAUCACUGGCUAGGUAGCUAAUAAAGAUCGAAUACUAUAGAAGAAUCUAGGCCACUCGCGGUUCCUGGGGCGCGGGCGGUGGACACCCAAAGACAAGGAACCAUCACAGAAUCAUAUCUCUGGUCAUCUGCCCAAAGAACCUGCCAGGUAUUGGAGAACCUGACGUCCAUAGCAGCCAUGUAGCGAUGGACGUGCUCGUCCUCCUCCCUGACACGACGACGCACCACCUCUGGCGGGGCCGGCUCCCUCUGCACCGAAUGUGGCCCACGCGAACGCCACUAAAGGAGAUCAGGGUCGACAACGGGACCCGAGGCUGGGUCCCUCACCAAGCGGCGCGCCCCUCCAGGUAGCACCUCCCAAUGCCAGCCCGGCGGAGCCCAAUCCCGGACAUGGGUCAGCCGGACGUCGUCGCGAACGGGUCGACGGCGAGGAUGCAGGCCGGGCAUCGUCGAGAACAAAUACUAUAUGCCCGCAAAAAGUAACAUUUUUUAAAAGAUUGGAUUGUGAUAACUAAAAUUCUAUAUGCAAAUUCUAACAAUUUGACAUUAAUCUAAUUCAUCUAACUAAAACUAAUUCUAAAAUUUCUAACAUUUCUAUAUAUAUAACUAACAUUUCUAUAACAUUUCUAAUAUUUCUAUAACUAAAAAACAGAAAAAUUGCUACGAUGACGCGGAUGGCGACGAGGGGGGCAGCGACGGGGGCGGCGACGACGGGGACGGGGACGGCCGGGGCGGCGACAACGGNNNNNNNNNNNNNNNNNNNNNNNNNNNNNNNNNNNNNNNNNNNNNNNNNNNNNNNNNNNNNNNNNNNNNNNNNNNNNNNNNNNNNNNNNNNNNNNNNNNNNNNNNNNNNNNNNNNNNNNNNNNNNNNNNNNNNNNNNNNNNNNNNNNNNNNNNNNNNNNNNNNNNNNNNNNNNNNNNNNNNNNNNNNNNNNNNNNNNNNNNNNNNNNNNNNNNNNNNNNNNNNNNNNNNNNNNNNNNNNNNNNNNNNNNNNNNNNNNNNNNNNNNNNNNNNNNNNNNNNNNNNNNNNNNNNNNNNNNNNNNNNNNNNNNNNNNNNNNNNNNNNNNNNNNNNNNNNNNNNNNNNNNNNNNNNNNNNNNNNNNNNNNNNNNNNNNNNNNNNNNNNNNNNNNNNNNNNNNNNNNNNNNNNNNNNNNNNNNNNNNNNNNNNNNNNNNNNNNNNNNNNNNNNNNNNNNNNNNNNNNNNNNNNNNNNNNNNNNNNNNNNNNNNNNNNNNNNNNNNNNNNNNNNNNNNNNNNNNNNNNNNNNNNNNNCGGGGGCGGCGGGCGACGGGGCAGAGGAGAAGAAGCAGAUGAAAACUGACGAAAUUUCUAAGUGCUGCUUAUAUAGGAUGGGCCUUUAGUACCGGUUGGAGCCACCAACCGGGACUAAAGGUCAAAUUUGGCCAGCCCAAGCGGCGGGAAGCGCACCCCUUUAGUACCGGGUGGUGGCACCAACCGGUACUAAAGACCCCCCUUUAGUACCGGUUGGAGCCACCACCCGGUACUAAAGGGUGUGCGCUGCUAGGCGAGGGGCGCAGAAGUUUAGUCCCACCUCGCUAGUUGAGGAGCGCCAGGACCAGUUUAUAAGCCCCGAUGCGGGCACUGCAUUGAGCUCCUCUCAAUAGUAGGCCUUCUGGGCCUACCUCUCCUACUCUGCCUGUGGGCCUACUGGGCUUGCGGGCCUGCAUCCUGGCCCAACUACAGGUUGGGUUUCUAGUCGUAUGCAGGCCGCUCUGGCCGAGUAGGUGGGCUUUUUUAUUUUCUUUUUUUUUUACUUUAUUUAUUUUUGAGUUGUUUUUUGCUGUAUUUAGAGUUUCUUUGGGAAUAUUUUUGCUUUAGGUACAAAAAAUUACAAAGUUUCUGUUAAUGCCGGUAGUUUACAAAUUUGAAUAGUUUAUAUUUUGAAUUAUUUGAAAUUUGUGUGAAUCACUAGUUUGUGAAUAACUUAACUUUGAAAAUAGAUUUUCAGUGAUUCUUUUAUCUUAUGUUUAAUAUUAGUGUGUUUUAUCAUUAUAUUCAAUUUGGUAAUGCUUAGGUUAUUUAAAAAAUGAAAUCCCUUUGUAACGGAUGAGUUUUUGUCCGAAACCCUGAUACUUCGAAAGAGAUUGUCCAUUUUAUACACGAAGUGCAUCCAGUUUUUGCGGUAACCCUCUCUAUUUUUUUGCACAUGCUAUAUGGGUGAAAUUAUGAUACCAUGCCAACUUUCAACCUUUUCUGAGUUCAUUUGAAAUGCUUUUCAAUUUCAGGGUCAUUUAGCUGAAAAAAUCAGUAAAUGCAUGAAAGAAUUUGUUUGCACAUAAAAUUUCUUCGCGUUUCAAAUGUCAAAACACAUAACUACCCUAACUAUUACAGAGAUUCCUUCCUGGGUGUGAAACACAGAAGAAAUUGAUGAUAGUGAAGCCGAUCACAUCCCAGAUCUUUGGGUGUGUAACUUUUUCUUCGCAUAUGUCCCUUUGCGCCGUAGCCAUGGAAAAUCUUCAUCAUUUAACUGGAUGCUCGGGUCAAUAUUCACUGUGAAUGGAGCAAUUUCAUCAAUCUUUUCAUAAUCUUCUGACAUGUCUGUCUUGUCAUCCACUCCCACGAUGUUUCUCUUCCCAGAAAGAACUAUGUGGCGCUUUGGCUCAUCGUAUGAUGUAGUCGCUUCCUUGUCUUUUCUUUUUCUCGGCUUGGUACACAUAUCCUUCACAUAGAAAACGUGUGCCACAUCAUUAGCUAGGACGAAUGGUUCAUCUGCAUACGCAAGAUUGUUGAGAUCUACUGUUGUCAUUCCAUACUGCGGGUCUUCCGUUACCCCAUAUCGUGUCAUAUUGACCCAUUUGCACCGAAACAAAGGGACCUUCAAAUCACGUCCAUAGUCAAGUUCCCAUAUCUCCUCUAUGUAACCAUAAUAUGUUUCCUUUCCCGUCUUGGUUGUUGCAUCAAAGCAGACACCACUGUUUUGGUUGGUGCUCUUCUUAUCUUGGGCGAUCGUGUAAAAUGUAUUACCAUUUAUCUCGUACCCUUUGAAAGUCAUUAUAUUCGUAGAUGGUAACUAGGACAGCGAGUACACAUCAUCUUCAAUAGAGGCGUCAUGCAUGGUACGUGUCUGCAACCAGCCGGCGAAACUCCUGGUUUGUUCACGUGUAAUCCAGUCAUCAGACCGCUCCGGGUGUUUGGAGCGUAGAAAAUUCUUGUGUUCGUCCAUAUACGGAGCCACCAAGGCGGAAUUCUGUAUAACUGUGUAGUGUGCUUCAGUGAGAGAAUGUCCGUCCAUACAUAUUUUUUGAUUCCCUCCUAGCGUGCCUUUUCCAUCUAGUCUGCCCUUAUGCCGCGAUUCAGGAACACCAAUCGGCUUAAGGUCAGGAAUAAAGUCAAUACAAAACUCAAUGACCUCCUAAUUUUCAUGGCCCUUGGAGAUGCUUCCUUCUGGCCUAGCACGGUUAUGAACAUAUUUCUUUAAGACUCCCAUGAACCUCUCAAAGGGGAACAUAUUGUGUAGAAAUACAGGACCCAAAACACUAAUCUCUUCGCAUAGGUGAACUAGGACGUGCGUCAUGAUGUUGAAGAAGGAUGGUGGGAACACCAACUCAAAACUGACAAGACUAAUCGAACGUUGAGGAAUGCACGCAUAGCUUCACAAUGGCUAAUCGAACGUUAUCCGGUAGAAGCCCCCUCAAUGCAACCGGAAGCAGUUGCGUCAUAAUCACGUGGCAGUCAUGAGACUUUAGGUUCUGGAACUUUUUCUCUGCCAUGUUUAUUAUUCCCUUUAUAUUCGACGAGAAGCCAGACGGUACCUUAAUACUGAGCAGACAUUCAAAGAAGAUUUCCUUCUCUUCUUUGGUAAGAGCGUAGCUGGCAUGACCCUGAUGUAUGCCGUCUUUUCCAUGCAUACGUUGCUAGUCCUCCCGUGCCUCAGGUGUAUCUUUUGUCUUCCCAUACACGCCCAAGAAGCCAAGCAGGGUCACGCAAAGAUUCUUCGUCACGUGCAUCACGUCGAUUGCAGAGCGGACCUCUAGAUCUUUCCAAUAGGGCAGGUCCCAAAAUAUAGAUUUCUUCUUCCACAUGGGUGCGCGUCCGUCAGCAUCAUUCGGAACAGGUUGUCCGCCAGGACCCUUUCCAAAGACUACCUUCAAAUCCUUGACCAUAUCAUGUACAUCAGCACCAGUACGGUGGCGAGGCUUCGUCCGGUGAUCCGCCUCACCUUUGAAAUGCUUGCCUUUCUUUCUUACGGGAUGCCUGCUCGGAAGAAAUCGACGAUGUCCUAGGUACACAUUCUUCCUACAAUUGUCCAAAUAUAUACUGUCGGUAUCAUCCAAACAGUGCGUGCAUGCGCGGUAUUCCUUGUUUGUCUGUCCUGAAAGGUUACUGAGAGCAGGCCAAUCAUUGAUGGUCACGAACAGCAAGGCCUUUAGGUCAAAUUCUUCCCCCAAGUGCUCAUUCCACGCACGUACACCUGUUCCAUUCCACAGCUGUAAGAGUUCUUCAACUAAUGGCCUUAGGUACACAUCAAUGUCGUUGCCGGGUUGCUUAGGGCCUUGGAUGAGGACUGGCAUCAUAAUGAACUUCCACUUCAUGCACAACCAAGGAGGAAGGUUAUACAAACAUAGAGUCACAGGCCAGGUGCUAUGGUUGCUGCUCUGCUCCCCAAAAGGAUUAAUGCCAUCUGCGCUUAGACCAAACCAUACGUUCCUUGCGUCAUCUGCAAACUCCUUCCCGUACUUUCUCUCAAUUUUUCUCCACUGCGACCCGUCAGCGGGUACUCUCAACUUUCCGUCUUUCUUACGGUCUUCUCUGUGCCAUCGCAUCGCCUUGGCAUGCUCUUUGUUUUGGAACAAACGUUUCAACCGUGGUAUUAUAGGAGCAUACCACAUCACCUUGGCAGGAAUCUUCUUCCUGGGGCACUCGCCCUCGACAUCACCAGGGUCAUCGCGCCUGAUCUUAUAGCGCAAUGCACCGCAUACCGGGCAAGCGUUCAAAUCCUCGUACUCACCGCGGUAGAGGAUGCAGUCAUUAGGGCAUGCAUGUAUCUUCUGCACCUCUAACCCUAGAGGGCAGACAGCCUUCUUUGCUUCGUACGUACUCUCGGGCAAUUCGUUGUCCUUUGGAAGCAUAUUCUUUAUCAUUACCAGCAACUUUCCAAAUCCCUUGUCAGAUACACCAUUCUCUGCCUUCCAUUGCAGCAAUUCCAGUGUGGUGCCCAACUUUUUCUUGUCAGCUUCGCAAUUCGGGUACAACAAUUUCUUGUGAUCCUCUAACAUGCGCUGCAACUUCUUCUCCAAAUCACUUGCGCAGUUUCUCUUUGCAUCGGCAAUGGCCCGACCUAGAUCAUCAGCGGGCUCAUCUGAUGCCUCUUCUUCAGCUUCUUCCCGCAUUGCCGGCUCAGCUUCUUCCCUCAUUGUUGUAUCAUCGUAUUCAGGGAACCCAUGGCCAGGAUAGUUGUCGUCGUCCUCUUCUUCUUCAUUGUCUUCCAUCAUAACCCCUCUUUCUCCGUGCUUGGUCCAAACAUUAUAGUGGGGCAUGAAACCAGGACUUAAACAGGUGGACGUGAAUGGUUCUUGACGUAGAGUAAUUGUGAUCAUUCUUACAGACUAAACAUGGACAAGGCAUAAAACCAUCCGCCCGCUUGUUUGCCUCAGCCGCAAGCAGAAAAGUUUGCACGCCAUUAAUGAACUCGGGAGAGCAUCGGUCAUCGUUCAUCCAUUGUCGGCUCAUCUUCAUUACACAACACCGAAUAGACCAAAUUAAUACAAGUUCAUACAUAAAGUUCAUACAAGCCUUAAAUGCAACAAACAAAUAACUCUCUAACUAAAAAAUUUAAAUGCAACAACAAAUGCGAUCAAGAUCGCAACUAAGGUGACAAUUGAUCCAACAACAUAAUGAUACCAAGCCUCACUAUCAAUGGCAUAUUUUCUAAUCUUUCUAAUCUUCAAACGCAUUUUCUCCAUCUUGAUCUUGUGAUCAUCGACGACAUCGGCAACAUGCAACUCCAAUUCCAUCUUCUCCCCCUCAAUUCUUUUCAAUUUUUCUUUCAAAUACUCGUUUUCUCUUUCAACUAAAUUUAACCUCUCGACAAUAGGGUCGGUUGGAAUUUCCGGUUCACAAACCUCCUAGACAAAAAUAUCUAUGUCAACUUGAUGGGCAUAAUUUGUCAUAAACACGAAAUGCAACAACUAGUUUUAAAAGAGAAUAUACCACAUCCGAAUCAUAAUAAGGAUGAGGGCCGACGGGGACGGAUAUCAAAACCAUGGCACUAUGUAUAACAAACAAUGUACGGGUAAGAUAAUUAUACGAGUAACUAUAUAUCCAAAUCACACAAACAUCAAUUUGGUAAUGUAAAACAUUCAUGAACAAGAGGCUCACCACAAGGUGGUGCCGGCGACGGAACGGUGUGGGCGAUCGACUGUGGUUACGAUAGAGAUUUAGAAGGCACUAAGUAAACCACACCUACAUAUGCAAACUAAGUGUUAGUUUUGACCACAAAUUGCAUAUAAGUCAAAUACUAGCACAUAUAUUUUCUACCAAAUUACUAAACUCAUAAAUUAAUCACUAUACAAAGCAUUGCAAGAGCUAAUCUAGCAAUGAGAGAUGAAAGGACAAAGUUGCUAACCUUUGUGGUCAUUUGAAUGGAUGGGGGCCUUCAAAUCUUGACAAAUUUUGGGCAAAAUGUGUGAUGAGCUCGAGAGGAAGAGGGGAAGAACAUAGAGGAGAGGGGAAAGGGGAAGAACAGAGCGAGCUCGGGUGGACGAAAGGCUUAUGUACGACGACCUUUAGCAUCGGUUCGUGCCACGAACCGGUACUAAAGGUGCUGGAGGGGCCCCGGACUGACAACAUCCUUCCACCUCUCACUUUAGUACCGGUCCGUAGCACGAACCGGUGCUAAAGGUCGGCCACGAACCAGUACUAAUGAAAGCAGCUGGCUAGCCGUUGGAACCGGCACUAAUGCACACAUUAGUGCCGGCUCAAAAGCAAACCGGCACUAAUGUGCUUGACAUUUGACCCUUUUCUACUAGUGAUUCAAGUAAAUAGAUGCCUAAUGCAUGUUGAAAUAAAAGUUUGCUUUACAUUCUGUUUGCACAAUUGUGUUUUUUACAAAGUCUUUAAAACAAGACCAAUAUUGAAUAUAUUUUUAGAAAUUAAUUUUUGACAACUAAAUCACCAUGCUUCGAACUUGUUCCAUACAUAUUUAUUAAUUCCAUGUGAAAAUUUUAAUAAUGUACAUUUCACAAAUUAUUAUCUUAUUGUUUCACUAUGGCUCCCCAUGUUCCGUUGCAUUUCAUAAUGAUACAUUGUGUGCCAAUGUGUAUCAAACUGAUUCUUAGUAAUCUAAAAGUUUGUAAAUAUUAAUAUAUUUUAUUGCAACAAAACUUUGGCCUUAUCUAGUGUUUAACAAAACAUGGCAUAGUUAUGUGUACUCUUAUAGUGUUUCACUAUGUUUCAGAAUUUAAAUUUUAAAAAUUAUUGAAAUAUAUUCAAAAGUGGUCUCUUUUCAAAGGUCUCGUUGUCAAAAACACAAAUAUGAAACCGGAUCAUAAAUUGUACUUUUGGUUCAUAAGACCAAUUAGAUUUGAACUUGGAAAUAAAAUGAAAAAGUAUGAAAUGGUGGAACGUAGGUGGAACAGUGUACUUGCAUGUGAUGAAAGAAAUAACUAACUAACUGCCAGCGGUAUAAAUGCAUGGCAUCGGAUCUCCAAACAAACCAACGGCGCAUGCAUGCACGGUACCUCCCGUGCAUGGGAGAUUAGCUUUUCUCUAUUUUGGGGGAUACUGUGCCAGUUCAGACUUGGCGUUUGGCAGCGUGGCCUGUUCAUGUGUUUGAUUGGGCGUAGUAGUGUGUGGGUACUUCAGUUAGAUGGUAUGCAGCGGAUCGAGUCUAUCGACCGUGUGGCGAUGCCUGUAGAUUGUAGCACUAAAAUAUGAUGCUCAUUCAUAAACUAAUUUAGAUAAAGCCGCAAAAAAAAUGUGCUAGUUUUUUUUUGUGCUCACAUACUCUGUUUUGUCUCAGUUUUAGUCCAGGGCAACUUUGAAGCUUAUCUUAGGGUGGUAGCCAGAAAAAUGUGUUAAAGACCUUAUUAAGAAGUGAAGAAGAAUAGGCGUCUCCAGUUUUUGUUUCUCCAACUCUAUGCCUACACUGUAAUAUUAUUGAUGGAUUAGCUCCAGUUGAUGCAACUGUACUCUUUCUGGUAGGUCUGAGAUGCGAGUGAGCCAGAUCGAUCCUGAGCUAGCUACUUGUCUCCCUUAAGUCUUACAGCAAGACAAAUGCACUGGACUACAAAGAGGAAAUUCCUGCAGGUUCGUAAUGCAUCUGUUUUGGUUCUGGCAUUUGUCAGAUGUGUAUAGUCCCUUUUCGGUUCUUUCCCGUUGUAUAAGGGGUUUCCUGCAUUUCACCACACAUGUAUAUGUAAUGGCCUUUGACCCUCAGUGAAUACUAGUUGCUGUUUAUCCAACAUGGUAUCAGAUGUUAGGUUCCUCUCUCUCCUGCACGCUGCAACUCCGUGCUAGCUCGCCUCCCCUGAUUCGCUUCGUCCCCUUGCCAUCCGGCUGAUGCUGCUCUCUGGCCGAUUCCGGCUGCCCCCGACCUGAGCUCCGCCCGGUCCUCCUCGUCGUGGAUCCGCCGGGGCCUGCUCGAUCCGGCCUCCCCGGCCUAUCCACGGCCAGGCUCGGCCACCCCUCGCCGCGGAUCCAACCGGGACCUGCUCGUCCCGUGCUCGGCCGUAGCCCUCCUUGCCGCUCGGCCACCCCGCGGAUCCGCCUAUGCCCGACCGGGGCCCUCCUCGCCGUGGAUCCGGUCUCUCCGGCCCGUCCAAUGCCAGGCUCGGCCCGGCCGCCGCCGCCUCCUGCCGGCCGGCCGCCGUCGCCCCUUUCUCCGCCUCGCCUUGGAUCCGGCCGGGGUCUGCUCGUCCCGUGCUCGUCGGGUCCUUGCUUGGCCGCUCGUCUGCCUGGCCGCUCGUCCCGUGCUCCUGCACUCGGGUUCGGCCCUCUGUGGUCAAUGUGUGUUGCCUAUAGUUGACCCUGUGUAAAAAAACCCAAUGAGCUCGUCAUGUCUCCGUCAGGCUAUGUGGCUGUUCCUCGGUGCUCGGUGAUCUUCGAUGGCACCAACUAUGCUGAGUUUGUGGGUUUCAUGCGCAUUCACAUGCGUGGUCUUCUCCUGUGGGGCGUUCUCUCUGGCGAGGUUCCAUGUCCGCCUUGCCCUGUUGCUCCUGUGGCUCCUAUCCCGCCGGUGCCGCCUGUUCUUGCUGUUGAUGCUUCUCAGGCUGAUCGGGAUACAGCCAAGGCCCUUGACGAUGCCGCGGUUGAUGCUUAUGAUCAGCAGGUAUCCGCCUACUCAGAUGCUCUUUCUGCUUACCGAAACGAUUUGUCUGCUUACACUCAGUGGUGCAACGAUGAUGCUCGAGCUACUGCUGUUCUCACUUCGAGUGUCUUACCUCAGUUUGCAUCUGAGUUCAUGGGUCUCAGUAUUGUUGCUGCGAUGUGGUCCUAUCUUUGUCAGUGAUAUCAGCCCUCUGGUGAUGCUCUCUACUUAUCUGUGGUGCAUCAGGAGCACGCUCUUCACCAGGGUGACCCUUCUGUUGAUGAGUUCUACUCACAGAGCUCUGCCAUCUGGCGCCAGAUUGACUCUCUCAGGAUAGUUGUUUGUGGUUCUUGCCGUUGUUGCCAGACUGUACGGUCAGACUUGGAGUUUCAUCGUCUCCAUGAGUUCUUAUCUCACCUUCAUCCAGAGUUUGAGCCUCGGCGUGCUCACCUGCUUGCUCGUGGUCGUGUUCCUAUUUUGGAGGUGCUUGUAGAGCUUCCUGCCGAGGAGACACGCCUCCGUUCUGCUGGUCUGCUUGUGGUUCCCACUGUGCUUGCUGCCCGAGCUCCUGUGUCGUCUGCUCGCCUCACCACUCGACCACUCCUGCCCACACCUCCAGGGGGUGGUUCACCCUCCUUCAGGCGAGGGUCGAUCGCGCUCGCACACCUUCCGUGGCUACUGCAACAGGCCAGGUCACCCAAAGUCUGAUUGUCACAAGAAGCGGAAAGACCUGAAGCGCUCUUCUUCUAGUGGGACUCGUGCGUCUUCCUCGACUUCGUCGCUCAUUGACCAGGAUAUUGUGCGGCUCAAGCGCAUGUUGGCUUCCUCUGGUUCUUCCUCGACGGGUUCUGUUGCCGCUGUGACUACCACUACCACUCCGCCGCCGUCGGAGCCUACUCAGUGAGGUACAUCCUCGUGGGUUCUGGAUUCUGGAGCUUCUUUCCAUAUGUCUUUUGACUCUUCUGCUUUAUCUUCUCUUCGACCUCUUGAUUUUCCUCUUAAUGUUCUCACUGCCGAUGGCACACCCCUUCCUGUUACUAGUCGUGGCAUUCUUUCCACUCCGUCUUUUUCGGUUCCUAGUGUUUCUCAUGUUCCUCGUCUUACCAUGAAUCUUUUUUCCGCUGCCCAACUUACUGAUUCUGGUUGUCGUGUCAUUCUUGAUGCCGACUCUUGUUCUGUUCAGGAUCGUCGCACUCAGGCUCUGGUUGGCGCUGGCCCUCGGCGCGGUGAGUCUAAGGGACUUUGGGAGGUUGACUGGCUUCGUGUUCCUUCCGCUGCUACCACAUACACCAGCUCUCAUGCUCUUGUUGCCUCCUCUUCUGCGUCCUUCCAGCAGUGGCAUCAUCGACUUGGUCACAUCUGUGGCUCUCGCUUGUCCUCCUUAGUUCACCAAGGCGUCUUAGGGUCUGUCUCUGGUGAUGUUUCGUUGCAUUGUGAUGGUUGUAGGCUUGGAAAACAGACUCAGUCACCUUAUCCUACCAGUGAGUCUAUAUCUCAGCGUCCUUUUGACUUAGUUCAUUUUGAUGUAUGGGGUCCUGCUCCUUUUGACUCGAAAGGGGGUCAUCGCUAUUAUGUUUUGUUUAUUGAUGAUUUCUCUCUCUACACUUGGCUUUAUUGUAUGAAAUCUCGCAGCGAGGUUCUCCCCAUAUACAAGCGUUUUGCUGCCAUGGUUCGCACUCAAUUUUCCACGCCUGUCCGUAUCUUCCGUGCUGACUCAGCUGGAGAGUAUAUCUCUCACAUGUUGCGUGGUUUUCUUGCGGAGCAGAGUACUCUUGCCCAAUUCUCUUGCACUGGUGCACAUCCUCAGAAUGGCGUUGCUGAACACAAACAUCGCCAUUUGCUUGAGACGGCUCGGGCGAUGAUGAUCGCCGCCUCUCUUCCACCCCAUUUUUGGGCUGAGGCCGUUUCAGUAUCCACCAGCUCGUCAACAUUCAGCCAUCGGCUGCCUUGAAGGGUGGUAUUCCUAUGGAGCGUCUCUUUGGUCCUGACUACUCUGCUCUUCGCAUGUUUGGAUGCAUGUGCUAUGUUCUCCUUGCUCCGCGAGAACGAACCAAGUUGACUGCUCAGUCAGUUGAGUGUGUUUUCCUUAGCUAGAGUGAUGAGCACAAGGGCUAUCGCUGUUGGGAUCCUGUUGGUCACCGACUGCGCAUUUCGCGUGAUGUGACUUUUGAUGAGUCUCGUUCUUACUAUCCGCAUCCCUCCUCCUCGAGCUUUUCCGUGGAAGAUAUUUCCUUUCUUCUCCUUCCCGACACAUCUCCCUCUGUGUCUCCUGUUAUUCCCUCUCCCCCGAUGAGUCUCCCUACACCAUCGGUACCAUCAUCCCCUCCCUCCUCCUCCUGUCCCUCGUCAUCUCCCUCCCCACCCUCCUCCCCAGUCUUUCGCCCUCACUCCCCUUCUCCUCUCCACUACACUCGUCAUCCUCAUGCUGUGGAUGAUCCUACUGAUGUGCCCUCUACUUCCGGUGCACCUCCUCUCACGCCUACACCGGUCCAUAACCUUUGCGUUAGGCCUUGUCCCCCACCUGAUCGCUAUUCUCCUGACCAGUAUGGUCUUUCUGCCAUUGCUGAGCCCACCACCUAUCGAGCUGCCAUGACUCGGCCUGAAUGGCAGCUUGCCAUGGCCGAGGAGCUUGCGGCGCUUGAGCGCAAUGGCGCGUGGGAUCUGGUUUCUCCUCCUUCUGGUGUUUGUCCCAUCACGUGCAAGUGGGUCUAUAAGAUUAAGACUCGCUCUGAUGGUUCUCUUGAGCGUUACAAAGCUCGUCUUGUGGCUCGUGGCUUUCAGCAGGAACAGGGGCGUGAUUAUGACGAGACUUUUGCUCAUGUGGCCCAUAUGACCACUGUCCGCACUCUACUUGCUGUGGCUUCUGUUCGUCAUUGGCCUGUGUCUCAGCUUGACGUUCAGAACACCUUUCUCAAUGGCGAGUUGCGUGAGGAGGUUUAUAUGCAGCUACCACCGGGGUACUAUGCUCCUGAUGGUAUGGUCUGUAGACUUCGCCGCUCCCUCUAUGUGUAGGAUCGGAAGUAUGUCUAGAGGGGGGGGGGGUGAUUAGACUACUUGACCAAAUAAAAAUCUAGCCUUUUCCCAAUUUUAGUUCUUGGCAGAUUUUAGCAACUUAGCACAAGUCAAACAAUCAACCUACACAUGCAAUUCUAAGAGUAUAGCAGCGGAAAGGUAAAGCAAUUGCAUAUGAAGGUAAAGGGAUGAGUUUGAGGGAGCAAACGCAAUGUUGACAUAGAGAUUUUUUAUCCGUGGUUCCGAUAGGUGGUGCUAUCGUACAUCCACGUUGAUGGAGACUUCAACCCACGAAGGGUAACGGUUGCGCGAGUCCACGGAGGGCUUCACCCACGAAGGGUCCACGAAGAAGCAACCUUGUCUAUCCCACCAUGGCCGUCGCCCAUGAAGGACUUGCCUCACUAGGGUAGAUCUUCACGAAGUAGGCGAUCUCCUUGCCCUUACAAACUCCUUGGUUCAACUCCACAAUCUUGUCGGAGGCUCCCAAGUGACACCUAGCUAAUCUAGGAGACACCACUCUCCAAGAAGUAACAAAUGGUGUGUUGAUGAUGAACUCCUUGCUCUUGUGCUUAAAAUGAUAGUCUCCCCAACACUCAACUCUCUCUCAUAGGAUUGGAUUUGGUAGAAAGAAGAUUUGAGUAGAAAGCAACUUGGGAAGGCUAGAGAUCAAGAUUUAUGUGGUUGGAAUGGAAUAUCUUGAACUCAACACAAGUGUAGGUGGUUCUCUCUCAGAAAAUAUGUAUUGGAAGUGUAGGCAUGUUCUGAUGGCUCUCUCCACGAAUGAAGAGUGGGUGGAGGGGUUUAUAUAGCCUCCACACAAAAUCUAACUGUUACACACAAAUCACCAAACUCGGUGGGAGCGAUUCAAAGAACUCGGUCAGACCGAUUUGGUUCAUAAUGUGAACGUUAGGAUUCUCGGUGGGACCGACAUGUCAACUCUGUGGGACUGAUGUCAUUAGGGUUAGGGCAUAACGUAAUCUCGGUGAGACCGAUUACACAAACUCGGUGAGUCCGAUUUUGGUAAUAGCCAAACAGAGUGUUGGUCUGGCAAACUCGGUGGGACCGAUUCGCUCAUCUCGGUUGGACCGAAAUGUUACGAAAGGGAAACAGAGAUUUUGCAUUGUAAUCUCGGUGGGACCGAUCGCUCAUCUCGGUUUGACCGAAACGUUACGAAGGGAAACAGAGAGUUUGCAACCCCAUCUCGGUGAGACCGAGAUCCCUAUCGGUGAGACCGAAUAGAUUAGGGUUUCUGGCAGUGGCUAUGUCAACUGAACUCGGUGGCUCUGGAUGGAAAGAAUCGGUGGGGCCGAGUUGGACUUUUUGGUUUAGGACAUAUGUGGAUAUGAGAAAGUAGUGGAGGGUUUUGGAGCAUAUCACUAAGCAUUUUGAGCAAGAAUCUCAUUAAGCAACACCUCAUCCCUUCUUAAUAGUAUUGGCUUUUCCUAUAGACUCAAUGUGAUCUUGGAUCACUAAAAUGAAAAAUGUAGAGUCUUGUGCUUUGAGCUUGAGCCAAUGUUUUGUCCUUAGCAUUUUGAAGGGUCCACUUCCUAAUCCAUGCCAUGCCAAACAUUGAGCUUUCCUAAAAUAUUUAUCUUGGAAUAGCAUUAGCUCAGUGAGCUAUAUGUUGUUAGGAAUUACCAAAACCACCCAGGGAUAGUUGCACUUUCAAUCUCCCCCUUUUUGGUAAUUGAUGACAACAUAUAGAUCAAAGCUUCGACAAAUGAUAAAUAAGAUUGAAAAACAUCGUCGCUUUGAGAAGUAUGUGAUAAGCAAGAGCUCCCCCUAAAUUUGUGCAUUAUUUAAGAUUUGCUUUUGAAUGCAAAUGCACAAUCGAUUAGGAUCAUGGGUUACUCUUCCAUGUCACAUACAUCUUGGUGGAGCACUCAAAUGAUAGAGAUUAAAAGCAUGCACUCAUCACCAAGCAAAGUGAAUGAUCAUAAUAGGAUAUGAAAGAUAGCAUUAUCCAACAAGCAUUAAGGGUAGCAUAUGAUCAAACACUUGACCAAAUAAGUAUCUCACAAGGACACAAAGUAGUAUCACACAAGCACGCAGUAAAGUUUCAAACCAACCAAAAAAGAGUGCAAAGAGAGAUAAAAACCAACACUCUCUCUCUCGAAGCCUAUGAUCUAUACAUUUUUCUCCCCCUUUGGCAACAAGUUACCAAAAAGUUUGAAAAUGCAUAGUUCUAAACGACUCUCAGGCUUGAUCUUCGGGAGGUGGUGUUGAGAGAACGCCAAGGACGAAGGCUUCUGAUGAAGUGGCUGGAGCUGGUGGAGUAGCUACUGGCGUUGGAACUGGAGCUGUGGCUGCUGGUGCUGAUGUUGUAGCUCUAGUGUCUGUCACUGGCACUGCAGUAGAUCUCUGUCCUCUGGGCACUCUAGCAAAUGCAUCUGUGGUAGACUUGCCCUUCUUCUCCUCUGCUUCCUCCUGAGGUUGCUCAACUGCUCUUUGGAUCUCAGUUACCUUGACAUCAAGGUCAUAGAAUUUUGUCUCAACAAUCCUUUCCAAGCUCUCCUGGUUCUUGGUCAGGGUGGCCAAGCCCUGCUCAAUCCUCAGAGUGGAUUGGAUCAGAUAUGCAAGCUGGUCGUGCUUGCUCUUCAAGAAUACAUGAGAUGCCUCUUCCAUAGUUGGCAUCUUUGCAACUUUCGCAGCUUUAGCCUUCUCUCUCUUUUCUUGUGCUUGCACAAAUGAUGGUUCAUUCUCAGUCAUGACAACAGUGUUGUCCUCAAAUUCAGGAUAGAUGGGUAGAUGCUCCUUGUCCAAGAUGUACUUGCCUUUGCCCAUCUUUGAGUUGAUGAGCUCCUGGAUGUGUGGGGCAUAUCCACAACUUCGCUUCUGAUCGGCUGCAGUCCUCUUGAUUGUUUCCACAAUCAGGCUCAUAACCUUGAAUUUUUGUGGGACAUCAAAUAUGUGCAGCAAGUUGAUAGCAUGUCCUCUGAUCAUCUUGUGAUCACCUGACUUGGGUAGAAGUGUGUGCCUCAGAAUCCAAUUGAUUGUUGGCAGACCAGACAACAAAUAGUGUACAGAUCCAAACUUAUGUGUGUCCAAAGCAUCAUCAGGGAUCUCUUCGUACAUAUUUGCCAUAGAGUUGUGGUCUUUCUUCUUCUUGUCAUAGACAUCCAAGUCAUCCUCAUGUUCCUCAGGAGCAUUUAUUAGUUUUGCCCAUUCUUCAACUGUAAACUGGUACCUAGUACCCUCAGACAUCCACACAAUCCUUCCAUCUGGAUAGAAGUGUGCAGUGGAGUAAAAUUGCAUAAUGAGCUCAUCAUUCCACUUGGUGAACUUCCGAGCCACAAACUCAUCAACUCCACAUGCCUUGAAGUUUUCAUAUACACCAGGGAAGUGAUCCUCAUUUUCCUUAAUGAAUUUCCAAUCAACCCAUCUCAUGUCACACACUAUGGGCUUCUUGUCAAGUAAGGCAGCCUCAUAGAAGUCCUGUUGUUCCUUAGUGUGGAAUGUGUAGUCCAUAGUAGUCCUUCUCCUGGUGGCAUAUGGAUCAGACUCUCUCCAUAGCCUCAAUCCUGAAUCCUUCCUGAUUUUCAUGUUCUCUGCAACUGGGUGUGCAUCAUUGUGAUCAGGGAUCUUGGGCUUCAGCUUUCUCAAAAUGACAGAAUCAUCUUCUUCUUCUUCAGCAGCUUGAGGCACUGGGGCCUUGUUCUUCUCCUCAGCAGGGAUGUUCCUAGUGCUCCUCUUGGGUUUUGGUUUUGGAGCUGGAGCAGCAGCCUUGGGAGCAGCUUUGGGCUUAGAUGGAGCAGCCCCUGAUCUGAUUGCAUCUCCCAUGAGCUUUUGAGCUUUGGGUGCUGGUGCAGCAUCCUCUUCCUCUUCCUCUUCAGAAUCUUUCCUCAUUGAGGGCUUCCCAAGAACUCUAGAAGUAGUGGUUCUGGCCCUCUUCUUCUUCUUAUCCUCACCAGCUGCUUCUUCUUCAGAUUCAAUGGUGAACUUCAUAGUUUCACCUGUGGCAACUUUUCUUGGCUUAGACAUGGGCUGUCUUCCUGCUGGCCUCUUUGUUUUCAGACCUGGCUUAGUUGCAGCAGCUGAGCCAUACUCUUUCUUCAGCACUUUCUUCUUUGAAGUGGCUUCAUCUUCAACAGCCACAUAGUCUUCAUCCUCAGAGUCAGAAGUUCUCUUCUUCCUUGACCUGGUGGCAGCUUUUGGCAAGUUGCUUGGAGUGCUCCUGCUGCCUUCAUCAUAGCUGCUAGAGGGACUAGUGCCCUCACUCAACUGAACCUGUUCCUCUGACUUGUUCUGGCUGUCACUUUGGUCAGACAUCUUGCAGGCAAACUGUCAGCAGACCCUGUGAACAGGUUAUAGAUGAGGUAGAGUAGAUGAGCAUCACAAAGCACAGGAGUUUUUGCAAAAUAGAUGACUUAAAAACUUAGUUUUAGUUCUUCAUAGAAAGCAUUUCGGAUCUACCGUUUUGUAAACUCGGUGAUACCGAAGCAGCUUUUGGAACCUGAACUAGUGAACUCGGUCAGACCGAGUCACAGUUCGGUGGCACCGAGACUGCUAGGGUUUCACAGAGAAUUGAACUCGGUCACACCGAUUUGCAAUUUUCGGUCGGACCGAAAAUGCGUGUGCUCUGGCCUAAGCCAAAAUCGGUGAGACCGAUUUCUACAACUCGGUCGGUCCGAGAUGAAUUCGGCGGAGACCUAACCCUAAAUUUUCAAAUCAAAACUAAUCUACGGGACGUUUUCGCUGGACAGGAUGAUUUCAGUUGUGGCAAGAAACAUGGCAAAGCAAUGUGCUAAGAAUUGGAGUUAAAGAUUAGCACAAUGAUAAAGUCCGUACCCUAGUGCGGCGACGAACUUGCUACGUCGGCAACGGCGGAGAUGAUUUCCGUUGACGGCGGCGGAGACCAGCGGCGGGAGGACGCUGGCGACGAGAGGACGAUCCGGAGACCAGAGGAGGCAGAGUAGGUUACGCGCGGGCGAAGGGGUUCGGAGAAAUUUCCAAAUUUUGACCCAGCGGUAUAUAUAACCUGACCCUGUCGGUGUGACCGAGUGGAACGACUCGGUGGCACCGAGAUGCAAAACUGCAAGCAGUUACUGCAACUCGGUGUGACCGAAAUGUUCUAAUCGGUUGCACCGAGAUUGAAAACUCUAGAUCAACUUGGUGACUCGGUAGGACCGAAAAGGAUGAAUCGGUCAGACCGAGGUGCACAAAGAGGUUUGGAGGUUUAAGUCUAUGACGAAUCGGGAUCUCCGAGUGCUCCUCACACAGAGUGGUUCGAAUCUGACUUGAUCAAACUUUGUGAUGUAGCAUGAAUAGAGUUUGAGACGAGAAAAGCAUAGAUAGCUAGAGGGUGUUCUUAGGCAUUCUUGUCCAUCCAUUUGGCAAAAGAGAAAGAGCCAAACAAUCAAAACAACAAAUGGAUGUCCUCGAAUGAGUAAAAUAUGCAACCAACAUGCUCACACAAUAAAAUGGCAAAUGAAAUAUGUGAAAAAGCAUGCACAAACAUUCUAGCAUCUAUCAAGCAAUUGGCGAUGACUAGGUCAUCUAUAUAUGAGUAUAUUGACUUAGGAGUCAAAUGAGAACAUUUGAUCAUAGGUCAUACUCAUCGUUUAAGCACAAGUGGGGUUACCACUUUUACAUAAAGAAUUGUUGUGUUCACACCAUUAGAGUUGCUUUAGCUCAUUGAUUUGAGUAAAGCUCCCCCUAGAUGUGAUAUUCCCCCUAAAGGGAAUGAACUAACCUUGGGUUUUGUCGAUGAUGACUUCAUGUAGGUGUUGAAGAUGUAGAUGCUCAAUGUUGAUGUAGAUCAUUUGGAGCAAUCCUUUGGAGUGAGUUGCGCUUUCAAUACCUUGUCCCUUGUCUUACCAACAAGAGGGUUUGUGACUCCUUGAACUAGUGCAAGAUAUGGAAGUUGUUUGCACUUGUCCUUGCCAAAAUGAUAGGAGUGAAGUAUGUUGGCGGAGUCACCCUCAAGAACUCUCUAGUUCUUCUUCUUCUGGAUCCACACCAUCUUGAUGGGAACCCUUGGAGUCGUAGUUGUACUUGAUGAAGUGGAACUUGAUGUAGUCUUGGGAACCCACUUGACAAAGGCCUUAGGUGCUUCUUCAAAUGCAUCAAUUUCCUCUUGAAGCUUAUCCUUGCAUUUUUGCUUGUGGUCUUGUGGUGGAAGAUCAUCUUGAGCUUGUGUUCCUUUGAGAGAAGUAGGAUCAUACUUCUCUUGUUGAGGAACAAACUUCGUCUUGGGGUAUUGAUCUUCUUCCCACUCAACUCCAUUGGCAUCGAACUUCCGUUCAAAACCAACACCUUGAUUCUUCCGGUGUCUUCCUUGCUUGCGCACAAUUUCCUCAAAAUGCUUACUUCCGGCAAGACUCUUGUAAACACCUUUCUCUAUGAUUCCCUUCAAUAAGCUAUUUUCUUGCUCAAGUGUAACUAGGCUAAGAGAAUCAUUAGUGGAAUCAAGAGAACUACUAGAAGCAUCAACAUUGGAUUUAGCAUGAUUGUUGUUACUACUAGAUGAAGAAUCUUUCUUGUUCUUGUUGCUAGAUUUAACUUGUGGCAUGUAAGUAGACAAGAGUAAACGCUUGGCAAUGUAAGAAGAACUUUUCUUGCGAAGAUCAUCAUUGAUUGCCUUUAAAAACUCAUGCUCUUGCUCAAGGUUGAGCUUUUCAAAGCGUAGCUUAUCAUGAGUCUUUAAAAGUUCUCGAUGAUUUUCCAAGGUAGUUUCAUGAGCUAACUUAAGAGUGUUUAGUUCUUGAGUUAGACGCUCAAUCUCCUUCUUAUCUUCAUCAUUCGUUUUAUCUUGAUUAGCAUGUUUAAUUGACGUUUCAUCAUAGUUUUCUCACUAGAGUUGUCAACAAGUAAAUCAUCAUCACCUAGCAAAUCAUCUUCAUCACUAUUGAAAUCAGAAUACUCGGGAUGUGUUACCUUUGGACCUUUGGCCAUGAAGCAUCUUCCAAUUCCUUCAUUUGGUGAGUCAAAUAUAUCAUAGGAGUUGGUUGUCACAACUGUUAGACCGGGAACACCUUCAUCUUGAGUAUAUUCGGAGUCGGAGUGAUAACUUCUUUCGGAGUGAUUGUCGGAGUCGGAGCCGGAUACCCAUUCACCAACAUGAGCUUGAUGUCUUCUUUUUGUGUAGCUCCUUGAUGACUUUUCCUUUCUUUCCAAAUCCUUGCUUCUCCGAGAGGGUCUUUGUCCAUAACGAUCAUCUCUACUCCUCCUUUCUCUCGGUGGUGAUUAUUCUCUUCUACUUCUUCUUUUGGGAGAAUCUUCUCUUCUUUUGUAGGGGGCCGUACACUCAUUGGAGUAGUGUCCGGGUCUUCCACAAUUGUAGCACUUACGCUCACGACUAGAAGAUCUUUUGUCAUUGUAGGACCUUGACUUGGAACCUAUUUCUUUGCUUCUACUUUUGUAGAACUUGUUGAAGUUCUUCACCAUUAAGCUCAAUUCUUCAUUGAAGGUUUGUUUCUCACUUGAAGAUGUGGGAGUAUCACAUGAGGCUUUGUAAGCACCACUUGACUUGUUGUGAAGCUCUUCCUUAUCCUUGAGUGACAUCUCAUGAGCAACAAUUCUUCCAUUGACUUCCGUUGGCUUGAGAUCUUUGUAACUGGGCAUCAUUUGGAUCAAUGUGCACACGGUAUCAUAUUUUCCAUCCAAGGCUCUUAGGAUCUUCUUGAUGAUGAAUUUGUCGGUCAUCUCUUCACUUCCUAAGCUGGCAAUCUCAUUUGUGAUGAGAGCAAGCCUAGAGUACAUUUCAGCGAUACCUUCACCAUCCUUCAUUUUGAACUUGUCAAGUUGACUUUGAAGCACAUCCAAUUUGGAUUCCUUGACGGAGUCGGUACCUUCGUGCAUAUCAAUCAAAGUAUCCCAAAUUUCCUUUGCAUUCUCAAGACGGCUGAUUUUGUUGAAUUCUUCGGGGCACAAUCCGUUGAAGAGAAUAUCACAAGCUUGAGCAUUGUAUUGUAGCAUCUUCAACUCUUCCGCGGUAGCUUCAUGGUUCGGUUCUCUCCCAUCAAAGAAUUCACCUUGCAAGCCAAUACACACAAUAGCCCAAACGGCGGGGUUAUGUCCAAGAAUAUGCAUUUUUAUCUUAUGCUUCCAACUAGCAAAAUUAGUGCCAUCAAAGUAAGGACCUCUACGGUGGUAAUUUCCCUCGCUAGACGCCAUACUCUCCUAGGUUGUGAAACCAAGGCUAUGACCACCAAAAGCUAUGGAAAUCAAAGCAAAUGGAGACCAAAGCUCUGAUACCACUUGUAGGAUCGGAAGUAUGUCUAGAGGGGGUGAUUAGACUACUUGACCAAAUAAAAAUCUAGCAUUUUCCCAAUUUUAGUUCUUGGCAGAUUUUAGCAACUUAGCACAAGUCAAGCAAUCAACCUACACAUGCAAUUCUAAGAGUAUAGCAGCGGAAAGGUAAAGCAAUUGCAUAUGAAGGUAAAGGGAUGAGUUUGAGGGAGCAAACGCAAUGUUGACACGGAGAUUUUUUAUCCGUGGUUCCGAUAGGUGGUGCUAUCGUACAUCCACGUUGAUGGAGACUUCAACCCACGAAGGGUAACGGUUGCGCGAGUCCACGGAGGGCUCCACCCACGAAGGGUCCACGAAGAAGCAACCUUGUCUAUCCCACCAUGGCCGUCGCCUACGAAGGACUUCCCUCACUAGGGUAGAUCUUCACGAAGUAGGCGAUCUCCUUGCCCUUACAAACUCCUUGGUUCAACUCCACAAUCUUGUCGAAGGCUCCCAAGUGACACCUAGCCAAUCUAGGAGACACCACUCUCCAAGAAGUAACAAAUGGUGUGUUGAUGAUGAACUCCUUGCUCUUGUGCUUCAAAUGAUAGUCUCCCCAACACUCAACUCUCUCUCAUAGGAUUGGAUUUGGUAGAAAGAAGAUUUGAGUGGAAAGCAACUUGGGGAAGGCUAGAGAUCAAGAUUUAUAUGGUUGGAAUGGAAUAUCUUGAACUCAACACAAGUGUAGGUGGUUCUCUCUCAGAAAAUAUGUAUUGGAAGUGUAGGCAUGUUCUGAUGGCUCUCUCCACGAAUGAAGAGUGGGUGGAGGGGUAUAUAUAGCCUCCACACAAAAUCUAACCAUUACACACAAAUCACCAAACUCGGUGGGAGCGAUUCAAAGAACUCGGUCAGACCGAUUUGGUUCAUAAUGUGAACGUUAGGAUUCUCGGUGGGACCGACAUGUCAACUCGGUGGGACCGAUGUCAUUAGAGUUAGGGCAUAACGUAAUCUCGGUGAGACCGAUUACACAAACUCGGCGAGUCCGAUUUUGGUAAUAGCCAAACAGAGAGUUGGUCAGGCAAACUCGGUGGGACUGAUUCGCUCAUCUCGGUUGGACCGAAACGUUACGAAAGGGAAAAGAGAGUUUGCAUUGCAAUCUCGGUGGGACCGAUCGCUCAUCUCGGUUUGACCGAAACGUUACGAAGGGAAACAGAGAGUUUGCAACCCCAUCUCGGUGAGACCGAGAUCCCUAUCGGUGAGACCGAAUUGAUUAGGGUUUCUGGCAGUGGCUAUGUCAACUGAACUCGGUGGCUCCGGAUGGACAGAAUCGGUAGGGCCGAGUUGGACUUUUUGGUCUAGGACAUAUGUGGAUAUGAGAAAGUAGUGGAGGGUUUUGGAGCAUAUCACUAAGCAUUUUGAGCGAGAAUCUCAUUAAGCAACACCUCAUCCCUUCUUAAAAGUAUUGGCUUUUCCUAUAGACUCAAUGUGAUCUUGGAUCACUAAAAUGAAAAAUGUAGACUCUUGUGCUUUGAGCUUGAGCCAAUGUUUUGACCUUAGCAUUUUGAAGGGUCCACUUCCUAAUCGAUGCCAUGCCAAACAUUGAGCUUUCCUGAAAUAUUUAUCUUGGAAUAGCAUUAGCUCAAUGAGCUAUAUGUUGUUAGGAAUUACCAAAACCACCCAGGGAUAGUUGCACUUUCACUAUGGUCUUAAACAGGCCCCUCGCGCCUGGUUCGAGCGCUUCGCCUCUGUGGUGACUACCGCUGGUUUCUUGCCAGUGAUCAUGAUCCCGCGUUGUUUGUUCACACGUCUCCUCGUGGUCGGACUCUUCUCCUUCUCUAUGUUGAUGACAUGAUCAUCACUGGUGACGACUCUGACUACAGUGCCUUUGUUAAGGCCCGCCUUCGCGACCAGUUCCUCAUGACUGAUCUUGGUCCACUUCAAUAUUUUCUUUGGAUUGAGAUCUCCUCGACCUCUGAUGGCUUCUACAUCUCCCAGGAAAAAUACAUUCAGGAUCUUCUUGCUCGUGCUACUCUUGGUGAUGAGCGCACUGUUGUGACUCCUAUGGAGCUCAACGUUCAGCUUCGUGCCUCUGACGGUGACCCUCUUCCUAAUCCUACUCGCUAUCGCCACCUCGUUGGCAGCCUUGUCUACCUUGUUGUUACGCGUUCCGACAUCUCCUAUCAUGUUCAUAUACUGAGUCAGUUUGUUUCAGCACCCACCUCUGUCCACUAUAGUCAUCUCCUCCGUGUUCUCCGAUAUCUUCGUGGCACUUUCUCUCAUCGCCUUUUCUUUCCCCGCUCAAGCUCUCUUGAGCUCCAGGCCUACUCUGAUGCUACAUGGGCUAGUGAUCCCUCUGAUCGACGCUCGCCGUCUGCAUACUGUGUCUUUCUUGGUGGCUCUCUCAUUGCCUGGAAGACAAAGAAAUAGACUAACGUUUCUCGCUUGAGUACAGAGGCUGAGUUGCGAGCCAUGGCUAUGUUGACGGCUGAGGUGAUUUGGUUACGGUGGUUAUUUGAGGAUUUUGGAGUGCCUGCUACUACCUCGACUCCCUUACUGUCAGAACCGGUGCUAUCAGUAUUGCGCGUGACCCGGUGAAGCAUGAGCUCACCAAGCACAUCGGUGUGGAUGCCCACUUUGUGCGUGCUGCUGUGCAUGAUCAGACUCUUGCUCUUCACUAUGUUCCCUCUGAGUUAUAGUUGGCGGACUUCUUCACGAAGGCACAGACUCGAGUGCGGCAUGGUUUUCUUCUCUCCAAACUCAGUGUUGUUGAUCCACCAUGAGUUUGAGGGGGGUGUUAGAUGUGUAUAGUCCCUUUUUGGUUCUUCCCCAUUGUAUAAGGGGUUUCCUGCACUUCACCACACAUGUAUAUGUAAUGGCAUUUGGCCUUCAGUGAAUAUUAAUUGUUGUUUAUCCAACAACAUUCACGCCAAUCAUAAAACAGUGUUUGUUAGUAGUGGAGUGGUAGGCGGACGCAAAUCAAACCAUCAUUUUUCUUCUAAUUACACUUGUAAAAGCAUCGAUGCAUCUCCGUCGCUUAAUUUUAUUUGUCAUUCUGUUCAGUACCUGGUUUGGUUCAGGAAGAGCUCUUUUUCCUAUGCAAAAUGUAUAACGUAUAUGCUCCUAAUUCUGAUUGCAGACAUAUUCAUCGCGCUAGUGUUUUGACAUGACGCGGGGAACCAAGAGCCGUUCAACAGCGCGUUUCUGGGAUACGCCACCGGUCUGGCACUAAAGGUAGCGGUGAUGAUCUGGUUUCAAGCCGCGCUGCUAAUAUAUCAUGGCAUCUUGCAGCCUGCUCUGUUGCACAUCGUUCCUGGCGCAUGACUGGUUUGGUCGCCGUUCACUCUCCGUGGAAUGGAGAGGUGAAAGCGGGCAAGUAAGCCUGUCUACUUUGUCCCUUUUGUGUAGUGCUGGGAUCAGAGAAAAUAACUGGCAAUCUGGAUCAGCCUGGUUUUGAGACGCGACUUGUUUGCCACUGACUGUUUUGCGUUGGCAGUUACUGCAGUUGGAGUGGGAAGCUGGAGAGGAGGAAGAAGACGAAGGUCCCAACCGGCAGAGCAAAAAGGUGAACCAGCCCUCGCCUUUUUAAUUACUAGGAGAAAGAAACAUUGAGGCAGUAAUUUCUUCAGGCAAGAUCGAUUGGCAGCUAAUUAAGUAGGCUGGAUGGCAUUGAGAAACCCAAAAACGAUUUACAUACACAUGGUAGAUCGUCUCUCUCUCUCCUUCCACCCCUUCCUUUCAUGGCCAUCGUAGACUGCACCAUGUGGCAUUCAAACUUUUCUCAAGGGGAGAGUUUCCUCACACACACACACAUGCACAUACGCAAGCACACGCACACACGUGUAGUACAAACUUAGAAUUUUUGGAAAUAAUGGGAGGCCGAGCAACGGCCAUGUGAAAAUAUGAGGUAUAUAGCUUGUGGAUUUCCAUUCAGUGUACAAGGCCUGCAUGAGGAAUGGAUAAAGAAAUAUAUCUUUGAUUCCCUUAGUUAAAUCUUAUCCUUCAUCGUCAAUUAUGACUAAGCAUACAUAGUAAUCGCUAGUUUCUCUUAUAUGCUUCCGAGAAGAUAAGACUGGAUAUUUUAGUUGCUAUUAAUUAUUUCCCUUCUUUCGCUAAAUAGUAGUCAAACAUGUUAUUAAUGUAUUUUGUAAGGAUAAGGUCGAGCAUCAUGGCCACUAUGUUCUAUAUAUACUGAAUUUGGUGUUCAGUAUGACAUAACAAACACAUAUUGUGAGAAGGAGUAGUGUACAUUGUUCUCUAGUGCACUUUGUUCAGCAAGUUGGGUGAAAAUGUUGAAUAAACCAUCAAGUUUUCAUACAUUUUUUCAUGGCACAGGUUUGCCUUCUCAUGAUGAUGGCUGCACCGUUUGCACAAGCUGCUGGGAGGCCUGUGGCAUCCUUACCAUGGGUAGCGGGGUGUUGCCUGAGGAACUAUUUGUGUUGUGGUGUUGGUGCUGUUGCCCCGACAUCCCAUGCAUCGCAGGCCACCUCUGUACCUUGAAUUAUGGUUUCGCCUGAUCUCCUCUCAUAACAUAGUUGAUAUAACAUAGUAGCAUCACAAAGGUUGCAUGGUUUCAUUGAUUCAUCUCUUUUCUACUCCGUGAAACUUGUGAUGCCACUUUUGAACAAUGUCAUUGCUAUGUCUUCUUAUAACUAAUAAAAUGGGAGGAUAUUUUCAUAUUAUUUGAAUUGUGUUGUAACAUUACCUACUAAUGUGGAUGAUCUGAGUGGACUACAUAGAUCGGAUCUUCUAAAGAUAUAAUCUAGGACUUUGCGAGAUGAUGAAAUUGUCCUUUAUCUUGGUCGACACCUUUUCGUAGAAGUGUUGGUCGGCCGUCUGUGUCUUUUUGCGGUGCAUGCCGUAGAGUCCUCCAUGUUUUGUAGUUGUACAAUAACCUUUGAGGCAACCGGGGGUGGUACGUCUGAGGAAGUCGGUGGCCCAGGAAUAUUCAUAAUGAGAUCUCGACCAUGGAUGCCAAGUAAUUUGCCCCGUGCUGAUGUCGUCGGGCGACCCGGUCACUUAUGUUUUGACUCAAGGAGUCGCUAUGUUCAUCGAGUCGCGAGACAGCGGGAGGAAGGAGACGAAGGUCCCAAACGUCAGACCAAAAAGGUGGACUAGGGCUCGCCCUAGUUGUGCUCUCGGGUAUUUUCAGUUACUAGUAGGAGUAAGAAGCAUUGCAAAUUGCUCCCUCUGUUCAAUCCGUAUAUAUGUAGUCCGUAUUCAUAUAUUCAAAAUAUUUUAUAUUUGUGAACGAAGGGAGUAAUUAAUAGUAAUGCAACAAUUUCAGGGGAGGCCAGUCAACAGCUAACUAAAUGUGCUGGAUGAGACUGGAGACAUGUAUAAACGAUUUACACAUGAUAGAACUACUCUUUUCUUGUCAAGGAAUGGAAGAAUGGAUGAUUUUAUCCGUUCGGAACAAAACCCAAUAUUCAUCCAGUUAGACGUUGUUCUGAAUUCUGAAGCUUUUGAAAGUUUUCUCGCAGAAAUAUGUGUGUGUAUUCCAGUUGUAUCAUUAGCAAACCAAGGUUGUAUAUAUUAUAGCACAAAGAAUGUUUGGUUGAUUCGUUCAGGCGAAUCAGGUUUGUGGCUGACUGCCAAAGUCAGGCCAACUCCAGCGCACGACCCCAAACAGACAUCUGUUUUGUCUGGAUUCUGCCCGUUUGGAUAUAGCAAUGGGGUCGUGUCCAGGCCUGUCCUGUGAUGCGGUCGCCGUGCGCACAACGCGCGGACGCAUCCUUUGGCCUCAUCAUGUCCGCCACGGCCAAAAAUGCCCAUAUAUUCAUAUUUCAAUAUUCAAAACUAGUUUGCACGUCCAAAUAUUAAUUGUCUGAAAAUAAAAAUAGUUUUACAACCCAAUCAAAAUUGUCUCUAAUAAAAUAGUUUUACAACCAAAUCGAAAUUGUCUUGAAUGAACAUAAUGAAACCAAUACAUCUAUUGGUUGCCAAUGUGAUUCCACAUGUGCUCAACCAAGUCAUUUUGAAGAUCCAAAUGAGUGUGCCAAUCAUGCAUUUCACGAUGACAUUGGGCAAACUGCUCAAACGUGGCCGGUUCUUGGUGCAGGGGCUGAACAUUUUCACCUUGAAAAUCAAAUCCUUGGUCGAAGAUGCUGUUAUCACGCUCGUCCUCGACGAUUAUGUUGUGCAUGAUCACACAAGCAGUCAUCACCUCCCGAAGCUUCCCUUCAUCCCAUGUCAAUGCAGGGUUUCGAACGAUACCCCAUCGGGAUUGAAGCAAACCAAAAGCACGUUCCACAUCCUUUCUAGCACUCUCUUGCAUUUGGGUAAAUCUCUUUCUCUUCUCACCUUGGGGGUUCGAGAUUGUCUUCACAAAAAGUUGACCACUGAGGAUAUAUACCAUCAGCUAGGUAGUAUCCCUUGUUGUACUGGUGGCCGUUGAUCUCAAAGUUGCCAGGUGGGGAGUGGCCUUCUGCAAGCCUUGCGAAGACUGGAGAACGCGGCAGCACGUUGAUAUCAUUGUGAGAACCUGCCAUGUCGAAGAAAGAAUGCCACAUCCAAAGAUCUUGCGAAGCCACCGCUUCUAAUAUGAUAGUGCAUGCUUUAACAUGCCCCUUGUACUGGCCCUGCCAAGAAAAUGGACAGUUCUUCCACUCCCAGUGCAUACAAUCUAUGCUACCAAGCAUGCCUGGAAAGCCUCUAGCCGCGUUGGUCGCCAACAAGCUUUCUAUAUCAGUGGCAUUUGGCUGCUGAGGGAGUCCUGGAUUAAGGGGUCCUCGGGCGUUUGGGCUGCGUAACAUGGGCCGGACUAAUGGGCCGUGAAGNNNNNNNNNNNNNNNNNNNNNNNNNNNNNNNNNNNNNNNNNNNNNNNNNNNNNNNNNNNNNNNNNNNNNNNNNNNNNNNNNNNNNNNNNNNNNNNNNNNNNNNNNNNNNNNNNNNNNNNNNNNNNNNNNNNNNNNNNNNNNNNNNNNNNNNNNNNNNNNNNNNNNNNNNNNNNNNNNNNNNNNNNNNNNNNNNNNNNNNNNNNNNNNNNNNNNNNNNNNNNNNNNNNNNNNNNNNNNNNNNNNNNNNNNNNNNNNNNNNNNNNNNNNNNNNNNNNNNNNNNNNNNNNNNNNNNNNNNNNNNNGAUUCCUUUCCCUGUAAACCGACUCUGUACAACCCUAGCCUUCUCCGAUGUCUAUAUAAACCGGAGGGUUUAGUCCGUAGAGGCAAGGAUAAUCAUACAGGCUAGACAUAUAGGGUUUAGCCAUUACGAUCUCGAGGUAGAUCAACUCUUGUAAUCCCUAUACUCAUCAAAGUCAAUCAAGCAGGAAGUAGGGUAUUACCUCCAUUAAGAGGGCCCGAACCUGGGUAAACAUCGUGUCCCCUGCCUCCUAUUACCCUCUAUCCUUAGACGCACAGUUCGGGCCCCCCUAUCCGAGAUCCGCCGGUUUUGACACCGACAGCUGCCUCAAGUACUCAGGGCCAAACACUGCCACCACAGCCUUGUAGAACUUGUAAAGUGACAACAGACAUGCCGACUCACUCAUGCGCACGUACUCAUCCACCAGAUCGCCUGGAAUUCCAUAUGCAAGCAUGCCGAUGGCCGCGGUGCACUUCUGGUAAGAGGAGAAUCCAAGCUUGCCAAGGGCAUCCGUCUUGCACUCGAAGUAUGGGUCAUGAGCAACCACUCCCUCUCGGAUACGAUUGAACAGAUGUCUUGCCAUACGAAAACGGCGACGGAAUUUAUCCGGCUUGAAGAGCGAGGUAUUCGCAAAGUAAUCGGCAUAGAGCAAGGCGUGGCCUCUCUCUCUAUUGCGUUUCAGGUUGGGAGCACGGCCAGGGACUGACCCCAUGUACCGAGGAAGCUGCCCAAUGUGAUCGUGAACGACCAGUGCAACCACCACCAGAUCUUCGUCAUCCGAGGACGAAUCAUCCAAUGAAUAAAUGAAGUGGUGGAAGAAAAAUUCAUCUCCACUGUCCAUACAUUUGUGGGCAAAGUGUUCAACACCUUGCGGUCGUGGUGGCAAAGAGGCCGCGAUGAUCAUCUCGAUGCAGCAGGGGUGGUUGGCGGCCGGCUACUGGCCGCUCUAGAGCACCCGGCGGAAGCUGCCGUGGUCCAUAUCCGUCGCCGGUGGUCGUAUCCCCUCUAGCACCGGCUACAAUGGCGACGGCCAAAUCUCCUCCAAGCGAUGGCCAGAACUCCUACGAAAGCGCGGGCGUUGUGGCGGCCAUGUCGAGACGUGGUUUGGUAUGGAUGGGCAGGGGGAGGGAGCAGUGAGGAGGCGGUCGGAGAAUACUGGCGGCGCCGGUGGCGGGAUGCGGCGGAGGAGAGCGGGUGAAGGCGUUGGAGGCAAAUGGAGUGCUAGUGUCCCCGACAGGCGGGCCACGGGGAGGACAAGGGCGUGUGUCCAGCCCGUCCGCGUGAUGUCCAUUUCACCCCAAACUCGGCACAAGUUUGGGCCGGGAAUGGGUAAAAAACGGACGAAAUCCGGACAUUUGUCUAUUUGAAGCCGCGCCUUGAGUCAUGCUAUUCGUCUGUUCUACCCUAAACGGACGCACCAGAACGGAAUGGGGUCGCGUGCUGGAGUUGGCCUCACGGCCGUUUCUGCCUUUGGCGCAGACAAGAGAUUCUACACUGUAAAGGAAAAAGCUGAAAGCUCUCUUGUCUCGUGUGUUUCUCUUCUCUUGCACCUUGUCGGAAAACAGUGUGCACCAGGGACGCUCGAUUCCAUGGCAGGCAUCAGUUCAAUCGAUCAUGCUACAGGGAACCGGCACUAUCUUCUUUUUCUUUUUCUUUUUCUUUUAGGUCGUGAACGCAAGUCAUUUGAGAUAUUCACGUAGGACUUACAUAAUUGGUACGUUGUGACAAAACUGGACGCACACGAUGAAAUAUAUAAAUAUUCCUAUGGUAGAUUUAUCAGCAUCAGUGUGGAGCUAAAGUGUUUGAUGUUUUGUAUGAAUGGUUUGGUCUGAACAAUAAAGCCGACCACUCAGGACCUACUUUUGGGCUUUUUUUUUUGUAUUAUUCUAUACUAGCAAAAGGGCCCGUGCGCGGAGAAAAAAAUUAUAAUCUUGAAUGACCAUGAUCACAUUUUUUUUCAUCACCGAGAUACACUAUCACUUUCAACUUCGGGAAAUCAUCUACAUUUUUUAAACUUGUGCACAUUUUUCACAUUCAUGAACACUUUUACAAAUUUGCAAACAUAUUCUAAAAUCAAGAACAUAUUUUGAAUUCAUGAACAUUUUAUAGUAUUUACAAACAUUUUUAGAAAUUACGUUUUUUUAACAAUUUUCUUGAAUAGGCAAACAAUUCUAAAAUGGACGAACAUUGUUUUAGAAAUCGGUGGAAUAAUUUUUGAAAUUCCCGAACAUUUUCUUGAUUUUACAAACAUUUUUUGAAAUGCAUGAUCAUUUUUGUAUAAACUAUUUUGUAUGUCACGAACAGUUUUCCAAAUAUUUGGUUAUUUCCCCAUUCAUGAACAUUUUUUGAAUGGUGAUAUUUUCUUAAAUUUCAUUAACAUUUUUUGUACACGAAUUUUUAAAAAGUCAUGGACGUAUUUUGGUUUCAUGAACAUUUGUUUUCAAAAUUUCAAACAUUUUUCGAGCCAGAUUCUUUAAUAAAAUUGCAAAUAUUUUUUGAAUACAUAAACAUUUUAUGAUUUAUUAAAACUUUAUUUGGAAAUUAUUUUAAUUUUGAAAUAUUUUUUGUAUUCUGAAUUUAAUUAAAGUAGAAAAACGGAAAAAGAUAAAAAAGGAAAUGUUAAAAACAGGCUGCCCGGACAUGGGCCGGCCCAAAUGGGCGGGCCGCGCCUUAUCCCUUCGCGCAGAGCCCAGUAUGGCAGGUCGCUACUACAUGGGCCAGUCCAGACGGGGAUUCCCCUGUGUGAAACAUUUAUAUCACUUAUACGUGACAUUUGGAUCCCCUCUAGUUAGGGUUUUCUCUCCUCCCGGCGGCGCCUGGCACCGACGUGGAGACCGCGAUCCCCUGCGUCUCCUAGACCACUGAUCGCCGGCGGCUUCGGACGUCGGGCUCGUGUGCGCGCUGGGCGAUCUGUCUAGGGUUCUCCCGCCCGCGGAAACCGACUUCUCGGGCAAGAGAUCUGAUGGAAGGCUCAACGUCGGCGUCAGCCGCAGCGAUGAGCGACAUGGAAGCUAUGAUGAAGGAAUUGGGCCUGAAAGAAGAUGAUCUGGAGGAUGUUGUGGUUCAGGAUGGCGACAUACCAGAGGAAGCGGCGCGGUGGAUGGUGAUCCUGCGGGUGCACAUGGAUAAGCCGUACAGUCAGUAUUGGUUUUUUCGUAACAUGCGGGUUGCAUGGGAUCUAGCACAAGAAGUCAAGUUCCGCCCUCUAGAAGACAACCUCUAUACUCUGCAAUUCUCCUACCUGGGUGAUUGGGAGAGAGUCAUGGAGGACGGCCCCUGGACAUACAAAGGAAAAGCUGUCGUAAUCGAGCCCUAUGAUGGUUUCACCAGAUCAUCGUCUAUUGUUCUUAACAAGAUUGAGAUGUGGAUCCAGAUCCAUGAUCUCCCUGAACUGUUCUUCCAGUUGAUUAAAUCGCUAGCAUCUACUGUUGGUGACUUCAUAUUUGCUGAGCCCAAAUCCCAGGACUUUGAGGGGAACUUUUUUAGGGUUCGAGUGAAAGUGGAUGUCACAAAGCCGCUCAAGAACGCUGUAUCGCUGGUGAUCAAGAAGAGGAGAGAGAUAUUCAGGGUGAAAUAUGAGAGGCUUCCAGAUUGGUGUGCUGUCUGUGGUAUGCUAGGUCAUCAGUUCAAAGAGUGUGGCGAUGGGAUCCAUCCCCAAUCUGCGCUUGUGUUCAAAAAUCUGAAAGCUGACUGGUUCAGGAGCCCAGGCCGUGGACCAGGUGCUGCAAGAGGCUUUGAAGGUGGUCGAGGGAGAGGUAAUGGUCGUGCAGGUCAUGGAGGCCGGGGCUCGGGUUGAACACAACAAGAUAACUUUGACCAGGCUGUUGAUCUGGAUACAGACAUGGAAGAAGGAGACGGGAACCGCAAGAGAGGAGCUCAUGCAAACACACUCUUGCUUACUUCUUCAGGGACCAACCCAUCAUCUUCGAUGGAACCCCAAGCCCUCGCUACAGCCACCGUUCCACAGAGUCCCUCGUCGAAGCAAGACCUCAAAAGAACAAAGACCAACCCCCGUCAGUUGGAGAAGAACCCAGGGAAGAACAAGUCCUCAAACACCCAAAACAAUGCGCAAAUGGCGAGCCCUAUCAACUGGUCGCGCCUGGCGCAAUGAGUUGCCUAGUUUGGAACUGUCGCGGGGCUGGCAGACCUGCGACAGUUCGUGAGCUUCGAGAUCUAUCGAAGCUACUUGCCCCCUCUAUUGUAUGCAUUCUUGAAACCCAGAUAGAGGGCUCGCGUGUCGAGAAUCUGGUAGGAACUUUAGGUUAUAAUAAAAGCUUUGCUGUAAGCAGCUCCGGCAGGAGCAGUGGACUAGGCAUUUUUUGGAAUGAGGAAAUAAAACUCGAAGUUAUCGGUUAUUCUGAGUACCACAUAGAUGUUCUUGUUGAGCAGAUGGUAGAAACUAAAACCAGAAUCACCUUUGUGUAUGGUGAGGCCCAAACAAGUGCAAGGUACAAAACUUGGGACAUGUUGCGCGGAAUUGCUGGAACUAGCAACGACCCAUGGGUAGUGAUUGGAGACUUUAACGAAGUACUUCAUGCCCAUGAGCAUGAUGGAACCGGCCAACGAAGCCAGGCGCAGAUGGACGCCUUCUGAGAUGCUAUUGACAAAUGCGGCUUAUCAGAUAUUGGUUAUAAGGGGCAAAGCUGGACUUUUGAAAAGAAGGUGAUGGGCGGUACGUACACCAGGGUGCGCUUGGACCGGAGCGUGGCUAAUCCUGCAUGGGCUUUGGCCUUCCCAGAUGCAUCCCUUGAGCAUCUCACCGCAGCUACUUCUGAUCAUGUCCCGUUGUUGCUUCGGCUUCAAGCAAUGCAUGCAUGCAGAAGGGGACCACGGCCGUUUAAAUACGAGUUGUGUUGGGAGCGCGACCCAACACUGGAGACAAUGGUGCAUGCGGGGUGGAAUCAGCAUCCUGGGGAUUCGGUGGACCAGGUGAAGGCUAAACUCCAAACACUGUCGGGCGACCUGUCGACGUGGGAUCGGCAACAUUUUGGAAGCGUGUGCAGAGAGAUAGCCGAAUUAAAAAAAGGAACUACAGGUGUUGCGAGAAUUUCCAGGAAGAUCUGGCCCCUCUCGACGGGAGACAAAAAUCUGCGACCGCCUGGUUGAAUUGUUUCAUCGCGAGGAGAUCUUGUGGAGGCAGCGAGCUAGGAUUGAUUGGCUCAUGCAUGGCGACAAAAAUACUUAUUUCUUCCACAUGAGAGUGAGUAGGCGUCGACGGAAAAACCAAAUUAAAUCCUUGCAAUGAGCUGACGGGCAGGUAACGGAGAAUGAACUGGAGAUGGAAAACAUGACGAUCUCCUUUUACAAGGACUUGUACACGACAGAAGGGGUUGGUGAUAUGGCACAGGUGCUAGAAACAGUACCAUGCAAGGUUACGCAUGCAAUGAACGCCUCGUUGAAUGCCCCAUAUAGCCCGGAAGAAGUCAAGACUGCCCUUUUUCAAAUGUUUCCCACCAAGGCACCGGGACCAGAUGGCUUUCCCGCUCACUUCUUUCAGAGGCACUGGGAGACGUGCGGAGACGAAAUCACCAAAGUCGUUCUUAAAAUUGUUGAGGGCACAGAAUCUGCAGCAUGUAUCAAUGAGACAGUCUUGGUGCUAAUCCCUAAGGUAAAAAACCCAACCCUCUUGAGCCAGUUCCGACCCAUCAGCUUAUGUAAUGUUCUUUACAAAAUAGCGUCCAAAGUGAUCUCUAACAGGCUGAAGGUGAUACUACCUGACAUUAUAUCUGAGGAACAAUCUGCCUUUGUCCCUGGUAGACUUAUAACUGACAACAUCAUCACUGCCUACGAGUUCCUACACUUUAUGAAAAGAAAUAAAGCUAAAAAGCACCAGUCGUUUGCUCUGAAGCUAGACAUGAUGAAGGCUUAUGACAGGGUGGAGUGGCUAUACCUGAAAGCAAUCAUGGUGAAACUAGGGUUCACUGAGAGAUGGGUGGACAUAGUUAUGGGACUGGUUACCACUGUUAAGUUUUCUGUCAUGUUUAAUGGGAAAAGAUUGGAGGAAUUCGAACCUUCACGAGGAAUUAGACAAGGGGACUCAAUAUCUCCGUACUUGUUCUUAAUAGCAGCAGAGGCCCUGUCGUGCCUGUUAAAAUCAAAGAGUGAGUCAUCCAAUCUGGGUGGUGUGCAAUGGCUCCUACGGCGCCGCCAGUUAGCCAUCUAUUAUUCGCUGAUGACAGCCUACUGUUCUGUAAGGCAAAUUGUGCGGGAGCUAAUGAGGUGAACCUAGUACUGAAUACAUACUGCCAAGCAUCCGGUCAGCGAGUAGCAAGGGAGUGCCGGAAGCUACGAGGACAGAAAUAAAAGGUUUACUCAAUAUUCCCAAUGAAACUUUAAAUGAGAAGUAUCUAGGGAUGCCGUCAGAUAUUGGGAGUUCGAAGAACGGGGCCUUCAAAUACGUCAAGGAUCAUUUAUGGAGUAAGGUACAGGGCUGGGUGGAAAACACCAUGUCAUCCGCAGGCAAGGAGGUUUUGGUGAAAUCAGUUGCCCAGUCCAUACCUAUAUUCUCAAUGUCAUGCUUUAAACAUCCAAGGGGAUUAUGUGAACACCUUAAUAUGCUUAUUAGGAAGUUCUGGUGGGGGAGCAAAGAUGGCAAAAGGAAACCUCACUGGGUAUCUUGGAAAAGUAUGACACAGCCGAAGGGAAUGGGAGGACUAGGGUUCAAAGAUUUUGAACUCUUUAAUAUGGCGAUGCUGGCAAGACAGGCUUGGAGAUUAAUCCAAACACCAGAGUCCCACGCUUGUUGAAGAGCAUAUACUUCCCUGAUUCUACCGUCUUGGAGGCGACCUUGUGCAACCAUCCCAAUCAGAUAUGGCGAGCCAUCAUCGAAGGCAGAGAUACACUCAAACAAGGUCUCAUUCGUAGAAUUGCCAAUGGUCAAUCUACUCGUAUUUGGGAGGAUCCGUGGCUGCCAAGAGAUGAGAUGUUACGGCCAUAUGGGAGCAUUCACCCCAAUCCGCCAACCUUGGUUUCGGAACUGAUCGAUCACACUAGCGCUUCAUGGAACAGUCAGCUAAUCAACCAAGUGUUUAUGCCCAUGGAUGCUUGUACCAUUAUGGGGAUCCCGGUGUGCACUCGCAAUCUCCAUGACUUCUGGAGCUGGAUCUUUGAAACGAGUGGCAACUUCACGGUCAAAUCUGCUUACCGCAUGCUUGUAGCGACAAGACAGCGCCGGGAGGCAUGGCUUGAGGGCACUGCUGGAACAUCAAACAGCACGUCGAAGGAGGGGGCUUAGAAAACGUUGUGGAAGACCCAGGUUCCUGCAAUUCUAUGGCGUUUAUCAAAGCACUCUCUCCCAACGGAGGACGUCAGGGCUCAUCGGCAUAUGGCAGAUAACGCUACUUGCGGUUUAUGUGGCUCGGCUGAUUCGUGGAGACACUCUCUGGUUAACUGCACUAGCUCGAGAUGGUGUGUGGGCUUUAGUUGAUGAGGAGCUAGCACAAAACCUAGUCUCAACCACGGAACCCAACGCCAAGCAGUGGCUCUUCACCUUCAUGCACUCACUAUCACACGAUCAAUUUGUAUUGCUUGCGGUCACUCUCUGGGCGAUCUGGACAGCGCGGCGCAAGGCUAUUCAUGAAGGAAUAGUCCAAUCGCCUCAGGCAACUAACAACUUUCUCAGACGCUUCAUAGCUGAACUAAACAUGAUUAAAGUGGAAAGGCCUAUGAGGGGAGGAGCUCAAUCUAUGGGCCUGUCACGAGCUGCACGCCCCAAAGCUCCCCCGAUCGGCUACGCCAAGAUUCAUGUGGACGCGGGAGUAAGAGCAAGGAAAGGUGGAUCAGCAGCCGCUGUAUGCCGGGACAGGCAAGGCAAUUUCCUAGGCAGCUCCGCGUUGGUGAUCGCCGGUCUAGAGGACCCAGCCAUACUAGAGACUAUCACUUGUAGAGAGGCAUUGGCGCUGGCGGAAGACCUUAAUCUGCAUAAUUUUGUCGUUGCAUCUGAUUCCAAGCAAACAGUGGCUGACAUCUUAAGUGGAGGCAGAGGCAAGAGUGGUACUAUUAUCCAGGAGAUAAACACUAGAGCAACUCUAUUUCAUUGUAAUUUUUCUUUUGAAGGCCGUGCUGUUAAUGUCGAAGCACAUAGACUAGACAAAUAUUCGCUUAAUAUCGGUCCGGGGCGCCACCUCUGGUUAGGUCAGCCCCAUGACCCGAGUUGUAUCCCACCCAUUGUGGUCUUUGAUGAAUAAAAUUUGGCUUUCCCCUCAAAAAAAAAACUUAUACGUGACAUUUGUGGGUAAUUUGUACGACGUGCCAUAAGAAGAAAUAGCCCCUUUAUUAUUAUUAGCAAAAGUGUCCGUGCGUUGUAACGGGAGAAAUAAAAUCAAAAUCUCCAAUGACCAUGACCAUAUUUUGUUGCAUCACCAAGACACCCCUAUCACUCUCAAUUUCGUGUAAUCAUGAAUAAUUUUUGAAAUCACGAACAUGUUUUAAAAUUAUUACACAUAUUUGAAAUCGUGAACAUUUUUCAAAUUCAUGAACACUUAUACAAAUUUCCGAACAUUUCUAAAAUCAAGAACAUUUUUGGAAUUGAUGAACAUUUUAUACUAUUUGCAAACACUUUUUAAAGAUUCCGAACAUCUUUAUAAACAAUUUUCUUUAAUCGAGGAACAUUUUUAUGGAAAUUGAUGGAACAAUUUUCGAAAUUCACAAACAUUUUUUGAUUUAACUAACAGUUUUUGAAAUACAUGAUCAUUUUUUGAAUCAGUGGACAUUUUCUGAAUGACUAAACUAUGUUGUAAGUCACGAAAUAGUUUUUGAAUUUUAGGAUAUUUCUCCAUUCAUGAACACUUUUUGAAUUGGCUAUUUUUUUCAAUUUCAUUAACAAUUUUUGAUAGAAAAACUUUUUAAAAAAUCAUGAAUUUUAUUUGAUUUCCCAAAAAAUUGUUUUUAAAAUUUUGAACAUUUAUUGUGUAAGCAAUUGUUUUUUACAAAACAGCGACCAUAUUUUAAAUCCACUAACAUUUUAUGAUUUAUGAAAAUUUUAUGUCAAAAUACUCAUUUUUUUAAUUUUCGAAACUUUUUUGAAAUCCCAAACUAUUUAUUGUAGAAAAGAACGAAAACAGGAAAGAAAAAUGAAAAUAGAAAACAAAAUCAAAGAAACAGGCCAGCCUGAAAUGGGCCGGCCCAAACAUACGUGUAGCUUCUUCUCCCAGCGUGCAGAGAGCAUUAUAGGAGGUCCCAACUGCAGGGCCGGCCCAGAUGGGGGAAUUCCCCUGUGUGAAUUUUUUGUAUCACUUAUAUGUGGCAUUGAACUCAUGAAGCAUGCGCUAUCCCUUCCAGCUCGCCGCCAUGUAUGGCUCGGACAACCAGAUGGACUUUCUUUCGUCCAUGUAAACGUUAUGACGAUAUAAUAAAAAGCUUCGGAAUUUGUCUAAAAAGACUUAUAAGUGGCAUUGGUGGGUAAUAUUUUGCAACUUUAGAGGUAAUUCCAUGACGUACCACCAGAAGCACAAUAGCCCCUUUACUAUUAUUAGGUACUCUUUUUUCCUUGUGGAGCUUUGGAAAUGAGAGAAUUUGAAUAUAGUAACUCUCGGAAACUCUUAUUGGAUGAGAGAGAUUUAAUAUGAUAUUGGCAUGGGUUCUACCAACUAACGAAGAAGUAUUUGACUGGAUAAACAGACAAUUUCCUUUAAUGGACGAACAUUUUUAUGAAAAUUGGUGGAAUAACUUGGGAAAUUCAUAAAUAUUUUUUUAGUUAACGAACAUUUUUUUAACUUAACGAACAUUUUUUGAAAUACAUGACCAUUUUUUUGAAUCUGUGAACGUUGUAUGAAUGAAUAAACUAGUUUGUAAGUCAUGAGCAGUUUUUCAAUUUUUAGGAUAUUUUUCCCUUCAUGAACAUUUUUUCAAUUGGUGAAAUUUUGUUCAAUUUCGUUAACAAUUUUUAGUGCACAAACCUUUUUAAAAAAUCAUGAACAUGAUUAUUUACCAAAGAAGCAAAUUGUUUUUUACAAAAUCGUGGACAUUUUUUUAACCCAGAAACAUUUUAUGAUUUAUGAAACAUUUUUUUCAAUACACAAUAUUUUUAAUUUUCGAAUUUUUGUGAAAUCCUAAAUUAUUUAAAGUAGAAAAAUCAAAAACAGAAAAGAGAAAGGAAUAAUAGAAAACAAAGUUAAAGAAUAGGCCGACCGAACAUGGGCCGGCCCAAACGGGCGCACUGUAUCUUCUGCCAGCGCCUAGAGCGCAGUAUAGGAGGUCCCUACUGCAUGGGCCNNNNNNNNNNNNNNNNNNNNNNNNNNNNNNNNNNNNNNNNNNNNNNNNNNNNNNNNNNNNNNNNNNAAGAAAAUAAUGCCUAUGCAUAUGCUUUUAUAUUAUUAUUAUUGUUUCAAAUUUAUUCAUAUAUUAUUUUCAAUUGUACAACCAUAAUUUUUCUUAUCUCUCUCGUUCCACUACAUGCUCCUAGUCAAAGAUUUUUUUAAUAAUGGGUGUUUUUAUUAACUCAAAAUAUAGCAUCAAGCGGAUACAAAACAUAAUGAGCCACACCCGGUCUAUGCAUAACUAAGAUGCACACAGCCAAAAGCAGAAGUCUGACAAAAAUAAGAUAAGAAAAUCGACAUAUCGACAACAGUGAGUCAUAUAGUACCGACACUAUGCCUCUGUCGAAGGAGGUGGUGGAGCGAUCUGGAGAUUAUGCUGCCAUCCAUGUUGAGUAAAUAUCUCCCUGGCCACUUGCUCCAACCGCAUAGACGCCGCCAUGAACAACGGUUGGUACUCCAUUCGGUGUAGCAUACACCAUACUAGAGGCUGGGGCGCCACCUGAGGCGGGCCUAUGCACACUUAUUUUGUCUGGGCAGUUCGGUUGUCAUGUUUGGUCAUCAGUAUCACUUAUGUACAUCAAUAUGGGCGUAUGUUGUAUUGUUUGAGUUCAUUAGGAUCUAUCAGUAUCACAUCAAUCAAACUACAUAUACUAUGUUAUUUGAGUUCAGAACCAUCAUAGGCAAUGAUACGUCUAACAAGGAUAUAUAACAUUUAAUUCAAAAGGAAAGACAAAGUAGAAUUAAGUGCUUCAGAUUGGCCGAAGAAAGGAACCUCAUGAUGCCAUGACUAAGGAACCAAAUAUAAAAGAGCACCUUUCAGAGUACUCCAGAGGUAUGACAUCAUCCAUUUCCACAUCAGAAUCAUCGGAAUUCUCCUGAUCCUCAUUUCGAUGUACCCAACACAAAUGCUACAUGGAUUUUAGUCAGCUGCAAUCCCCACUACUUCUACACUUCCCCUUUUUCACACCGAGGAGCAGAGACUGAUGCAAGUUGAUCGAACACAGAACAACAUAUAAUUGCCUAGAGAUGCGCUGGGCCUGAACAACAACAACAACAACAACCGUUGAGCCAGGUCUCCUUCCAGCAGCCUCAGCAACAAUAUCCAUCAGGCCAGGGCUCCUUCCAGCCAUCUCAGCAAAACCCACAGGCCCAGGGCUCUUUCCAGCCUCAACAACUGCCCCAGUUUGAGGAAAUAAGGAACCUAGCGCUACAGACGCUACUUGCAAUGUGCGAUGUCUAUAUCCCUCCAUAUUGCACCAUUGCUCCAUUUGGCAUCUUUGGUACUAACUGAGAAGAGAAGAACUCUAGUAGUAGAUAUAUGAUACACCGUUUUCUUAGUCCAUGGUUUGGUCGUUGUAGCGGUGAAAAAAUAAAGUGACAUGCACUAUCAUGUAAGAACCCGAACUAUACUAGUUCAAACUUGGGAAUAAAAGACAAACACAGGUCUUGUCUACAUAUGAUUGUUUGUUUGAGUUCCACUCAUGUGCCCAUUCACAAGUUCACCCCUAAUUAUAUAUAUUAUGCAUUAAGUAGAUAUUUAUGUUGCAUUAAUCUAAAGAUAACAAAAUGAGUCUGAAAUUUGAAUUAAAUUGAAGUAUUUCCUUGGACUUUCAAAUGGAGUAUUAUUAAAGUAGUAAGGACUAUCCUCAUCCUUGGCUUGCCCUUGAUCAAUUAUUUCCAGAGAAGCAUUCAAUUCGUCAAUCAAUUACAUUGAUUUUUGCAGCCGGUACUUCUCCUCAACAUGAGUAUAUUCAUCGCGGCUACUCCAAAUCGGCAUGAAUGAGGUACCGGUGCUCUGGAGCACUAGUACCUAACAGCUUCUCAUGUGAAGGGGUGCGGGCACGGGAGAGGUGUUUUUGGUGGGCCAGGGGAGUAAGAAGCGGCCGUGGCAGCGGUGCAGACACCCACAAAGCCCCGUAGUUUGUUUUUCGUUUACAGGAAAAUGCACAUCCAGACCGGCCUGCGGGCCGAUAUAGGACCGUAUUGGAUGGCAAAACAUGUCCGGAUGGUUGCGAGCGGUUUGAGGGUUAGCUUUUGUAACGCCCGGUUAGUUAUGCUAUUGUAAUUCCCUGCUAAUGAUGUCACGUAACCACGAUUACUAUUGUUAACCUCACAAUGAUUCAAUCCCAUUCAAAUUCAAAUUUAAAAUAAAGGCAAACAUCAAAAUUUCCAAACAUUAAAACUUAAAUCUUCGAGAGGUGGAAAAUAAUGCAUAAGUAAUUAUGGUGGAGAAACCACACUUUUAUAAAAUGUUUAAAUACUGUAAAAGAAUAAACAGUGGCUUAAACUAUUAUUUAAAUCCUUUUAAAAUAGUAAAAAUGUUCUAACUAAAUUAAUUGGGUACCAAACUUUUGGUGGCAGUGGUAUAUUUAGUAGAACUAAUUUAGAUGCUAAUUAUAUAAUUUACAAAAUUAAAGUAAAUUGAAAAAUAGGAUAAAACAUAAAAGGAAAGACAAAAUAAAUAAAAGCAAAAGGGGGCAACCCCUCGCUGGGCCUCGGCCUAACUGGCCACUGGGCUAGCUAGGCCGGCCCAGCCGCCUCCCUUAACCCCCCACUCCCCAUCGAACCCUGGCCCGAUCGCCCCACUUCCCCCACACCCCGUCGUCAGCCUCCCCACCUGUCGAUCCCAUCUGGAUCGGGGAGGGGAUCGCCCCCAUCAACCCCGUCGCCGUCUCCGGAUCGCCCGCUCGCCCAUCGCCCGCCGGAGUCGCCGGGCCUCCUCCCUGCCGCCCGUCUCCGGCUCGCCUCCUCUCUCGCUCCUCUUCCCUGACCCAAUCUGGAUCGGGAAGGGGCAAUGCGCCCGACGCCCCCCUUCACCGACGCCGUGCGCCAACACCGCCGCCCGAAGACCUCGCCGUCACCGGACCUCGCGUCGCCUCCUCGUAUCCCUCCCCGCCUCGCCUCAAGCCAUGACGACCCCCUUCUCGGCAACGCUGUGAGCCGCCCCCGUUUCCCUCCUCCUCUUUCCACCGCGUUCACAGCGUCGCCCGCCGUGCCCCUCGCCGCGCGCUCGCCCACCACCGCGCCAGCCCCGGUCCGCGCCCUCUCCUGCAUGCUUGCGUGCGCAUGACCCUAGCCGCGCCUGCGCCGUGAUCCCCUUAUCCNNNNNNNNNNNNNNNNNNNNNNNNNNNNNNNNNNNNNNNNNNNNNNNNNNNNNNNNNNNNNNNNNNNNNNNNNNNNNNNNNNNNNNNNNNNNNNNNNNNNNNNNNNNNNNNNNNNNNNNNNNNNNNNNNNNNNNNNNNNNNNNNNNNNNNNNNNNNNNNNNNNNNNNNNNNNNNNNNNNNNNNNNNNNNNNNNNNNNNNNNNNNNNNNNNNNNNNNNNNNNNNNNNNNNNNNNNNNNNNNNNNNNNNNNNNNNNNNNNNNNNNNNNNNNNNNNNNNNNNNNNNNNNNNNNNNNNNNNNNNNNNNNNNNNNNNNNNNNNNNNNNNNNNNNNNNNNNNNNNNNNNNNNNNNNNNNNNNNNNNNNNNNNNNNNNNNNNNNNNNNNNNNNNNNNNNNNNNNNNNNNNNNNNNNNNNNNNNNNNNNNNNNNNNNNNNNNNNNNNNNNNNNNNNNNNNNACCAAGACCCACAUCCCCUAAUUAACCAUUUAAUAAAUUUAAACUCUUAAAUUAACAUUAGUGUAUGACAUGUGGGUCCCCUAUUAAUUAAACUAAUUUAAUUAAAAUCUAUUAACUUCAAGUCUAUGACAUAUGGGCCCCACUGAACAUUUGACCAGUCAACGGUCCAGUCAAAUGUUGACCGGAUAGUUGACCAGAGGGCCCCACCAGUCAGCCUCUGUGCUGUUCUCCUGGGUACCUUUCUGAGUACACCUAGCAUUUUGCAUUUACAAUAUUUGUUUUAAAAUAAAUUAGAAUAAUUUCAAAAAAAUGAUUGAAACUUUUAAAAUUAAAAAAAAUUAUCCGUAACUCGGAUGAAAUUACUUUAUACAUGGAAGUUGCUCAAAAAAUGAGACGAAUCCUAAUACACAGUCCGUUCUUCUGCCACACGUCCCUAGCAUAGCGAACAUGCAACCACCCCCCUCCGGUUCGACUGUCCGAAAAUGUCAAACACCGGGAAUACUUUUCCGGAUGUUUCCCCUUCACUAGUAGCACCUAGUACCGCGUGAGGCAUACCUAGCACCACUUAUUGUAAUGUCAUGCAUCGUCAUGCAUCUGUUUGCAUUGUAUUCAUUGUUUCUUGCUCCUCUUCUCUCCGGUAGACUACGAGACUGACGCCGGUGCUGCCCCGGUCGAUUACGGUGUCCAUGACCCCUCCUUGUCAGCAGAGCUUCCAGGCAAGCAAACCCCCUUGAUCAUCCCGAUAUCGCCUACUCUUUCCUCUACUGCUUGCAUUAGAGUAUUGUUACUGUUUGUCGGUUUGAUCCUAUACUGCUGCAUGGCCUGUCUUUGAUACUACUUAUGUGUUAUUUGUUAGUACGCUUGGAGAAAAUGCCUUUGAUUAGGGCAUCUUCAACAGCGACCAGUAAAUUUCCUCCCGCGUUCGUCCACGAAUAGGGGAUCAGUCCGCGGACACGGAUACAGGAAUUGGCCAUCCAACAAUGUCCGCAUAUAUUUAAAACACUUAAAAAAUAGGAUGAAAUUCAUGCAAACACAGUGGAUUUCAUACAAACCGGACAAAAAUGUUUACAUUUUGGACAUUUUUUUUUUACUAAAAACUCUACAGCCGGUGCCGGCGAAUAUCCACUCCGGCAACAUGGAUACCCUUGACUAGUCUACUGCCGGCCGCAGCAGAUCUCCAAUGUCGUCCCCAUGUUCGGCAGCUGUGAGCCCUAGAGGUAUAUGCUUCAGCGCAAAGAGCGGCUCGCCUCCUACCGCUCAUCGGAGUGGAACAACCAGUUGAUGCUUCUGCCGAUGGGGAAGGGUCCCUACGCUACACGAAUUAGAGUUGGUUUUGGGUUGGGGGAACGGCGGUGGCCUGUCAGAGGGCAAGACACCGACUGUGUACGCUGGUGUCACCUGGUGUGGCAUUCAUGGGACCCAAGCGGCAGCGCCUCCUCAAUGAUGGCAGCGAGCGCGGACGUGUUGGACACCACCUCGUCGAUGUCCGUGCAGCCCGCUUCUUUCUCUGUAGGAAGGACGCGGUUACGCUCGCGUUGACAUCGGAUGACUCGGUCACAUGCACGAGAGGGGCGGUACAACAUGGCACCGUCAAUGGCAGCCAUGAUGCCCGCGCCACCGUGGUCCCUCCCAGUGCCGACCUGGAGCAACUUGCCACUCCUCGGCUCGUGACCGGCGGGCUUUACGGGCCACCUAGCCAUUUUUUAUGCCAGCCAACUCUUCUUCCUGCUCGUCAGAUGUCAUGGAGAAAACUGUUCAAGGAGGAAAAUGAUGAGUGGACGUGUGAUGCGCUUCUUGCCCAACAUCUGACAUUGUUUAAAUAGCGAGGGGACACGAGAGGAGCCAACCGGCGUUCUGUUCAAUGCCAACUGGCUCGCGAACGAACAUGUGGCCGGAGUAAUUAUCCUGGCACACACGCGGGUUUAAUGGUGGAAGGCGGGCAGUCUGCAGGAAUGAGGUGAGGAUGCGUGUUUAGCCGGCGUGCAGCGGGCAGCGCCCUCGGCCGGCGUGCUGCUUCCAUUGCGGAGGUAGUGAGAGGUCGCGUCCGCUCUGCAGCGCAUGAAUGCGGGCAGCUGGCGCAGAGCGGGAACGCGUGCAUGGUUUGGGUGGGCACGGGUGGUGAGAAGAGGUCAUGGGUGUUGUCCGAACGCCUGGAAAGCCCCCCCUCCAUGUUUGUCUCCGGUUUACGGGAGAAAGUACGUCCGGACCGUUUGAUGGACCAAUACAGGCCCGCAUUGGAUGGCACAACACGUCCGGACCAUGUGGUCCGGAUGGUUGUGGACGGUUUAAUUGAGGGUCGACGUUGGAGAUGCCUUAGAGUUUAUGAAUCCAUUGUGUUUUUUAAUCAUAAAAAGCACUUAUAACAAGUUAUAAGGAAAGACACGUUUAUAUGUUAGGUUCGGACUCCAGCUUUCCUCUUACAUAUGCUUUAUUGUGAUCCGACUGAUUCCAAUAGAGUGAGCCUAGCGUUGUUUUUCUGGAAACUUGCGGGAUAAGGAGACAUGCAUACACAUUCAUUCAAGCAAAUCACAUCCAUUCUUUUUAACUCAUUUUUCUUCUUUUAAUAAUAUAAUAGAUCAUUUAUAUUUUUAUCUCAAACAGUUGACGUGUAAUUUAUACUGUAAUCUGAGGAUAAUGUUUGGAUUUACUUUCAAAUAUAUUUGAAAUGGCCAUGAUGGAAUCACAUCCAUUUAUUUUAUUAUUAUUUGAAUUUGAUCCAAAAGAUAAAUAAUGAGUAGAGGUCAUGUCAACUUUUCUGAGAACUUUGCUAAUCAAAAUAUAAUUUGUAUUUAAAAACAUCUUUUUAGCACGCAUGAAAAACAUAACGCCUAUCUUUUCACACAUGAUGAACGGUUGUCAUAAGAACUCAUGGCAUGCCACAAGCUCCCUCCGACCCUGCCAACAUUGUUACAGCUGCACUCGCAAGCUUUAUCGUAGAUGAUCAUUUAUACGAUUUGCGUAAAUCAAAAUAAGAUCUACAAACGAAUAGAAGCUAGAACGUACCUUGGCAUGCACACACAUUGCAAGCCAUACUAAGCUGAUAAGUGUUAAUAACUUCUACAACAUAUACAACACUUAAGACAAGUAAAAGCAAUUUGAUGAGUCAUGGUCUAUCAAAGGCACAUUACUAGUCUAAUCCAUCUUAACAGGUCACACAUGAUUAAAACCUUGUUUGUGUGCAAGUCAAGCUUAUCUAGUUUACAUGUAACAACUUGUAGAACAUUACAAAAUUUAUGUUUGCUAAUAACCUCUAGAACACUACAACACUUGACAUGUAAAAGGAAUUUGAUGAGUCAUGGCCUACUAAAGCAAGUUAUAUUACUAGUCUUAUCUACCUUAACAGGCCACACAAGAUUACAAACUAAGUUCUGUGCUAGCCAUGCUUAUCUAGUUUAUGCGUAACAAUUUGCAGAAAAUUACAAACUUAGUUUCAGAAAAAUAGGCAAUCUAGAUUAGUGUUUGAGCUGUAAAGUGAAUAAGAUGAGUCAUGUGUGUUAUCACACCUUUUUGGUUGUGGAAUAAUAGUGCAACAACAAGGAACUUUAAUGACCAGUCCAAGAAUACACUUGUAAGUAGUGCCACCGAACACAACAUGCCAAAUUUUGAUUUUGAGAAGCAUCCAAACACUUCCACACAAGCAAAUGCCAAUUGUGAAAGAGAUCAUGCCAUGGCAGCUAUAAAUAGGCCCGUAGCAUGACGAUCAUCCUUCCUCAUCCAUCAUUCUCAUAAGUAGAGCGCAUCAUUUAAGCCAAGCAAGCAGUGCUCAAUACAAAUCCACCAUGAAGACCUUUCUCAUCCUUGCCCUCCUUGCUAUUGUGGCGACCACCGCCACAACUGCAGUUAGAGUUCCAGUGCCACAAUUGCAGCUACAAAAUCCAUCUCAGCAACAGCCACAAGAGCAAGUUCCAUUGGUACAAGAACAACAAUUUCCAGGGCAGCAACAACCAUUUCCACCACAACAGCCAUAUCCGCAGCCGCAACCAUUUCCAUCACAACAACCAUAUCUGCAGCUGCAACCAUUUCCACAGCCGCAACUACCAUAUCCGCAGCCGCAACCAUUUCGACCACAACAACCAUAUCCACAGCCGCAACCACAGUAUUCGCAACCACAACAACCAAUUUCGCAGCAGCAGCAGCAGCAGCAGCAACAACAACAACAACAACAACAAAUCCUACAACAAAUUUUGCAACAACAACUGAUUCCAUGCAGGGAUGUUGUAUUGCAACAACACAACAUAGCGCAUGGAAGCUCACAAGUUUUGCAAGAAAGUACUUACCAGCUGGUGCAACAAUUGUGUUGUCAGCAGCUGUGGCAGAUCCCCGAGCAGUCGCGGUGCCAAGCCAUCCACAAUGUUGUUCAUGCUAUUAUUCUGCAUCAACAACACCACCACCACCAACAACAACAACAACAACAACAACAACAACCGUUGAGCCAAGUCUCCUUCCAACAGCCUCAGCAACAAUAUCCAUCAGGCCAGGGCUUCUUCCAACCAUCUCAGCAAAACCCACAGGCCCAGGGCUCUUUCCAGCCUCAACAACUGCCCCAGUUUGAGGCAAUAAGGAACCUAGCGCUACAGACGCUACCUGCAAUGUGCAAUGUGUAUAUCCCUCCAUAUUGCACCAUUGCUCCAUUUGGCAUCUUCGGUACUAACUGAGAAGAGAAGAACUCUAGUAGUAGAUAUAUGAUACACCGUUUUCUUAGUCCAUGGUUUGGUCGUUGUAGCGGUGAAAAAAUAAAGUGACAUGCACUAUCAUGUAAGAACCUGAACUAUACUAGUUCAAACUUGGGAAUAAAAGACAAACACAGGUCUUGUCUACAUAUGAUUGUUUGUUUGAGUUCCACUCAUGUGCCCAUUCACAAGUUCACCCCUAAUUAUAUAUAUUAUGCAUUAAGUAGAUAUUUAUGUUGCAUUAAUCUAAAGAUAACAAAAUGAGUCUGAAAUUUGAAUUAAAUUGAAGUAUUUCCUUGGACUUUCAAAUGGAGUAUUAUUAAAGUAGUAAGGACUAUCCACAUCCUUGGCUUGCCCUUGAUCAAUUAUUUGCUGAGAAGCAUUCAAUUCGUCAAUCAAUUACAUUGAUUUUUGUGGCUGGUACUUCUCCUCAACAUGAGUAUAUUCAUCGUGGCUACUCCAAAUCGGCAUGAAUGAGGUACCGGUGCUCUGGAGCACUAGUACCUAACAGCUUCUCAUGUGAAGGGGUGCGGGCACGGGAGAGGUGUUUUUGGUGGGUCAAGGGAGUAAGAAGCGGCCGUGGCAGCGGUCCAGACGCCCACAAAGCCUCGUAGUUUGUUUUUGGUUUACAGGAAAAUGCACAUCCAGACUGGCCUGCGGGCCGAUAUAGGACCGUAUUGGAUGGCAAAACAUGUCCAGAUGGUUGUGAGCGGUUUGAGGGUUAGCUUUUGUAACGCCCGGUUAGUUAUGCUAUGGUAGUUCCCUGCUAAUGAUGUCACGUCACCACGAUUACUGUUGUUAACCUCACAAUGAUUCAAUCCCAUUCAAAUCCAAAUUUAAAAUAAAGGCAAACAUCAAAAGUUUCAAACAUUAAAACUAAAAUCUUCGAGAGGUGAAAAAUAAUGCAUAAGUAAUUAUGGUGGAGAAACCACACUUUUAUAAAAUGUUUAAAUACUCUAAAAGGAAUAAAACAGUGGCUUAAACUAUUAUUUAAAUGCUUUUAAAAUAGUAAAAAUGUUCUAACUAAAUUAAUUGGGUACCAAACUUUUGGUGGCAGUGGUAUAUUUAGUAGAAAAAAUUUAGAUGCUAAUUAUAUAAUUUACAAAAUUAAAGUAAAUUAAAAAAUAGGAUAAAACAUAAAAGGAAAGACAAAACAAAUAAAAGCAAAAGGGGGCAACCCCUCACUGAGCCUCGGCCUAGCUGGCCACUAGGCUAGCUAGGCCGGCCCAGCCGCCUCCCUUAACCCCCCACUCCCCAUCGAACAAUAGCCCGAUCGCCCCACUUCCCCCACACCCCCUCGUCAGCCUCCCCACCUCUCGAUCCCAUCUGGAUCGGGGAGGGGAUCGCCCCCAUCGACCCCGUCGCCAUCGCCGGAUCACCCGCUCGCCCAUCGCCCGCCGGCGUCGCCGGGCCUCCUCCCCGCCGCCCGUCUCCGGCUCUCCUCCCCUCUCGCUCCUCUUCCCCGACCCGAUAUGGAUCGAGAAGGGGCAAUGAGCCCGACGCCCCCCUCCACCGACGUUGUGCGCCAGCACCGCCACCCGAAGACCUCGUCGUCGCCGGACCUCGCGUCGCCUCCUCGUAUCUCUCCCCGACUCGCCUCCUCAAGCCACGCCGACCCCCUUCUCGGCAACGCUGUGAGCCGCCCCCGUUUCCCUCCUUCUCUUUCCACCGUGUUUGAUAAGUCUCCAACGUAUCUAUAAUUUUUGAUUGUUCCAUGCUAUAUUAUAUUCUGUUUUGGAUGAUUAAUGGGAUUUAUUAUACACUUUUAUAUUAUUUUUGGGACUAACCUAUUAACCGGAGGCCCAGCCCAAAUUGCUGUUUUUUUGCCUAUUUCAGUGUUUCGCAGAAAAAGAAUAUCAAACGGAGUCCAAACGGAAUGAAACCUUCGGGAAUGUGAUUUUCGGAACAAACGUGAUCCAGAGGACUUGGAGUGGACGUCAAGCAACAGACGAGGAAGCCACGAGGUAGGGGCGCGCCUACCCUCCUGGGCGCGCCCUCCACCCUCAUGGGCCCCUCGUGGCUCCACUGACCUACUUCUUCCUCCUAUAUAUACCUACGUACCCCCAAACCAUCAGAAGCGACCACAAAAACCUAAUUCCACCGCCGCAACCUUCUGUACCCGUGAGAUCCCAUCUUAGGGCCUUUUCCGGCGUCCUGCCGGAGGGGGCAUUGAUCACGGAGGGCUUCUACAUCAACACCAUAGCCUCUCCGAUGAUGUGUGAGUAGUUUACCUCAGACCUUCGGGUCCAUAGUUAUUAGCUAGAUGGCUUCUUCUCUCUCUUUGGAUCUCAAUACAAAGUUCUCCUCGUUUCUCUUGGAGAUCUAUUUGAUGUAACUCUUCUUUUUGCGGUGUGUUUGUCGAGAUCCGAUGAAUUGUGGGUUUAUGAUCAAGAUUAUCUAUGAACAAUAUUUGAAUCUCCUCUGAAUUCUUUUAUGUAUGAUUGGUUAUCUUUGCAAGUCUCUUCGAAUUAUCAGUUUGGUUUGGCCUACUAGAUUGAUCUUUCUUGCAAUGGGAGAAGUGCUUAGCUUUGGGUUCAAUCCUGCGGUGUCCUUUCCCAGUGACAGCAGGGGCAGCAAGGCACGUAUUGUAUUGUUGCCAUCGAGGAUAAAAAGAUGGGGUUUAUAUCAUGUUGCAUGAGUUUAUCCCUCUACAUCAUGUCAUCUUGCUUAAAGCGUUACUCUGUUUUUAUGAACUUAAUACUCUAGAUGCAUGCUGGAUAGCGGUCGAUGUGUGGAGUAAUAGUAGUAGAUGCAGAAUCGUUUUGGUCUACUUGUCACGGACGUGAUGCCUAUAUACAUGAUCAUACCUAGAUAUUCUCAUAACUAUGCUCAAUUCUAUCAAUUGCUCGACAGUAAUUCGUUUACCCACCAUAAUACUUAUGCUCUUGAGAGAAGCCACUAGUGAAACCUAUGGCCCCCGGGUCUAUUUUCCAUCAUAUUAAUCUUCCGUCAACAAGCUAUUUCUAUCUUUAUUUACCUUGUAAUCUUUACUUUUACUCUUUAUCAUAAAAAUACCAAAAAUAUUAUCUUAUCAUCUCUAUCAGAUCUCACUCUCGUAAGUGACCGUGAAGGGAUUGACAACCCCUUUAUCGCGUUGGUUGCGAGGUUCUUAUUUGUUUGUGUAGGUGCGUGGGACUUGAGUGUGGCCUCCUACUGGAUUGAUACCUUGGUUCUCAAAAACUGAGGAAAAUACUUACGCUACUUUACUGCAUCACCCUUUCCUCUUCAAGGGAAAACCAACGCAGUGCUCAAGAGGUAGCAAGAAGGAUUUCUAGCACCGUUGCCGGGGAGUCUACGCACAAGUCAAGACAUACCAAGUACCCGUCACAAACUCUUAUCCCUCGCAUUACAUUAUUUGCCAUUUGCCUCUCGUUUUCCUCUCCCCCACUUCACCCUUGCCGUUUUAUUCGCCUCCUUUUCGUUUGCUUCUUGUUUGCUCGUGUGUUGGAUUGCUUGUUUGUCGCGAUGGCUCUACCUAGAUUUGGUGAUCUUCCAUUAAAAGGUUAGAAGAGAUUGAAAGCAACGUCAGAAGUUUCAUGACUUUACAAUUUGAGCAUAACAAUUUCUUUAGAAACGAGCUUAAGGAACAAAAAAGCUUUAUGGGUUACAUGAAUAAAGAGCUCGACGAUAUGUCUAAGGAAUUUUAUGGUCUAAAAUCUUAGAUUUCUCAUCUCGAAAAAUUAAUUGCUGAAAUUUCGGAUAAGCAGGCCACCUUAGUUAAUAAGAUGGCCGCUAAACCGGUAAUUUUUUAUGAGAAUAAAGAUGAAGAUCUAAAAGUUAUUGAUGUGUCCCCUAUUAAAUCUUAGUUUUGCAAUAUGAAUCUUGAUAAUGAUGGGACUGGAGAUGAGUCAACUUUAGUUAAAAGGCGUCCCAAAAAUUCGGAGUUUUUAGAUCUUGAUGCAAAAUUUGGUAAAAGUGGGAUUGAAGAGGUCAAAACUUUAGAUAUCAAUGAACCCACUAUCUUGGAUUUCAAGGAAUUUAAUUAUGAUAAUUGCUCUUUGAUAUAUUUUAUUUCCUUGUUGCAAUCCGUGUUAAAUUCUCCUCAUGCUUAUAGUCAAAAUAAAGCUUUUACUAAACAUAUCGUUGUUGCUUUGAUGCAAUCUUAUGAAGAAAAACUUGAGUUGGAAGUUUCUAUCCCUAGAAAACUUUAUGAUGAAUGGGAACCUACAAUUAAAAUUAAAAUUAAAGAUCAUGAAUGCUAUGCUUUGUGUGAUUUGGGUGCUAGUGUUUCCACGAUCCCAAAAACUUUGUGUGAUUUGCUAGGUUUCCGUGAAUUUGAUGAUUGUUCUCUAAAUUUGCAUCUUGCGGAUUCCACCAUCAAGAAACCUAUGGGAAGAAUUAAUGAUGUUAUUAUUGUUUCAAAUAGGAACUAUGUGCCCGUAGAUUUUAUUGUUCUUGAUAUAGAUUACAAUCCUUCAUGUCCUAUUAUUUUUGGUAGACCUUUCCUUAGAACGAUUGGUGCAAUUAUUGAUAUGAAAGAAGGAAAUAUUAGAUUCCAAUUUCCGUUAAGGAAAGGUAUGGAACACUUUCCUAGAAAGAAAAUAAAAUUACCUUAUGAAUCUAUUAUGAGAGCUACUUAUGGAUUGCCUACCAAAGAUGGCAAUACCUAGAUCUAUCCUCGCUUUUAUGCCUAGCUAGGGGCGUUAAAUGGUAGCGCUUGUUGGGAGGCAACCCAAAUUUUAUUUUAGUUUUUUUGCUUUUUUGCUUCUGUUUAGGAAUAAAUCUUUGAUCUAGACUCUGGUUAGACUUGUUUUUAUGUUUUAAUUAGUGUUUGUGCCAAGUUAAACCUAUAGGAUCUUCUUGGAUGAUAGUUAUUUGAUCUUGCUGAAAAUUCCAGAAACUUUCUGUUCACGAAAACAAUUGUUAAAAAUCACCAGAACGUGAUAAAAUACUGAUUCUAAUUGCAGUAGAUCAAUAAACAAAUUAUCUAGGUCUUCCUAUUUUGGUAGAUUUUUCUGAGUUACAUAAGUUUGUGUUAGUUACAGAUUACUACAGACUGUUCUGUUUUUGACAGAUUCUGUUCUUCGUGUGUUGUUUGCUUAUUUUGAUGAAUCUAUGGCUAGUAAAAUAGUUUAUAAACCAUAGAUAAGUUGGAAUACAUUAGGUUUAACACCAAUAUAAAUAAAGAAUGAGUUCAAUACAGUACCUUGAAGUGGUGUUUUGUUUUCUUUCGCUAACGGAGCUCACGAGAUUUUCUGUUAAGUUUUGUGUUGUGAAGUUUUCAAGUUUUGGGUAAAGAUUUGAUGGAUUAUGGAACAAGGAGUGGCAAGAGCCUAAGCUUGGGGACGCCCAAGGCACCCCAAGGUAAAUCUAAGGACACCAAAAAUCCAAAGCUUGGGGAUGCCCCGGAAGGUAUCCACUCUUUCGUCUUCGUCCAUCGGUAACUUUACUUGGAGCUAUAUUUUUAUUCACCACAUGAUAAGUGUUUUGCUUGGAGCGUCUUGUAUGAUUUGAGUAUUUGCUUUUUAGUUUACCACAUUCAUACUUGCUGUACACACCUUUUGAGAGAGACACACAUGAUUCAGAAUUUAUUAGAAUACUCUAUGUGCUUCACUUAUAUCUUUUGAGCUAUAUAGUUUUUGCUCUAGUGCUUCACUUAUAUCUUUUAGAGCACGGUGGUGGUUUUGUUUUAUAGAAACUAUUUUUCUCUCAUGCUUCACUUAUAUCAUUUUGAGAGUCCUACAUAACAGCAUGGUAAUUUGCUUAAAUUGAGAAAUUAGUCCUAAUAUGAUAGGCAUCCAAGAUUAGUAAAAACUUUCUUAUAAGUGCGUUGAAUACUAAGAAAAGUUUGAUGCUUGAUGAUUGUUUUGAGAUAUGGAGGUAGUGAUAUUAAAGUUGUGCUAGUUGAGUAGUUUUGAAUUUGAGAAAUACUUGCGUUGAAGUUUGCAAGUCCCGUAGCAUGCACGUAUGGUAAACGUUGUGUAACAAAUUUGAAACAUGAGGUGUUCUUUGAUUGUCCUCCUUAUGAGUGGCGGUCGGGGACGAGUGAUGGUCUUUUCCUACCAAUCUAUCCCCCUAGGAGCAUGCGCGUAGUGCUUGGUUUUUGAUGACUUGUAGAUUUUUGCAAUAAGUAUGUGAGUUCUUUAUGACUAAUGUUGAGUCCAUGGAUUAUACGCACUCUCACCCUUCCAUCAUUGCUAGCAUCUUCGGUACCGUGCAUUGCCCUUUCUCACCUUGAGAGUUGGUGCAAAUUUCGCCGGUGCAUCCAGACCCCGUGAUACGAUACGCUCUGUCACACAUAAACCUCCUUAUAUCUUCCUCAAAACAGCCACCAUACCUACCUGUUAUGGCAUUUCCAUAGCCAUUCCGAGAUAUAUUGUCAUGCAACUUUCCACCGUUCCGUUUAUCAUGACACGUUUCAACAUUGUCAUAUUGCCUUGCAUGAUCAUGUAGUUGACAUCGUAUUUGUGGCAAAGCCACCGUUCAUAAUUUUUCAUACAUGUCACUCUUGAUUCAUUGCCCAUCCCGGUACACCGCCGGAGGCAUUCAUAUAGAGUCAUACUUUGUUCUAGUAUCGAGUUGUAAUCAUUGAGUUAUAAAUAAAUAGAAGUGUGAUGAUCAUCAUUCAUAGAGCAUUGUCCCAAAAAAAGGAGAAAGGCCAAAUGAAAAAAAGGCCCAAAAAAAGGGGCAAUGUUACUAUCCUUUUUCCAUACUUGUGCUUCAAAGUAGCACCAUGGUCUUUAUGAUAGAGAGUCUCUUGUUUUGUCACUUUCAUAUACUAGUGGGAAUUUUUCAUUAUAGAACUUGGCUUGUAUAUUCCCACAAUGGGCUUCCUCAAAUGCCCUAGGUCUUCGUGAGCAAGCAAGUUGGAUGCACACCCACUUAGUUUCUUUUGUUGAGCUUUCAUGCAUUUAUAGCUCUAGUGCAUCCGUUGCAUGGCAAUCCCUACUCCUUGCAUUGACAUCAAUCGAUGGGCAUCUCCCUAGCUCGUUGAUUAGCCGCGUCAAUGUGAGACUUUCUUUUCUUUUUUUCUUCUCCACAUAACCCCCAUCAUCAUAUUAUAUUCCACCCAUAGUGUUAUAUCCAUGGCUCACGCUCAUAUAUUGCGUGAAAGUUGAAUUUUUUUUGAGAUUACUAAAGUAUGAAACAAUUGCUUGGCUUGUAAUCGGGGUUGUGCAUGAUGAGAGCAUUCUUGUGUGACGAAAAUGGGGCAUGACCAAACUAUAUGAUUUUGUAGGGAUGAACUUUCUUUGGCCAUGUUAUUUUGAGAAGACAUAAUUGCUUAGUUAGUAUGCUUGAAGUAUUAUUACUUUUAUGUCAAUAUUAAACUUUUAUCUUGAAUCUUUCGGAUCUGAAUAUUCAUACCACAAAUAAGAGAAUUACAUUGAAAAUUAUGCUAAGUAGCAUUCCACAUCAAAAAUUCUGUUUUUAUCAUUUACCUACUCGAGGACGAGCAGGAAUUAAGCUUGGGGAUGCUUGAUACGUCUCCAACGUAUCUAUAAUUUUUGAUUGUUCCAUGCUAUAUUAUAUUCUGUUUUGGAUGAUUAAUGGGCUUUAUUAUACACUUUUAUUAUUUUUGGGACUAACCUAUUAACCGGAGGCCCAGCCCAAAUUGUUGUAUUUUUUGCCUAUUUUAGUGUUUCGCAGAAAAAGAAAAUCAAACGGAGUCCAAACGGAAUGAAACCUUCGGGAACGUGAUUUUCGGAACAAAUGUGAUCCAGAGGACUUGGAGUGGACGUCAAGGAACAGACGAGGAAGCCAUGAGGUAGGGGGGCGCGCCUACCCCCUGGGCGCGCCCUCCACCCUCGUGGCUCCACCGACCUACUUCUUCCUCCUAUAUAUACCUACGUACCCCCAAACCAUCAGAAGCGACCAUGAAAACCUAAUUCCACCACCGCAACCUUCUAUACCCCUGAGAUCCCAUCUUGGGGCCUUUUCCGGCGUCCUGCCGGAGGGGGCAUUGAUCACGGAGGGCUUCUACAUCAACACCAUAGCCUCUCCGAUGAUGUGUGAGUAGUUUACCUCAGACCUUCGGGUCCAUAGUUAUUAGCUAGAUGGCUUCUUCUCUCUCUUUGGGUCUCAAUACAAAGUUCUCCUCGUUUCUCUUGGAGAUCUAUUUGAUGUAACUCUUCUUUUUGCGGUGUGUUUGUCGAGAUCCGAUGAAUUGUGGGUUUAUGAUCAAGAUUAUCUAUGAACAAUAUGUGAAUCUCCUAUGAAUUCUUUUAUGUAUGAUUGGUUAUCUUUGCAAGUCUCUUCGAAUUAUCAGUUUGGUUUGGCCUACUAGAUUGAUAUUUCUUGCAAUGGGAAAAGUGCUUAGCUUUGGGUUCAAUCUUGCGGUGUCCUUUCCCAGUGACAGCAGGGGCAGCACGGCACAUAUUGUAUUGUUGCCAUCGAGGGUAAAAAGAUGGGGUUUAUAUCAUAUUGCAUUAGUUUAUCCCUCUACAUCAUGUCAUCUUGCUUAAAGCGUUACUCUGUUCUUACGAACUUAAUGCUCUAGAUGCAUGCUGGAUAGCGGUCGAUGUGUGGAGUAAUAGUAGUAGAUGCAGAAUCGUUUCGGUCUACUUGUCACGGACGUGAUGCCUAUAUACAUGAUCAUACCUAGAUAUUCUCAUAACUAUACUCAAUUCUAUCAAUUGCUCGACAGUAAUUCGUUUACCCACCGUAAUACUUAUGCUCUUGAGAGAAGCCACUAUUGAAACCUAUGGCCCCCGGGUCUAUUUUCCAUCAUAUUAAUCUUCCGUCAACAAGCUAUUUCUAUCUUUAUUUACCUUGCAAUCUUUACUUUUACUCUUUAUCAUAAAAAUACCAAAAAAAAUUAUCUUAUCAUCUCUAUCAGAUCUCACUCUCGUAAGUGACCGUGAAGGGAUUGACAACCCCUUUAUCGCGUUGGUUGCGAGGUUCUUAUAUAUUUGUGUAGGUGCGUGGGACUUGAGUGUGGCCUCCUACUGGAUUGAUACCUUGGUUCUCAAAAACUGAGGGAAAUAAUUACACUACUUUACUGCAUCACCCUUUCCUCUUUAAGGGAAAACCAACGCAGUGCUCAAGAGGUAGCAGUGUUCACCGCGCCGCCCGCCGUGCCCCUCGCCGCGCGCACGCCCACCACCGCGCCAGCCCCCGCUCAGCGCCCUCUCCUGCACGCUUGUGCGCGCAUGACCCUAGCCACGCCCGCGCCGUGAUCCCCUUGUUCGGCCCGCCUUCGUCCCGCGCUCGCCGCGGCCCCCAUGCUCCCCCGUGCCAUCUUCUAGGGGCGUCGGCUGCCCCUGUCCCGCUGCUCGCUGCCACGCCUCGCCCGCCCGCGCCUCGCCACCGCUCUACUGCUACGCUAAUAUUGCGCUGUGGCCGCCGCCGCUUCCCGCUGCUCUGCCAGCGCCGAAGCUCCCGGUUGGCUCCGCCGCUGCUCACGUUUUACCGCCCCUAAACGGCCUACCCCCCCCCUCGCUAAUGAACCCCCACUGACCCGCUGACACCGGGACCCACAUCCCCUAAUUAACCAUUUAAUAAAUUAAAAAUCUUAAAUUAACAUUAGUGUAUGACAUGUGGGUCCCCUAUUAAUUAAACUGAUUUAAUUAAAAUCUAUUAACAUUGAGUCUGUGACAUAUGGGCCCCACUAAACAUUUGACCAGUCAACGGUCUAGUCAAAUGCUGACCGGACAGUUGACCAGAGGGCCCCACCAGUCAGCCUCUGUGCUGUUCUGCUGGGUACCUUUCUAAGUACACCUAGCAUUUUGCAUUUACAAUAUUUGUUUUAAAAUAAAUUAGAAUAAUUUCAAAAAAAGAUUAAAACUUUUAAAAUUAAAAUAAAAUAAUCCGUAACUCGGAUGAAAUUACUUUAUACAUGCAAGUUGCUCAAAAAACGAGACGAAUCCGAAUACACAGUCCGUUCGUCUGCCACACGUCCCUAGCAUAGCAAACAUGCAACCAUCCCCCUCCGGUUCGACUGUCCGAAAAUGUCAGACACGGGAAAUACUUUUCCGGAUUUUCCCCUUCACCAUUAGCACCUAGUACCGCGUGAGGGCAUACCUAGCACCACUUAUUGUAAUGUCAUGCAUCGUCAUGCAUCUGUUUGCAUUGUAUUCAUUGUUUCUUCCUCCUCUUCUCUCCGGUAGACUACGAGACCGACGUCGGUGCUGCCCCGGUCGACUACGGUGUCCAUGACCCCUCCUUGUAAGCAGAGCUUCCAGGCAAGCAAACCCCCUUGAUCAUCCCGAUAUCGCCUACUCUUUCCCUCUACUGCUUGCAUUAGAGUAUUGUUACUGUUUGUCGGUUUGAUCCUAUACUGCUGCAUGGCUUGUCUUUGAUACUACUUAUGUGUUAUUUGUGUAGAUUUGUCAAGGAAAAAUGAGUCUAUAGCCUAAUAAAUGAAGUGUUGCAUGUUACCACACAUAUGUUAAUCCCCACUAUAGAGUUAGUAACAUAGACUAGUAACAUGUGCAUGUUACUACCCAUUGUGGCCAGUCUAUGUUACCACUUUCCUCUCUUUCUUCAUUUAUUGCUUGCCACAUCAUCUAUUUUAUCUAGGUAUGUGUGAUAUUACUACCUAUGUUACUCCCACUGUGGGUAGUCUAAGCAGGCUAUAAGGAAUAGAAUAAUAUAUAUGUGCUUAUUAGUUGGAGGAAAGAGAAGAGAAGCGGGCUCUUGGUUAGUAGAGCCAGCUACAACAUGAGACCCAAGCACUUUGUGAGGAUGUAAGGUGGCCAACUAUUGAUAAACUAGUACGUAUAUAAAAAUUAUUAUUGCACAUGGCCGCUAAGAGGUUGGCUGUAUAUGACAUGACAACUUCUUAUAGCCGACCCUUGGCUGUAUUAUUAACCAUGCUCUUAGUGAGGUAGCUAGUAUAUCAUAGACGACUAGCUAGUAUCAGACUAGCCAAAGUGGGAGUAACUUCAGCAGUAACAUCGACUCCAACUCAGAAAACUUGCUUAUGUGGGAGUAAACCGUGCCCAAUGCAAAAUACAAUCCCAGUCAUAAUUUUUUCAGGAAACGUGUGGUAUCCCAAACGAAAAGUACAUGUCACUCUUGCGGCAACGAUACCCAAUAAAUCACAAACGGUCUGCAGCACUUGUAUGUGUGCGAAGAGGCUCCUGAACCGUUUGUGAUAGAACAUUAUCGUAGACGAUAAUUGUUGGCAAACGUGUGCGAUGGAGUCUAGCAUGGCAGACAGGUUACGCAGAAAACUCGUGUGCGAUGGGGCACAAAUCGCACACAGUUCAUAUGUUGGCCCGUGUGCCUUACAUACUAUUUCCCAAACGGUUUGUUACGACAGACCGUAUGGUUUCAGUGCGUCAUUAGAAACGCUUAAUCACCGAUACCACACGUGCGAAAGAAUUUAGUGUGUGCUUCAUCGCACACGAUUACAUUUUGGAAGGCCUCUGGAUCACUGCUCCAUAUCCCCGACGGUUUCUGGGUCGUGUGGGAAGUACACCCUAUCGCACACACUCACUUGGCGACGGUUCCAAAUGCCAUCGCGGAAAGGGGUUGAAAACAGUUUGUUUAGAACCGACGCGUACCAUUGUCUAUCUAUCUAUCUACCUAUCUAUCUAUCUAUCUAUCCAUCCAUCUAUCUAUCUAUCCAUCUAUCUAUCCACCUAUCCAUCUAUCCAUCUAUCUAUCUCUAUCCAUCUAUCUAUCUAUCCAUCUAUCCAUCUAUCUAUCCAUCUAUUUAUCUAUCUAUCUAUCUAUCUAUCUAUCUAUGUAUCCAUCGAUCCAUCUAUCCAUCCAUCGAUCCAUCUAUCCAUCCAUCUAUCUAUCCAUGCAUCCAUGUAUCCAUCUAUCGAUCUAUCCAUCUAUCCAUAUAUCGAUCUAUCCAUCUAUCUAUCCAUCUAUCCAUCUAUCCAUCUAUCGAUCUUUCCAUCUAUCGAUCUAUCCAUCUCUUCAUCUACCCAUCUAUCCAUCUAUCCAUCUACCGAUCUAUCUAUCCAUCUAUCUACCUACCUAUCUAUCUAGCUAUCUAGCUAUCUAUCUAUCUAUCCAUCCAUCUGUCCAUCCAUCCAUCUAUCUACCUACCUACCUACCUACCUACCUACCUAUCUAUCUAUAUAUCUAUCUAUCUAUCUAUCUAUCUAUCUAUCUAAAGGAAAUAUGCCCUAGAUGCAAUAAUAAAGUUGUUAUUUAUAUUACUUAAACUAGCAGAGUCACCCGCGCAUUUGCGCGGCUAGAUUGACUACAUAUAUUGUUAUAUUUGGGAUUAUUUUUCUAUGCCAACUUUAUGGCCUCUUACUCAGAUAUUAUCUAAUUUAAUUUACCACCACCAUAUGUUAUAUCCAUAGAUUAUAAUUAAAAGGCAACUUGCGACGAAACAUGGUCAGAUUAUUGAGUGCUCAGAAGACGGGCGCAAUAUCAUAUAUAGACUUCUAUACCAAUCUUCAUGGUUCCCAUCUUUGAUCCUCUCCUCGUCCCUUGGUAUCUAUCUUUGCACCCAAUAUGUCUUUGGAGUUCCAAGAAUUGGAUCUUAGCAUGAAUGGCUUCAAAGUGUACCAAAUGUUCUCUUGUUCCUCCCAAAUUAAUUACUGGUUGCAUUCUUAGUUGCUUUGACAUUCUUGGUUAAUGCAAUGUCUUGCCUACCAAUAUAUGCAUCCACACACGAUCAUAUUUAUAUGACCACUUACCUCUGUAUUCUGGUAUUUGUGCUUCAGAAUUUUUCUCUCAUUCAGUUUAUUCAUAGAUUAGAAACGUCGAUCGUUUCUUUAUUGGUUUGCAUUAUCUUGUUUGCCGAAUGUAAGCAUCCACACAUGCUCGUCAUGAUAUGAUUGGUCAUCAUUGUAUAUUUGUAUUUGUGUGUUGAUAGCUUAAGGAUUUUCUCGGAUUCACUUCAUAGUUUAAGGAUUUUCUCGCGUUCAAUUUAUUCUACCUUAUUCAUUUUCAUGUUUCUUUAUUGUAUUCAUAUCCAUUCUUACAAUAUAUUUUCCAAGAUAUGAACUCAACUACUAAUUACGUAGUUUUCAAUGAAAUUUUACAUGUAAAAGUGGUACAAAUGCAUAAACCCAAUUUUUUUUUAAACACGUUGACUUACAAAAAGGACAAUUCAAGCUGCAUGUACGUCCGACUCAUGUUUACCUGACAAUGUCGAUGUUGAUUUCAGCAGUAAAUGAGCUGUGUGUGACCUUUGCGCUUUCCGGUAUUCUUCUAACCUGUGUGCUUUAUGAUCAGUUUGUUGUGCUUAGUACUGGACACUGGAGUAUACUAUCAUAUUUGAUACAAACAAAUCCGAACUGCUAUAGUUAUGAUCCACUGUAUAGUUAAUGGUGGUGGUAAUUAAUAUAUGUGGUUAAAUACUUGCGCUCCUUAGGUGGGGAGUUGGAUUUGUAUUUGUCUAAAAUGAAUUUCAGAUUUCGUAUCAGUGGUGAAGCCAGCCGGAAGAACCUCUGCGUCAUUAUUAAUUUUGGUGAUAUUUUUCAUCAUAGUGUAGAAUAAUUUUAGUGCUUAUUCCGCAAAAAAAUGGCCUCAACUGACCCCAUAGCUUGUAUGUUGCGCCACCACUGUUUCGUAUAUCUUAUUACAUCCGUUGUUUUUAGAUCUUGAUGCAUAACUUUGACAAUUUUUAAUAGAUAUGUGUCUGUAUAAAAAAAUUAUAAAUGCUAUGAUAAUUUGAUUAAUUAUGAUGAAUAAAAUGGUAUUGCUUUGACUUGAUCCCUCUAACAAUUUAUAGGAAUGCUCUUAAAUAUUUCUGCUUCAUUUGAUCUCAUUAUAGCCUGCCUAAAUUACAUGGCUUAAUCGCCUUUUUUCUUUUAUCUUAGUUCAUUUCCGUAAAUUCAUUUGUACUAUAUAUGCUCCCGUAAAUUCAUUUUUUUAAUUGCUCACAUUUUUUUGAGGCAUUUUGAGUUUCUCACGUACGCUCAAACGCCCAAGAAAACACAUAUAGUGUUCGCUACGCCCAAGAAAACACAUUGAGGCAGUAAUUUCUUCAGGCAAGAUCGAUCGGCAGCUAAUUAAGUAGGCUGGAUGGCAUUGAGAAAUCCAAAAACGAUUUACAUACACAUGGUAGAUCGUCUCUCUCUCUCCUUCCACCCCUUCCUUUCAUGGCCAUCGUAGACUGCACCAUGUGGCAUUCAAACUUUUAUCAAGGGGAGAGUUUCCUCACACACACACACACACAUGCACAUACGCAAGCACACGCACACACGUGUAGUACAAACUUAGAAUUUUUGGAAAUAAUGGGAGGCCGAGCAACGGCCAUGUGAAAAUAUGAGGUAUAUAGCUUGUGGAUUUCCUUUCAGUGUACAAGGCCUGCAUGAGGAAUGGAUAAAAAAUUAUAUCUUUGAUUCCCUUAGUUAAAUCUUAUCCUUCAUCGUCAAUUAUGACUAAGCAUACAUAGUAACCGCUAGUUUCUCUUAUAUGCUUCCGAGAAGAUAAGACUGGAUAUUUUAGUUGCUAUUAAUUGUUUCCCUUCUUUCGCUAAAUAGUAGUCAAACAUGUUAUUAAUGUAUUUUGUAAGGAUAAGGUCGAGCAUCAUGGCCACUAUGUUCUAUAUAUACUGAAUUUGGUGUUCAGUAUGACAUAACAAACACAUAUUGUGAGAAGGAGUAGUGUACAUUGUUCUCUAGUGCACUUUGUUCAGCAAGUUGGGUGAAAAUGUUGAAUAGAACCAUCAAGUUUUCAUACUUUUUUUCAUGGCACAGGUUUGCCUUCUCAUGAUGAUGGCCGCACCGUUUGCACAAGCUGCUGGGAGGCCUGUGGCCUCCUUACCAUGGGUAGCGGGGUGUUGCCCGAGGAACUAUUUGUGUUGUGGUGUUGGUGCCGUUGCCCCGACAUCCCAUGCAUCACAGGCCACCUCUGUACCUUGAGUUAUGGUUUCGCCUGAUCUCCUCUCAUAACAUAGUUGAUAUAACAUAGUAGCAUCACAAAGGUUGCAUGGUUUCAUUGAUUCAUCUCUUUUCUACUCCUUGAAACUUGUGAUGCCACUUUUGAACAAUGUCAUUGCUAUGUCUUCUUAUAACUAAUAAAAUGGGAGGAUAUUUUCAUCUUAUUUGAAUUGUGUUGUAACAUUACCUACUAAUGUGGAUGAUCUGAGUGGGACUACAUAGAUCGGAUCUUCUAAAGAUGUAAUCUAGGACUUUGCGAGAUGAUGAAAUUGUCCUUUAUCUUGGUCGACACCUUUUCGUAGAAGUGUUGGUCGGCCGUCUGUGUCUUUUUGCGGUGCAUGCCGUAGAAUCCUCCAUGUUUUGUAGUUGUACAAUAACCUUUGAGGCAACCGGGGGUGGUACGUCUGAGGAAGUCGGUGGCCCAGGAAUAUUCAUAAUAAGAUCUUGACCAUGGAUGCCAAGUAAUUUGCCCCGUGCUGAUGUCGUCGGGCUGACCCGCUCACUUAUGUUUUGACUCAAGGAGUCGCUAUGUUCACCGAGUCGCGAGACAGCGGGAGGAAGGAGACGAAGGUCCCAAACGUCAGACCAAAAAGGUGGACUAGGGCUCGCCCUAGUUGUGCUCUCGGGUAUUUUCAGUUACUAGUAGGAGUAAGAAGCAUUGCAAAUUGCUCCCUCUGUUCAAUCCGUAUAUAUGUAGUCCAUAUUCAUAUAUUCAAAAUAUUUUAUAUUUGUGAACGAAGGAAGUAAUUAAUUGUAAUGCAACAAUUUCAGGGGAGGCCAGUCAACAGCUAACUAAAUGUGCUGGAUGAGACUGGAGAAAUGUAUAAACGAUUUACACAUGAUAGAACUACUCUUUUCUUGUUAAGAAAUGGAAGAAUGGAUGAUUUUAUCCGUUCGGAACAAAACCCAAUAUUCAUCCAGUUAGACGUUGUUCUGAAUUGUGACGCUUUUGAAAGUUUUCUCGCAGAAAUAUGUGUGUAUUCCAGUUGUAUCAUUAGCAAACCAAGGUUGUAUAUAUUAUAGCACAAAGAAUGUUUGGUUGAUUCGUUCAGGCGAAUCGGGUUUGUUGCUGACUGCCAAAGUCAGGCCAACUCCAGCGCACGACCCCAAACGGACAUCUGUUUUGCCUGGAUUCUGCCCGUUUGGAUAGGGCAAUGGGGUCGUGUCCGGGCCUGUCCUGUGAUGCGGUGGCCGUGCGCACAACGUGCGGACGCAUCCUUUGGCCUCAUCAUGUCCGCCACGGCCAAAAAUGCCCAUAUAUUCAUAUUUCAAUGUUCAAAACUAGUUUGCACGUUCAAAUAUUAAUUGUCUGAAAAUAAAAAUAGUUAUUACAACCCAAUCAAAAUUGUCUCUAAUAAAAUAGUUUUACAACCAAAUCGAAAUUGUCUUGAAUGAACAUAAUGAACCAAUACAUCUAUUGGUUGCCAAUGUGAUUCCACAUGUGCUCAACCAAGUCAUUUUGAAGAUCCAAAUGAGUGUGCCAAUCAUGCAUUUCACGAUGAAAUUGGGCAAACUUCUCAAACGUGGCCGGUUCUUGGUGCAGGGGCUGAACAUUUUCACCUUGAAAAUCAAAUCCUUGGUCGAAGAUGCUGUUAUCAUGCUCGUCCUCGAUGAUUAUGUUGUGCAUGAUCACACAAGCAGUCAUCACCUCCCGAAGCUUCCCUUCAUCCCAUGUCAAUGCAGGGUUUCAAACGAUACCCCAUCGGGAUUGAAGCAAACCAAAAGCACGUUCCACAUCCUUCCUAGCACUCUCUUGCAUUUGGGCAAAUCUCUUUCUCUUCUCACCUUGGGGGUUCGAGAUUGUCUUCACAAAAAGUUGACCACUGAGGAUAUAUACCAUCAGCUAGGUAGUAUCCCUUGUUAUACUGGUGGCCGUUGAUCUCAAAGUUGCCAGGUGGGGAGUGGCCUUCUGCAAGCCUUGCGAAGACUGGAGAACGCGGCAGCACGUUGAUAUCAUUGUGAGAACCUGCCAUGUCGAAGAAAGAAUGCCAUAUCCAAAGAUCUUGCGAAGCCACCGCUUCUAAUAUGAUAGUGCAAGCUUUAACAUGCCCCUUGUACUGGCCCUGCCAAGAAAAUGGACAGUUCUUCCACUCCCAGUGCAUACAAUCUAUGCUACCAAUCAUGCCUGGAAAGCCUCUAGCUGCGUUGGUCGCCAACAAGCUUUCUGUAUCAGUGGCAUUUGGCUGCUGAGGGAGUCCUGGAUUAAGGGGUCCUCGGGCGUCUGGGCUAUGUAACAUGGGCUGGACUAAUGGGCCGCGAAGAUACAAGAUGGAAGGCUUUCCCCCCAUGUCCGGAUGGGACUCUCCUUGGCGUGGAAGGCAAGCUUGGCAUGCGGAUAUUAAAGAUUCCCUUCCCUGUAAACCGAGUCUGUACAACCCUAGCCCCCUCCGAUGUCUAUAUAAACCGGAGGGUUUAGUCCGUAGAGGCAAGGAUAAUCAUACAGGCUAGAUAUCUAGGGUUUAGCCAUUACGAUCUCGAGGUAGAUCAACUCUUGUAAUCCCUAUACUCAUCAAAGUCAAUCAAGCAGGAAGUAGGGUAUUACCUCCAUUAAGAGGGCCCGAACCUGGGUAAACAUCGUGUCCCCUGCCUCCUGUUACCCUCUAUCCUUAGACGCACAGUUCGGGCCCCCCUAUCCGAGAUCCGCCGGUUUUGACACCGACAGCUGCCUCAAGUACUCAGGGCCAAACACUGCCACCACAGCCUUGUAGAAUUUGUAAAGUGACAACAGACAUGUCGACUCACUCAUGCGCACGUACUCAUCCACCAGAUCGCCUGGAAUUCCAUAUGCAAGCAUGCCGAUGGCCGCGGUGCACUUCUGGUAAGAGGAGAAUCCAAGCUUGCCAAGGGCAUCCGUCUUGCACUCGAAGUAUGGGUCAUGAGCAACCACUCCCUCUCGGAUACGAUUGAACAGAUGCCUUGCCAUACGAAAACGGCGACGGAAUUUAUUCGGCUUGAAGAGCGAGGUAUUCGCAAAGUAAUUGGCAUAGAGCAAGGCGUGGCCUCUCUCUCUAUUGCGUUUCAGGUUGGGAGCACGGCCAGGGACUGACCCCAUGUACCGAGGAAGCUGCCCAAUGUGAUCGUGAACGACCAGUGCAACCACCACCAGAUCUUCGUCAUCCGAGGACGAAUCAUCCGAUGAAUAAAUGAAGUGGUGGAAGAAAAAUUCAUCUCCACUGUCCAUACCUUUGUGGGCAAAGUGUCCAACACCUUGCGGUCGUGGUGGCAAAUAGGCCGCGAUGAUCAUCUCGAUGCAGCAGGGGUGGUUGGCGGCCGGCUACUGGCCGCUAUGGAGCACCUGGCGAAAGCUGCCGUGGUCCAUAUCCGUCGCCGGUGGUCGUAUCCCCUCUGGCACCGGCUACAACGACGACGGCCAAAUCUCCUCCAAGCGAUGGCCAGAACUCCUACGAAAGCGCGGGCUUGGUGGCGGCCGUGUCGAGACGUGGUUUGGUAUGGAUGGCCGGGGGGAAGCAGUGAGGAGGCGGUCGGAGAAUACUGGGGGCGCCGGUGGCGGGGUGGGGCGGAGGAGAGCGGGUGGAGGCGUUGGAGGCGAAUGGAGUGCUAGUGUCCCCAACAGGCGGGCCGCGGGGAGGACAAGGGCGUGUGUCCAGCCCGUCCGUGUGAUGUCCGUUUCAUCCCAAACUCGGCACAAGUUUGGGCCAGGAAUGGGUAAAAAACGGACGAAAUCCGGACAUUUGUCUAUUUGAGGCCGUGCCUUGGGUCGCGCUAUUCGUGUAUUCUACCCUAAACGGACGCACCAGAACGGAAUGGGGUCGCGUGCUGGAGUUGGCCUCACGACCGUUUCUGCCUUUGGCGCAGACAAGAGAUUCUACACUGUAAAGGAAAAAGCUGAAAGCUCGCUUGUCUCGUGUGUUUCUCUUCUCUUGCACCUUGUCGGAAAACAGCGUGCACCAGGGACGCUCGAUUCCAUGGCAGGCAUCAAUUCAAUCGAUCAUGCUACAGGGAACCGGCACUAUUUUCUUUUUCUUUUUCUUUUUCUUUUAGGUCGUGAACGCAAGUCAUUUGAGACAUUCACAUAGGACUUACAUAAUUGGUAGAUUUAUUAGCAUCAGUGUGGAGCUAAAGUGUUUGAUGUUUUGUAUGAAUGGUUUGGUCUUAACAAUCAAGCCGACCACUCAGGACCUACUUUUGGACUUUUUUUUUGUAUUAUUGUAUACUAGCAAAAGGGCCCGUGCGCGGAGAAAAAAAUUAUAAUCUUGAAUGACCAUGAUCACAUUUUUUUGCAUCACCGAGAUACACUAUCACUUUCAAUUUCGGGAAAUCAUGUACAUUUUUUAAACUUGUGAACAUUUUUCAAAUUCUUGAACACUUUUACAAAUCUGCAAACAUAUUCUAAAAUCAAGAACAUAUUUUGAAUUCAUGAACAUUUUAUAGUAUUUACAAACAUUUUUAGAAAUUACGAAUUCUUUUUAACAACUUUCUUGAAUAGGCAAACAAUUCUAAAAUGGACGAACAUUGUUUUAUAAAUCGGUGGAACAAUUUUUGAAAUUCACGAACAUUUUUUUGAUUUUACAAACAUUUUUUGAAAUGCAUGAUCAUUUUUGUAUAAACUAUUUUGUAUGUCACGAACAGAUUUUCAAAUAUUUGGUUAUUUCCCCAUUCAUGAACAUUUUUUGAAUGGUGAUAUUUUCUUCAAUUUCAUUAACAUUUUUUAUACACCAAUUUUUAAAAAGUCAUGGACGUAUUUUGAUUUCAUGAACAUUUGUUUUCAAAAUUUCGAACAUUUUUCGAGUCAGAUUCUUUAAUAAAAUUGCAAAUAUUUUUUGAAUACAUAAACAUUUUAUGAUUUAUUAAAACUUUAUUUGAAAAUUAUUUUUAAAUUUCAAAUAUUUUGUGUAUUCCGAAUUUAGUUAAAGCAGAAAAAACGGAAAAGGAUAAAAAAGGAAAUGUUAAAAACAGGCCGCCCGGACAUGGGCGGCCCAAACAGGCGGGCCGCGCCUUAUCCCUACGCGCAGAGCCCAGUAUGGGAGGUCGCUACUACAUGGCCCAGUCCAGACGUGGAUUCCCUGUGUGAAACAUUUAUAUCACUUAUACAUGACAUUUGUGGGUAAUUUGUACGACGUGCCAUAAGAAGAAAUAGCCCCUUUAUUAUUACUAGCAAAAGUGUCCGUGUGUUGUAAUGGGAGAAAUAAAAUCAAAAUCUCCAAUGACCAUGACCAUAUUUUGUUGCAUCACCCAGACACCCUAUCACUCUCAAUUUCAUGAAAUCAUGAAUAAUUUUUGAAAUCACGAACAUGUUUUAAAAUUAUUACUCAUAUUUGAAAUUGUGAACAUUUUUCAAAUUCAUGAACACUUAUACAAAUUUUCGAACAUUUUCUAAAAUCCAGAACAUUUUUGGAAUUGAUGAACAUUUUAUACUAUUUGCAAACACUUUUUAAAGAUUCUGAACAUCUUUAUAAACAAUUUUCUUUAAUCGAGGAACAUUUGUAUGGAAAUUGACGGAACAAUUGUCGAAAUUCACAAACAUUUUUUGAUUGAACUAACAUUUUUUGAAAUACAUGAUCAUUUUUUGAAUCAGUAGACAUUUUCUGAAUGACUAAACUAUGUUGUAAGUCACGAAAUAGUUUUUGAAUUUUAGGAUAUUUCUCCAUUCAUGAACACUUUUUGAAUUGGCUAUUUUUUUCAAUUUCAUUAACAAUUUUUGAUACAAAAACUUUUUAAAAAUCAUGAAUUUUAUUUGAUUUCCCAAAAAAUUGUGUUUAAAGUUUUGAACAUUUAUUGUGUAAGCAAUUGUUUUUUACAAAACAGCGACCAUAUUUUGAAUCCACAAACAUUUUAUGAUUUAUGAAAAUUUUAUGUCAAAAUACUCAUUUUUUAAAUUUUCUAAACUUUUUUGAAAUCCUAAACUAUUUAUAGUAAAAAGAACGAAAACAGGAAAGAAAAAUGAAAAUAGAAAACGAAAUCAAAGAAACAGGCCAGCCUGAAAUGGGCCGGCCCAAACAUGCGUGUAGCGUCUUCUCCCAGCGUGCCGAGAACAUUAUAGGAGGUCCCUACUGUAGAGCCGGCCCAGAUGGGGGAAUUCCCUUGUGUGAAUUUUUUGUAUCACUUAUAUGUGGCAUUGAACUCAUGAAGCAUGCGCUAUCCCUUCCAGCUCGCCGCCAUGUCUGGCUCGGACAACCAGAUGGACUUUCUUUCGUCCCUGUAAACGUUUUGAUGAUAUAAUAAAAAGCUUCGGAAUUUGUCUAAAAAAACUUAUAAGUGGCAUUGGUGGGUAAUAUUUUGCAACUUUAGAGGUAAUUCCAUGACGUACCACCAGAAGCACAAUAGCCCCUUUACUAUUAUUAGGUACUCUUUUUUCCUUGUGGAGCUUUGGAAAUGAGAGAAUUUGAAUAUAGUAACUCUCGGAAACUCUUAUUGGACGAGAGAGAUUUAAUAUGAUAUUGGCAUGGGUUCUACCAACUAAACGAAGAAGUAUUUGACUGAAUAAACAGACAAUUUCCUUUAAUCGACGAACAUUUUUAUGAAAAUUGGUGGAAUAACUUUUGAAAUUCAUAAAUAUUUUUUGAGUUAACGAACAUUUUUUGAAAUACAUGACCAUUUUUUUGAAUCUGUGAACGUUGUAUGAAUGAAUAAACUAGUUUGUAAGUCAUGAGCAGUUUUUCAAUUUUUAGGAUAUUUUUCCCUUCAUGAACAUUUUUUCAAUUGGUGAAAUUUUGUUCAAUUUCAUUAACAAUUUUUAGUGCAUAAAACUUUUUAAAAUCAUGAACAUUAUUAUUUACCAAAGAAGCAAAUUGUUUUUUGCAAAAUCAUGGACAUUUUUUGAACCCACAAACAUUUUAUUAUUUAUGAAACAUUUUUUUAAUACACAAUUUUUUUAAUUUUCGAAUUUUUGUGAAAUACUAAAUUAUUUAAAGUAGAAAAAUCAAAAACAGAAAAGAGAAAGGAAUAAUAGAAAAGGAAGUUAAAUAAUAGGCCGACCGAACAUGGGCUGGCCCAAACGGGCGCACUGCAUCUUCUNNNNNNNNNNNNNNNNNNNNNNNNNNNNNNNNNNNNNNNNNNNNNNNNNNNNNNNNNNNNNNNNNNNNNNNNNNNNNNNNNNNNNNNNNNNNNNNNNNNNNNNNNNNNNNNNNNNNNNNNNNNNNNNNNNNNNNNNNNNNNNNNNNNNNNNNNNNNNNNNNNNNNNNNNNNNNNNNNNNNNNNNNNNNNNNNNNNNNNNNNNNNNNNNNNNNNNNNNNNNNNNNNNNNNNNNNNNNNNNNNNNNNNNNNNNNNNNNNNNNNNGUAUUAUUAUUGUUUCAAAUUUAUUCAUAUAUUAUUUUCAAUUGUACAACCAUAAUUUUUCUUAUCUCUCUCGUUCCACUACAUGCUCCUAGUCAAAGAUUUUUUUUAAUAAUGGGUGUUUUUAUUAACUCAAAAUAUAGCAUCAAGCGGAUACAAAACAUAAUGAGCCACACCCGGUCUAUGCAUAACUAAGAUGCACACAGCCAAAAGCAGAAGUCUGACAAAAAUAAGAUAAGAAAAUCGACAUAUCGACAACAGUGAGUCAUGUAGUACCGACACUAUGCCUCUGUCGAAGGAGGUGGUGGAGCGAUCUGGAGAUUAUGCUGCCAUCCAUGUUGAGUAAAUAUCUCCCUGGCCACUUGCUCCAACCGCAUAGACGCCGCCAUGAACAACGGUUGGUACUCCAUUCGGUGUAGCAUACACCAUACUAGAGGCUGGGGCGCCACCUGAGGCGGGCCUAUGCGCACUUAUUUUGUCUGGGCACUUCGGUUGUCAUGUUUGGUCAUCAGUAUCACUUAUGUACAUCAAUAUGGGCGUAUGCUGUAUUGUUUGAGUUCAUUAGGAUCUAUUAGUAUCACAUCAAUCAAAGUACAUAUACUAUGUUAUUUGAGUUCAGAACCAUCAUAGGCAAUGAUACGUCUAAUAAGGAUAUAUAACAUUUAAUUCAAAAGGAAAGACAAAGUAGAAUUAAGUGCUUUAGUUUGGCCGAAGAAAGGAACCUCAUGAUGCCAUGACUAAGGAACCAAAUAUAAAAGAGCACCUUUCAGAGUACUCCAGAGGUAUGACAUCAUCCAUUUCCACAUCAGAAUCAUCGGAAUUCUCCUGAUCUUCAUUUCGAUGUACCCAACACAAAUGCUACAUGGAUUUUAGUCAGCUGCACUCCCCACUACUUCUACACUUCCCCUUUUUCACACCGACGAGCAGAGACUGAUGCAAGUUGAUCGAACACAGAACAACAUAUAAUUUCCUAGAGAUGCGCUGGGCCUGAAAGGCAACAUACCUAGCAUGCGCAUAAAAUGUGAGAGUAACAAUAAAAGAACAUACCAUUUACCGAUAUGAUUAUUAUUGCUUGCCAAAAUGAUACGUUUUGAUUACUAUUGCAUGCCAAUAUUCUUAAUCACUCCAAGCAAAUUUAACCUAAACUAAAUAUCUAAGAGUAAGCUCUGGUUUAUGUAUUUUACAGAAGUUUGGUUCAGCGAAACUUCGGAAGCAAAUGUGUGAAGGUUUUAUCAUUCUAAUUAAAGGCCUUUUGAUUGUGCAAAACUUACACUACCACAUGAGUUACUGACCAACAUGAGAUGCAAAGUAACAACAGCAUGAUAAUUUUUUUUGAAGGCAGUCAUAUUCUAAAGCAUUAAAAGAUGAAUUCCAAUGCUUUGAUUCUGUAAAGAAUUAGAUCGAUCACUCAACAGUUCUAUUGGCGCCACUAAAAUUCUGAGUGCAAUGUUGUGUAUGUAGCUAAAAUUCACCCAUCAAAGACAACCUUAAUAAUAAGCAAUGGUCAAAACAAGCAAUUGUUGAAGUUAAAUGUAAUUAGAUAGGAAGUCACAUUUGAUUCAUGACCAUCGAGCUGAAAAUGAGACCGAUAAAAGCUGAUUCACCAUGAAGAGAAACAACUAAUGUGAACCUCGGGUUGUAAAACAAAUAGGAUGAGUCGUGUGCUGAUUGCAAAAAAUUGUACUUCUAACCAAAUGACCAUGCUUCAUGAAUAGAUGACAAUAUAGUAACACGAAAGUGAAGUACGGUGAAAUUUUGUAAGCUACUAAGGGCAUAGGGCAAAGCUCACACUCCAGCUUGCACUCCUUGAAGAAAUCAACCAAAAGCACCCAGAAAGAUAAAUGGCAUUGUGGCAUCCGAUGAAUGUUGAUAACUGUACCAUCACACUAAUUUAAUCUACAAAAUUCAUGUCAACAUCACUAAUCAUGAUGUAUCAGGUUAGGAUAAAAUCAUUGUUUUUUCCCAAAAUAAAAUAAAACAAGCCCAGUUAGAAAGAAAUCAUAAGCCUAUCAGACAAUCAGGCAAUUCUGUUAGCAUGUCAACAAUCAGACAGAACAAAACCUAUAGUCCUCAUUUUUUUCUUUCUAAAAAAAGUGUAAUGCUAGAAAAGAGAGUUAAAUAAAAUGCUACGUGAAUCAGCAUACAGAAAAUUCAUAGAAGCAAUGAAGAAAAUAUGAACAAAAUUUAUGUCGAAACACCUAUACUUUCCCCACGAGCAAAUAUGUGUAAUGUUAGAAAAGGGAGUUAAAUAAAAUGUUAGGCAAAUCCGCAUCCAGAAAAUUCAUAGAAGCAAUGAAGCAAAGAUGAGCGACAAAUUUAAUCUACACACACACACACACACACACAUUCAGGCAAACAAAUUACUUCGAUUGAAUCCAUUCCUUUGCAUAUAUGGCAUAAAUGCAUCUAAGGAAAAAAAAACUUGAUGGUGUUAGUUUACCUUGCCAAGAUCAUGAAAUCCAUCUAAAUGAAUAAGAAGCUCCAACAGUGUCCGCUGGAUCUCAUGGUCGUCAUUGGUUCCCUCACUAAAUCUUCUCGCAUCAAUUGCAUCGAUUUCAUCCAUGAAGAUAAUGCAUGGCUAGAAAUAACAACUUGAUGAAAAUGAAACAAAAUUUGCAAGCACCGUAAAUAAACUAAAUGGUGAUAUAAGCUAAAAUGAUCUCAGAAGUGCACUUUUACAUAUAUAGAGAUCAGUUUGAUUUCUUCUUCUCAGGAAAAACUGAUACUGAAAUCUAAAGCUUAAAGUUUUUCUAGUGUUGAACCAGAAUACAAUUAGAUGACAUGACAUCUGAGUCAAGGGAACUAUCAAAGUCACAGCUUGAAUCUCAACACCAGUAGAUGCAUAACCAUCUGCCAACAUACGUUUCUAACAGAUAAUAAGGGAAUUAGGUUUAAGACCAAUUGGCUUUGCAAAAAAGAAAGGCGGAGCAAAACUUACUUGGCGAUCGCGUGCAUAGCCGACCAUUUCUCUGAUUAAAAGCGCACUUUCCCCGAUAUAUUUGUCAAUUAUAGCACUUGACACAAUCUGGUUUUUAGACAACACGUCAGUGUAAUGUAAUACUCACAGAAUGAAAAUACCAACCACCAUCAAUCAAGUGAAAACCACAGCUCCAAAAAGUUAGCAUGAAUGUUACUGGAUAUAGCCCUUGAUAGUAAUGGCUUCCCUGUAGAGUAGAACGCACUUGAAAAAGUUAAAGAAACAUACACUGGCUCCCAUAUAUUGAUCUUGUAUUUGACAAGUGGCCGGGCAUCAACAUUGUGCCUGCUGGUGUACCAAUUCAGCUUGUAGCUGCCAGCUAAUCUCCUUCUGAACAGUUAUGCUGUCCUCACUCACGUGCUACGCCUAUUCAAACUUGCUUAAUUUAAUUUGUUACUACUAUGUUAAUGCUGACAUAUUAACUGGCAGACCUCAUGUACUAACAGUAAAUCCCAGCAUACUUUCUUAAUUUGCUACUAUCCGGAUUUAUUCUUUUAGCGAGAGGUCAGGUAUCACUUGGAACAACUGAGUUUCUUUUUAAUCUUUGUGGACACUACACUUGAACGCCACAACCACCUGGAUAUGUCAGGCAGGACGGGCAGCAGCGCAUCAUCAGUAAGUUUAUUUAAGAGAGUAAAAUUCAGUCGCAAUCAGUCAAUCUCAAUCAGGUUCAGAUUUGGACGCGACCUUGAAUAACGAAGCCCCAACUGGGAAGAACAAGGUUGCAAGAACAAGCAGAUUGACGAUGGGUUCAUGGAAGCUUACCAGGCAGGCAGUCCGCCCGGCGGCUUGAGCAAGCUGCUGCUGGUACCCUACGCGCAGUCGCAGUCCGCACCGGCCAGGGCACACGAGCACUGACGCGCGUGCCGCCUGCCGCUUCACCAUGCCCACGUUGUAGUCGCCACCGAUUCACGGCAGGGCAGAGGGGCCUCGACCUCGUCCUCCUCCACAUCAUCAUCGGCGAUGCCCUUCCCCUCCUGACCCCAACACCAUCAUGCCCCCGCCGACUCAUCUCCCUACAGCGACGGCGACUCCGGAGGCUCCGAGACCUGGGACACCGACAUGAGUGGCUCGUCGGCAUCGGAUCUCCUCCACCCNNNNNNNNNNNNNNNNNNNNNNNNNNNNNNNNNNNNNNNNNNNNNNNNNNNNNNNNNNNNNNNNNNNNNNNNNNNNNNNNNNNNNNNNNNNNNNNNNNNNNNNNNNNNNNNNNNNNNNNNNNNNNNNNNNNNNNNNNNNNNNNNNNNNNNNNNNNNNNNNNNNNNNNNNNNNNNNNNNNNNNNNNNNNNNNNNNNNNNNNNNNNNNNNNNNNNNNNNNNNNNNNNNNNNNNNNNNNNNNNNNNNNNNNNNNNNNNNNNNNNNNNNNNNNNNNNNNNNNNNNNNNNNNNNNNNNNNNNNNNNNNNNNNNNNNNNNNNNNNNNNNNNNNNNNNNNNNNNNNNNNNNNNNNNNNNNNNNNNNNNNNNNNNNNNNNNNNNNNNNNNNNNNNNNNNNNNNNNNNNNNNNNNNNNNNNNNNNNNNNNNNNNNNNNNNNNNNNNNNNNNNNNNNNNNNNNNNNNNNNNNNNNNNNNNNNNNNNNNNNNNNNNNNNNNNNNNNNNNNNNNNNNNNNNNNNNNNNNNNNNNNNNNNNNNNNNNNNNNNNGGAGGCUCGAGCUUGGGAAGGGGGGAGGGGAACGAAGGGGUGGGGCUCCAGGCAAUCCUCACCUCCAAAGACAACUUGACCGGCAACACGGGCAGGCUAGACCUCUUCUAUGGCGAGGCCAACUUCGGCGAGGGGACGAGGUGGUGCGGGACCUUGGAGAUAUCUCCCCCGCGCGUGGAGCUUGUCCGGCGACGCCGCUGAAGAUGCCACUGCCACGACCAGCUCGAUCCUCCUUCGCUGGACUCCGAUCUGGACGAGGACUGAGCUAGGAGGAGGGAAGCGGGAGAGGAGAAGGCGCAGGAGAAGCGGCUGAGCCGGCGGCGCAGGGACCAGGGAGAGAAGAAGGCGAACGAAGAGGGGAUUGACAGAGUGGCGAAGAAGCAUGCGGGCUAGGUUUCCUUUUCUUUUUCUCCCAGCACUGCACAGUUGCUUGUCUCGUAGCUUGCCGGCAUGGCUAUGGCGAGGGCUCGCCCUUGAUGCGUAGGUUAAUGUAUUCGACUAGCGGGGCGCCUCUUGAGAGGAAGCUGAGCGGUGCUAGGUGGGACGCGCCCCUUUCCCUUUCCUGCAUAUACUAUGUAAUGUUAUUGCAUCAGAUUUAAAGUAACAUGCUCAGCUAAGUGCAAAGUGUGAUGAAUAAGUGAAACAGAAGGAAGCUGGUACAUUGGUGUAUGCCAAAAACUGAAUAUUAUAACAUAAACACAUGAAGUCAUCGACGUCUAUGGUAUGAAAUGCACAUGCACAAAAUUAGAGUGCACAUGAAGACAGAGCACUAUAGUGUCCUGAGUUGCAAGUCUCUAAGCACUGAAAUGAUCUGCAAUCAUAUGUACAAAGUAACCGAAUAAGAACAAGAAAUUUAGAGUAAAUGAGCUGUAAAAUUGUAAGUAAUGAGCAUUGGAAUUAAGGCAGAGUCAGUGACAGUUGGGUGCACUUGACAGGAAAAUCGGCGAGGCAUAAUAUGAAAUUAGAGUAAAUGAGUGCGUGCACUUCUCUUGGUGGCACCUAAAUGAAAAAAGAAACUAUUCACCUCUCGAUAUAUUCCCUAAGACCAUAUAAAAUCAGGAAGGUACUGAAGAGAGAUGCUCAAAUUCGAAGUUGCCAUGUCUAGGAAUGCUUGAAGCUUCAAAGAUUUCCUAUAAUACAGCAUGCCUCUAACUAUUCACAAUAAGAAAAACAUGUAAAUGCGGAAUCAACCAAAUGAUGGUAAAUUGUAGUUGAUUUUGGCCAAGCAAACGUCAGAUGAAAGAAACAUACAUGAGUGAACAUCACGAUUGGAUGUUUUAUUCAAAUUUAACAGGUUAAACUCACCAAAUACAUCUGGAUAUUUAGUGUUAAACUUCAACAGAUGGUCAGUUGUAGCUAGAUUCACACCACUGAAGCAAAAUUCCAUCUGCCACGGUUACAUCACACCAUCUUUUCAUCGUUACUAUUUAAAUUCCAAAAGCCUGCAACUCAUUUUUUUUGUUACGAUGUAUGCAUGAUUUUUAACUCAAGAGGAAGAGGGGAAACUAAAUCCAAGAAAAGAACACCAAGGAAGCAUCCAAAAUAGAGAAAGGAAAAAUCCAAAAUAGAGGCAGAAUCGAAGGGAAGAAACCCCAUAAAAAAUAGGAGAUCAAACGGUGAAAAAAAUCUAAGAGUCAAACAAUUCCAGGUAAGACCAAAUCGACGGCAAAAUAGCACAAGAGGGACUCACAUUAACAGGUAUACCAAUUCAGAAAGAAGUGUAAAGCAAACAGUGCAAUGGACCACUAGUAUAAAUUGGAUGUACACAAACAUGGGACUUAAACAGGAACUGCGAGAUGCAGGGUUCACGUGCAAACCCAAAAAACGGAAAACUGAAACCCACAACAAGAUUUUAUCUUCAUAUAUAUAUAUAUAUAUAUAUAUAUAUAUAUAUAUAUAUAUAUAUAUAUAUAUAUAUAUAUAUAUAUAUAUAUAUAUAUAUAUNNNNNNNNNNNNNNNNNNNNNNNNNNNNNNNNNNNNNNNNNNNNNNNNNNNNNNNNNNNNNNNNNNNNNNNNNNNNNNNNNNNNNNNNNNNNNNNNNNNNNNNNNNNNNNNNNNNNNNNNNNNNNNNNNNNNNNNNNNNNNNNNNNNNNNNNNNNNNNNNNNNNNNNNNNNNNNNNNNNNNNNNNNNNNNNNNNNNNCCUAUCUAUUAGUUGCUUCUUCCGAAUCCCCACCUAUCAAGCGUUUUCUUUGAAUAAACAAACACAAUAGUAUUCUCUGAAUUAUACUGUACAGUGAUAAUUAACCAAGCGACUGGAAUUAACAAUAUUAUGAGCUAUUGGCUUUUUAGUCAGGUAAAUAUCAUUCUUAAGACUACGGAAAACAGCAGGCGGCGAAGAAAACAUCUAUUGAUGAGAACUAUACACAUACUUAAGAAGGAAGUGACAUCUAUGGUAGCAGAACAUAUAUCAAGCUGUUGCAGCUACAUUAGCAGUUUAGCACAGUCCCUCCAUAAUACACAGGCUAGUGUAAUUUCACAAAUACAAUAAGCUAACAAUAUAUAUUUGGUAGAUGGAAAUGGCUGGAUCAUGACCAAUAUACGAUUACACAUCCGAUGAUGCAAAUAAAGAAACGAGGCCCAACAAUAGUGGAAAAUAAACCACAAUAGAACAUGUAUUUGGCGAAACCUCCAUACUGCAAUAUCAAACAUGAAUUGAAAUUAACAAUCUAGCAAAAAAACAUGACAGAUGCAGUCUUGGUCAUUUUUUCUUUUGUGACAUCCCCUAAAAAAAGUAAAAAGAAUGUUGUUCGUAUUUUACCAGAGAUACACUGAGCUGGGACAAAUCGGUCUGAAAUAAAAUAUGAUGGCUUCGGAGGAUUCGGAAGGCAAGAAAUUUGCUUUCUUCCAACAUAUAUGGUCUGCUGAACUAAACUUUGUUUCAGCGAGCUUUGGCAAAAAUCUGUAACUGCAAACAUCAAACUUGUGUGCCCUUCCUACAUCAAACUUUAAACCUGACGGAUUAAAUAUUUUAGGUUAGGCUGAGAUCAGUGUACUUUAUGAGUGUUAAGUGUACUUUCUAAAUAGCAGAGAAACCAUAACAUCUAAGCACAACCCAGCAACUUGUACAAGCUAACAUCAAAUCUGAAAGAGGAAAUGUCGAGAACAGGUGAAGGUACCAUGAUCCAUGACUGAGCAAAGUUAUCUAUAAUCCUCGGUGAAUAUCAUAAAUUAGGAUCAACAAAGCUGAAGAACAAACGGGAAAGGAACCUAGAAAGAUCUUCUGCCGGUAGAAUAUAACUGAUACACUAUCCUCAUUCUCGAGAUCAAGGUCGUUUCUUGAAUUGCAGUUUCCUCACUGUAGUAUGGGGUCAUUACACUGCGAAGAACAAAGUGUCAUAUGAAUCAUUUAGAGCCCAAUCUUUUUCACUGAAACUCUUAUGAUCACAUAACGAAUUUAAACAUAAGGUUUAUUAGAUAUUUGUUGUUGUGAACUGAUAAUAUAUUUCUGGUGUUGACAAUGUUUUGAUUAUGGAUGCACUUCAAGAUGGGUGGCACAGAUUCUGUUGUACAGGCCUCCACCUGGAAUUUCAUCACUUGUUAUUUUUGUUUAGAAUGUCUAGGUGCAUUUUUCCUUUAAGGUGGAAACAGAUGUACUUGUAUAAGCAACAAGAAUACAAAGCGCCACUGCCAUACAUUGUGGAAGUUCAAUGCUUCUGUUUACAAAAUCUGCUUCCCAAAACAGAAGGAUUUAUAAUUUUUUAUUACAAUCAAGCGGACAUGAGCUGAUGAGUACAGAUGUAAACAUGUACUGAGAGCAGCACCCUUUCAAAAGUGGAUCAUUUACAAGUUGGAUAGUUUGAUGGUCUGAAAUUAGUGGUCGUGUUUCAGAAUUGUUAUCGAAUAGUAGAGGAUAUAUAUUAACUUCUGAAAUUAGUGGCUGUUUGUCAGAACUGUUAUCGAAUAACAGAGCACAUAUAUUAACUUCAAUAAGUGGAGUAAUAUCUUUGGAUUCGCUGUGAGGAAAGAUUACCAAAACAAAACAGAAGUGAGUGCGACGACCCAGAUGAGGGCGCUCUUGAGCCUCUUCCCGACCGACCUAGAUGCAGGAGCAGAACACCGCGGAUCUAAUCAGCCAACGAAUAAAGCCGAGGCAGGUAGAGGAAGUAAGGGAGGAAGAAGACUGACUUGUCCUGGUCGCCCUCGUAGUAGAAUAUGGUGAACGGGAUGACGAGGAAGACGAGGACAGCGUCGAGGAUGUAGACGACGAGCCAGAGCGUCUUCAUGGGCAGGAUAAGGGCGCAGGCCCCGUUGUAGGCGGCGUGCUUGCAGGUCUGGCGGUUGGCGACGUCAGCGGGGAGCAUGAGGAUGGAGAGGACGGCGACGGUGAUGCCGAGCACGACGACGAGCUUGGGGAAGUAGGCCUGGUUGGCAUCAUCCGGGUGCUGGUAGUUGACGAGCAUGUAGACGCUGACGAGGAGCACCAGGAUGCUGACCACCGCCGCCACGAUCACUAGCGCCACGUUAAAAACCCCAUCUCCUCGGGGCUCCGGUCCCGGUUCCGGCCCGCCGCCUCGCCCCCGUUGGUCGGUCAGAUCUCUCUGUCCCUAGAGGCGGGGGGAUACAGGCUAGGGUUUGGGCGUGGGCGGGGAAUAGGCUGCUAUGGUGUCGGCAGCGGGGCGGCCACCGGCGGGGAGGGCGGGAUCCGCGCGGGGUGGCGGGAUUUGGGCAGGCGGUGGGCUCGGGGGAGGGCGGUGGCAGCGAAGCAGCAGGGAGGGGCUGGAGGAGAUGAAACGAAAGAGGUCGCGUGACACAGCGACAGCGUCGUCCAAUCCCCUCGCUGCCGAUUUAAAAAAAGGUAAUGAUAACUCCCGAACGUUCAGGAGUUAAGCAUGGCAACCCGAACGGGUUUAGAUGGCAAGUUUAGUUUGCGUGAGAUUAGAGAAACAUGGCAAUUUUCUGACAAAAGAAAUGAAAAAGGACGAAGUUGCCAUCCCCUAUCAACUAAAGUUGCCAUCCCUAUGAACUAAAGUUGCCAUGUAAAAACGUUCGGGAUGAAAUGCUCAAAAUCCGAACGUUCGGAAGUUAUUGGAUUCAAAAAAAAUCCCCUUGCUGCCAAUCGCUGGCCCGUUUCUUUUUUCGCCCAAUCGCUAGGUGAUGACGUGGCUAUCACGGGAAGGCGCCCUUGAUGCGUAGUCGAAUGGUUUUAAUUAAUAGGAAGCGAGUGCUUACUCUAGUUACUGAAUUAUGUACACCAAAUAAAGCCAUUUACACGUAGUUAAUGACAAAAAAAGUUGAUGUUUGCUACGCAAACGUGUAGUACAAAUUAAGAAGUGCAAGAUAAAAAAAAAUGCUGGUCCUUGAUUCGUUGUUGAUCGUCAGCAUGCCAUCAUCAAUUUGUAGUUAAUUAUCAUACAAAUUGGCUCUUUCAUAGAGUUGGAGGCUAGCUCCUUUGAUCAGCACGCGCUUAAACAUAAACAGCACGUAUAUGUUUUGUCUCCGGAGUUCAAUUCUUCAUCGGCCAGCAAAAAUGGCCCGACCGGGUAGAGGAAAAGGCAUGUUUGUUAGUACGCCUGGAGGAAAUGCCUUUGAUUAGGGCAUCUUCAACAGCGACCAGUAAAUUUCCUCCCGCGUUCGUCCACGGAUAGGGGAUCAGUCCGCGGAUACGGAUACAGGAAUCAUCUAUCUAACGCUGUCCGCGUAUAUUUCAAACACAUUUUUUUUAAAAAAAUAGGAUGAAAUUCAUGCAAACACAAUGGAUUUCAUACAAACCGGACAAAAAUGUUUACAUUUUGGACAUAUUUUUUUUACUAAAAACUCUACAGCCGGCGCCGGCGAAUAUCCACUCCGGCGACAUGGAACCCUUGACUAGUCUACUGCCGGCCGCAGCGGAUCUCCAAUGUCGUCCCCAUGUCCGGCAACUAUGAGCCCUAGAGGUAUAUGCUUCAGCGCAAAGAGCGGCUCGCCUCCCUACCGCUCAUCGGAGUGGAACAACCAGCUGAUGCUUCUGCCGAUGGAAAGGGUCCCUACGCUACACGGAUUAGAGUUGGUUUUGGGCUGGGAACGGCGGUGGCCUGCCAGAGGGCAAGACACCGACUGUGUAUGCUGGUGUCACCUGGUGUGGCAUUCGUGGGACCCAAGCGGCAGCGCCUCCUCGAUGAUGGCGGCGAGCGCGGACGUGUUGGACACCACCUCGUCGAUGUCCGUGCAGCCCGCUUCUUUCUCUGUAGGAAGGACGCGGUUACGCUCGCGUUGACAUCGGAUGACUCGGUCACAUGCACGGGAGGGGCGGUACGACAUGGCACCGCCAAUGGCAGCCAUGAUGCCCGCGCCAGCGUGCUCUCUCCCAGUGCCGACCUAGAGCAACUUGCCACUCCUCUGCUCGUGAACGGUGGGCUUGACGGGCCACCUAGCCAUUUUUUAUGCCAGACAACUCUUCUUCCUGCUCGUCAGAUGUCAUGGAUAAAACUGUUUAAGGAGGAAAAUGAUGAGUAGACGUGUGAUGCGGUUCUUGCCCAACAUCUGACAUUGUUUAAAUAGCGAGGGGACACGAGAGGAGCCAACUGGCGUUCUGUUUAAUGCCAACCGGCUCGCGAACGAACAUGUGGCUGGAGUAAUUAUCCUGGCACACACGCGGGUUUAAUGGUGGAAGGUGGGCAGUCUGCAGGAAUGAGGCGAGGAUGUGUGCUUAGCCGGCGUGCAGCAGGCGGCGCCCUCGGCCGGCGUGCUGCAUCCAUUGCGGAGGCAGUGAGAGGUCGCGUCCGCUCUGCAGCGCAUGAAUGCGGGCAGCUGGCGCAGAGCGGGAACGCGUGCGGGCGAGGGAGGAGGGGGUUUGGGCGGGUGGUCAGAAGAGGUCGUGGGUGUUGUCCGAACGCCUGCAAAGCCCCCCUCCAUGUUUGUCUCCAGUUUGCGGGAGAAAGUAUGUCCGAACCGUCUCCAAUGGACCAAUACAGGCCCGCAUUGGAUGGCACAACACGUCCGGACCAUGUGGUCCGGAUGGUUGUGGACAGUUUAAUUGAGGGUCGGCGUUGGAGAUACCUUAGAGUUUAUGAAUCCAUUGUGUUUUUCUAAUCAUAAAAAAGCACUUACAAUAAGUUAUAAGGAAAGACACGUUUAUAUGUUAGGUUCAGACUCCAGCUUUCGUUUUACAUAUGCUUUAUUCAUCCGACUGAUUCCAAUAGAGUGAGCCUAGCGUUGUUUUUCUGGAAACUCGCGGGAUAAGGAGACAUGCAUACACAUUCUUUCAAGCAAAUCACAUCCAUCCUUUUUAACUCAUUUUUCUUCUUUUAAUAAUAUAAUAGAUCAUUUAUAUUUUUAUCUGAAACAGUUGACGUGUAAUUUAUAUUGUAAUCUGAGGAUAAUGUUUGGAUUUUACUUUCAAAUAUAUUUGAAAUGGCCAUGAUGGAAUCACAUCCAUUUAUUUUAUUAUUAUUUGAAUUUGAUCCAAAAGAUAAAUAAUGAGUAGAGGUCAUGUCAACUUUUCUGAGAACUUUGCUAAUCAAAAUAUAAUUGUAUUUAAAAACAUCUAUUUUUUAGCACGCAUGAAAAAGAUAACACGUAUCUUUUCACACAUAAUGAACGGUUGUCAUAAGAACUCAUGCCAUGCCACAACCUCCCUCCGACCCUGCCAACAUUGUUGCAGCUGCACUCGCAAGCCUUAGCGUAGAUGAUAAUUUAUACAAUUUGCGUAAAACAAAAUAAGAUCUACAAAUGAAUAGAAGCUAGAACGUACAUUGGCAUGCACACACAUUGCAAGCCAUACUAAGCUGAUAAGUGUUAAUAACUUGUACAACAUAUACAACACUUAAGACAAGUAAAAGCAAUUUGAUGAGUCAUGGUCUAUCAAAGCCACAUUACUAGUCUAAUCCAUCUUAACAGGUCACACAUGAUUAAAAUCUUGUUUGUGUGCAAGUCAAGCUUAUCUAGUUUACAUGUAACAACUUGUAGAACAUUACAAAAUUUAUGUUUGCUAAUAACUUCUAGAACACUACAACACUUGACAUGUAAAAGGAAUUUGAUGAGUUAGCGUACUAAAGCAAGUUAUAUUACUAGUCUUAUCUACCUUAACAGGCCACACAAGAUUACAAACCAAGUUCUGUGCCAGCCAUGCUUAUCUAGAUUAUGCGUAACAAUUUGCAGAAAAUUACAAACUUAGUUUCAGAAAAAUAGGCAAUCUAGAUUAGUGUUUGAGCUGUAAAGUGAGUAAAAUGAGUCAUGCGUGUUAUCACACCUUUUUGGUUGUGGAAUGAUAGUGCAACAACAAGGAACUUUAAUGACCAGUUCAAGAAUACACUUGUAAGUAGUGCCACCGAACACAACAUACCAAAUUAUGAUUUUGAGAAGCAUCCAAGCACUUCCACACAAGCAAAUGCCAAUUGUGAAAGAGAUCAUGCCAUGGCAGCUAUAAAUAGGCCCGUAGCAUGACGAUCAUCCUUCCUCAUCCAUCAUUCUCAUAAGUAGAGCGCAUCAUUUAAGCCAAGCAAGCAGUGCUCAAUACAAAUCCACCAUGAAGACCUUUCUCAUCCUUGCCCUCCUUGCUAUUGUAGCAACCACCGCCACAAUUGCAGUUAGAGUUCCAGUGCCACAAUUGCAGCCACAAAAUCCAUCUCAGCAACAACCACAAGAGCAAGUUCCAUUGGUACAACAACAACAAUUUCCAGGGCAGCAACAACCAUUUCCACCACAACAGCCAUAUCCGCAGCCGCAACCAUUUCCAUCACAACAACCAUAUCUGCAGCUGCAACCAUUUCCGCAGCCGCAACUACCAUAUCCGCAGCCGCAACUACCAUAUCCGCAGCCGCAACCAUUUCGACCACAACAACCAUAUCCACAACCGCAACCACAGUAUUCGCAACCACAACAACCAAUUUCGCAGCAGCAGCAGCAGCAGCAACAACAACAACAACAAAAACAACAACAACAACAACAACAACAGAUCCUUCAACAAAUUUUGCAACAACAACUGAUUCCAUGCAGGGAUGUUGUAUUGCAACAACACAGCAUAGCGUAUGGAAGCUCACAAGUUUUGCAACAAAGUACUUACCAGCUGGUGCAACAAUUGUGUUGUCAGCAGCUGUGGCAGAUCCCCGAGCAGUCGCGGUGCCAAGCCAUCCACAAUGUUGUUCAUGCUAUUAUUCUGCAUCAACAGCAACAACAACAACAACAACAACAACAACCGUUGAGCCAGGUCUCCUUCCAACAGCCUCAACAACAAUAACCAUCAGGCCAGGGCUCCUUCCAGCCAUCUCAGCAAAACCCACAGGCCCAGGGCUCUGUCCAGCCUCAACAACUGCCCCAGUUUGAGGAAAUAAGGAACCUAGCGCUAGAGACGCUACCUGCAAUGUGCAAUGUCUAUAUCCCUCCAUAUUGCACCAUUGCUCCAGUUGGCAUCUUCGGUACUAACUGAGAAGAGAAGAACUCUAGUAGUAGAUAUAUGAUACACCGUUUUCUUAGUCCAUGGUUUGGUCGUUGUAGCGGUGAAAAAAUAAAGUGACAUGCACUAUCAUGUAAGAACCCGAACUAUACUAGUUCAAACAUGGGAAUAAAAGACAAACACAUGUCUUGUCUACAUAUGAUUGUUUGUUUGAGUUCCACUCAUGUGCCCACUCACAAGUUCACCCCUAAUUAUAUAUAUUAUGCAUUAAGUAGAUAUUUAUGUUGCAUUAAUCUAAAGAUAACAAAAUGAGUCUGAAAUUUGAAUUAAAUUGAAGUAUUUCCUUGGACUUUCAAAUGGAGUAUUAUUAAAGUAGUAAGGACUAUCCACAUCCUUGGCUUGCCCUUGAUCAAUUAUUUCCAGAGAAGCAUUCAAUUCAUUAAUCAAUUACAUUGAUUUUUGUGGCUGAUACUUUUCCUCAACAUGAGUAUAUUCAUCGCGGCUACUCCAAAUAGGCAUGAAUGAGGUACCGGUGCUCUGGAGCACUGGUACCUAACUGCUUCUCAUGUGAAGGGGUGGGGGUGCGGGAGAGGUGUUUUUGGUGGGCCAGGGGAGUAAGAAGCGGCCGUGGCAGCGGUCCAGACACCCACAAAGCCCCGUAGUUUGUUUUUGGUUUACAGGAAAAUGCACAUCCAGACCGGCCUGCGGGCCGAUAUAGGACCGUAUUGAAUGGCAAAACAUGUCCGGAUGGUUGCGAGCGGUUUAAGGGUUAGCUUUUGUAACGGCCGGUUAGUUAUGCUAUGGUAAUUCCCUGCUAAUGAUGUCACGUCAGCACGAUUACUGUUGUUAACCUCACAAUGAUUCAAUCCCAUUCAAAUUCAAAUUUAAAAUAAAGGCAAACAUCAAAAGUUUCAAACAUUAAAACUAAAAUCUUCGAGAGGUGAAAAAUAAUGCAUAAGUAAUUAUGGUGGAGAAACCACACUUUUAUAAAAUGUUUAAAUACUCUAAAAAUAAUAAAACAGUGGCUUAAACUAUUAUUUAAAUGCUUUUAAAAUAGUAAAAAUGUUCUAACUAAAUUAAUUGGGUACCAAACUUUUGGUGGCAGUGGUAUAUUUAGUAGAACUAAUUUAGAUGCUAAUAAAACAUAAAAGGAAAGACAAAACAAAUAAAAGUAAAAGGGGGCAACCCCUCGCUGGGCCUCGGCCAAGCUGGCCACUGGGCUAGCUAGGUUGGCCCAACCGCCUCCCUUAACCCCCCACUCCCCAUCGAACCCUAGACCGAUCGCCCCACUUCCCCACACCCCCUCGUCAGCCUCCCCACCUCUCGAUCCCAUCUGGAUCGGGGAGGGGAUCGCCCCCAUCGACCCCGUCGCGGUCGCUGGAUCGCCCGCUCGCCCAUCGCCCGCCGGCGUCGCCGGACCUCCUCCCCGUCGCACGUCUCCGGCUCUCCUCCCCUCUCGCUCCUCUUCCCCGACCCGAUCUGGAUCGGGAAGGGCCAAUGAGCCCAACGCCCCCCUCCAUCGACGCUGUGCUCCAGCACCGCCGCCCGAAGACCUCGCCAUCGCCGGACCUCGCGUCGCCUCCUCGUAUCCCUCCCCGACUCGCCUCCUCAAGCCACGCCGACCCCCUUCUCGGCAACGCUGUGAGCCGCCUCCGUUUCCCUCCUUCUCUUUCCACCGUGUUCACCGCGCCGCCUGCCGUGCCCCUCGCCGCGCGCACGCCCACCACCGCGCCAGCCCCCGCUCCGCGCCCUCUCCUGCACGCUUGUGCGCGCAUGACCCUAGCCGCGCCCACGCCGUGAUCCCCUUGUCCCGCCCGCCUUCGUCCCGCGCUCGCCGCGGCCCCCAUGCUCCCCUGCGCCCUCUUUUGGGGUCGUCGGCUGCCCCUGUCCCGCAGCUCGCUGGCAUGCGUCCCCGCCCGCGCCUCGCCACUGCUCUACUGCUACGCUACUAUUGCGCUGUGGCCGCCGCCGCUUCCCGCUGCUCUGCCAGCGCCAAAGGUCCCGGUUGGCCCUGCCGCUGCUCGCGUUUAACCGCCGGCCUAAGCGGCCUAACCUCCCCCCUCACUAAUGAACCCCCACCGACCGGCUGACACCGGGACCCACAUCCCCUAAUUAACCAUUUAAUAAAUUAAAACUCUUAAAUUAACAUUAGUGUAUGACAUGUGGGUCCCCUAUUAAUUAAACUGAUUUAAUUAAAAUCUAUUAACUUUGAGUCUAUGACAUAUGGGCCCCACUAAACAUUUGACCAAUCAACGGUCCAGUCAAAUGCUGACCGGACAGUUG
rnacentral:lncRNA from 1 species